rnacentral:lncRNA from 1 species
CCACGCGCCCCCAAUCUCAGCCUCAACCUCCACCACGAAUGACCGUGAUCCCUCCUCCUCCGCCUCCUCCCGCCGCUAUGAUGCAUAUGUAUCCACCACCUUCCCCGUUUCAUGUUCCGAUUCAUAGCCCUGUACAUUUGCCUCACGUCAUCCCCGUCCAAAACCACCCCCACCACCAUAACCACCAUCACAACAGCCAUAACCACCUUCACAACCACCAGCAGCAUCAUAAUCAGCACCAACAGUAUGUUCCUGUUCGGAAUCAUAACCAGCAUCAUCAACAGCAUAAUUCUAAAAAGGUGCAGCAGCACUCUGACGAAGAGGUCGAGGUUAUUGGGAAUAAGGAUGCAGCUGCUUCUUCGGAUCAUGCCUCAAAGAGUGACAGUAAAAGUGAUGAAGCUAUGAAUAAGCUCUUAAAUCAGGUAGUUUUCAAGUUGUCGAAUUUGUUUUUCUUUCUUCAAAUUUAGGGUUUGUACUUAAGUUCACUGAUUUAAUUAAGUUGAGCUUAGAUUAUAUGAAAAGAAAUUUCAAGUUAUUCUUAUUGAUUUUUGCAAAUAAUGGGGACUUAAGAUGUAAUUACAAUGCUAUUGGAUAUGGUAGAAGUCUUGAAUAUUGUGCUUAUUGUGAACAUGAAAAACAGAAUCAUCACGAACCUAGUUUACAAUGUACUGGAGUAAAGCUCUAUUCGGUAUUGCAUUUUGGCUGCUUUUGAUGGUGUUUUUCGAGGUUCAUUUGGGUUGUAAAGCUUCAAACUGGAUGCUUUUGGAUGGUUUUGAUAUGCGAAAAGCACCCAAAAAAGCAUCAGAUUGAUACAUUCUUGCAAAAGCACCUGACCCACAUUACCAAACACACACUAAGUGCUGCCAAAUAAUCUAGUUAGAUUGUUGAUGAAUUGGGUUUGUUUGAUAGUCACUAAUAGAUACAUGGGGUAAAUUGUAGUACUAGGAAGGAAUAAUGAGAGAGGUAGUGGGCAGACAAUAGGAUGAAUUGAAGUGUUAGAAACAUGAUUUAAGAAACCUAUGGUUUCAUGUUUAGUACUGUAAAUAACUGUCUUUCUUUUUGGUUUGGCAUUCACUCAUAACUAUUUGCAGGUGGAGUACUAUUUCAGUGAUUUGAACCUGGCCACUACUGAUCAUCUUAUGAGGUUUAUUACCAAAGAUCCUGAAGGAUAUGGUAAGGUUUUUUUAACUUCUGUUGUUUAGUGCUUCUAUAUGGUAUAGUUUCAGUGCAAUGUUAUCAUUAUCUACUUCUCACUCAAUUAUUUUUUAAAGUUGUGCCUAGUACUACUUUCUUUUUAUUUUGAUCUCUUUAUAAUGAUUUGGAGAGUACGUCUUGUUUUUGGAAAUGUAGCUAUGAUGACAAUUGGAUAAACAACCCUUUGAUAACCAGCUAUGAUAAGUUGUAAAUGUAGCUAUUUAUUAAGGUUAGAAUCAAGAAAUAAUGAAAUUGUGGUUUUGUUGAAGUUCUUUGUGAAUUGUAUCCAUGCAGUUUGUCCAUGCAUCUCCAAAGAAGUAGUUUUUUCCCUCUUUUUUCCUAAGUAACUCUUAGAAACAUAAAAUUAAGCAAGAGUCUUAUACUAUUAGAAGCUACAUUGUUUACCCAACUGUUAUUUCAGAAUUUUUGUCUGAAUUGUUGUUAUAUCAAUUAUCGCAUAUCCAUUUUAAGUCCUUGUUUGCUUUAAUACAGUGCCAAUAUCUGUUGUUGCUUCCUUUAAGAAGGUUAAAGCUGCCAUAAACAGUAAUUCUCAGCUUGCUAACAUUCUGCGGAACUCAACAAAGCUUGUAAGCUCUUUCAUAGACAAUUCUCGUGAUUGCUUUCAUCAUCCUUAAUCCUAUUUGUUGGCACAACUUCUUCCAGUUGUUUUUGUUGACCUCGCUGUAAGUACAUCCUCCAGGUAGUUAGUGACGAUGGAAAGAAAGUAAGGCGCCAGCAUCCCCUAACUGAUUCAGAUGUUGAGGAGUUGCAAGUGUGUUUUCUUUUCCCCACUAUCUUUUGUUAGGUGGCAUCAUUGUUGGCAAUUCCUUUUGUCUUUGGCAGAAUGCAUGAAAGUUUGUAUUUUGUUCUUUAUUCAUAGUUUAGAGAGAGAAAAGUUGUGGUUUUGUUUCUAACAUUUUCCUUGAUCUCUAGUCUCGUAUAGUUGUUGCUGAAAAUUUACCUGAGGAUCAUUGCCACCAAAACCUCAUGAAGAUAUUUUCUGCUGUUGGGAGGUGCCGAGAUCAUUUCUGUUCAUAAUGAUAUUUAAUUGGAUGGUUUCGCCUUUUACUUAAAGCAUGCCAGAUAUAAUAUAUUAAUAUUAGACAUUUCAUACUGUUAACCUUUCCUUUUUCAGUGUGAAGACAAUUCGUACCUGUCCACCUCAAACUUCUGGUGGUGGUGCUUCUUCAGCAUCUAGAUCUGCAAAAGCUGAUGGGAUGCAUUUCAGUAACAAGGUACAUAUGCAUGCAUGCCUAGGCAUCAGUUAUGUUUUGCAUACCUGUAAUCCUUAUCAACAUCAUCAUGCGUUUCUAUCUCUUGGUGAGAUAAACAAUUUAUUAUUUGAGUUGCAAGACAAUAAACAGAAAAGGUUAGAAAAAGAUUUACAUUAAGAAAAGAUGCGGAAUGUAACAUGAUUUCAAAACAUUAUAAAUAAAAGCUAUUAAAAUAACCUAGAAAAAAAAAAGACCUAGAGGAAUAGCCACCUGGUAUCUGGUCUUGCAUGUUUGCUUAUCGGUUGUUGCCAGCACAAGGUUAUGGUUAGUAUAACUAUUAAGAAUUAACCUUUAAGUUUGUAGUUUUCUCAAGAGAUGUAUUACAGAAUGGCCUACCUGCCAAAGGAAGAUGCAUAUGCUUUGCUCUGACUGUUAAUGCUUUCGUUUUUUGUUUUCCAUUCAUCAAUUAUUUUUAACAGAUAGCUGGUUCUUUUAACCUUUUCUUGAUUAUUUUUGUCAUCUAAACAUGAAAAUCAUAAAAUUUAAACUCCUUGUAUCGUUUGCAGUUGCAUGCAUUUGUGGAAUAUGAGACCAUUGAGAUUGCUGAGAAAGCAGUAAGUAGUUUGUUUUUUUCAUGAUUUGCUUAGGUGUGCUUUCCCAACAUCAAUUUCUCACUGCACUAAUCAAGUGCACAUGCUAUUAUGUAGGUUGCUGAGCUAAACGAUGAGGGAAACUGGAGGAGUGGUCUUAGGGUUCGGUUAAUGCUCAAGCGUGGGGUAUAUACGAAAACAUUGUCUUCAUCUUUCUUCCUUUCAUGUCUUUUUUUCUUCCUGCUCUGUAUUUCUAAAGAAUAAUGCUAGAGAUACCAACUUAUAAGUUUCAUCUCACCUUGAUUUGAUAAAUCUUCGUAUAUGAUAGUUAGGAAGCCAGUGCUAAUAAAAUAGUUCUUAAAUGGAGUAUUGCAUGCUUGUGAAUUCUAACCUUUGCAAAUUUGGUUCUGAACCAUUAAAGUUGAUGAAAUAACCUAUUGAAAUUUGGUUCUGAACCAUUAAAGUCAAUGAAAGUAUGAUGAAAGGUUUAUGAUUCAUAUUAGAUAGAUUGAGAGUGGGAGAAUAAUUUCUGGAAUAGCUAAGUAUUCUAAAAGAGUGCGGUGAAAAUAGGAAUGGGUGUCAUAUAUGUAAUUCUCUGUACGCAACCUUGGUGGGUGUUAAAACCCUUGAGUCUCCAUUUAAUGGUAUUGGCAGUUCAAAUAUCCUGUGUGGUAAAGGUUUUAAAUUCACUCUUGUUUCCUCCAGCCCUGUCAACCAAUGCCUACCCACUGUAGGAUGACAUGGUUUCAUGAGUCAUGAUGUGCACUUUUGGAUGCGACGAUAAAGUUCUGCCAAUUUCAGUUAAUGAUUUGCAAUUUUUUAAUUAUGUUUUUGGAGUUAGCUUAGUCCCUUGAUUUGUGGUUGUUUCUUCCAUCAUUAGUCAAAAUCCACUCAGGCACGAGGCAAGAAGGGGCAUGAUGGUCAAGGGCAUUCAGAGGAAGAUGAGAUUUCUGCAACUGAGCAAAUGCCGAAUGAUAAACAGACAGAAGAUCUGUCCCAGCAGCAUGAUGCCCAUUCACAUGAGCAUUCUGUGAGUGUUAGCAAAAUUCCAUUGAAUGUGAACAUGCAUGAUUUUGAAAAUCAUUUUCUACAGAAAUAUCAUUUUGCUUGGCCAGUUGGGACUGACAUGGUAUAGGCUUUGUGUUAUUGGACAAUUAGAAUAUGGACUUGUUUGAUUUUGCUUUCUGUUUCACUAUAUAUACCAAAUAGAGUAGGAAGCUUGAUUAAUAGUGGCAAUAAAAUUUAUGAUUAGGAAAAGAAUUAGGGGGGUUGAAUUGGUUUUUCUCGUGUCAUCCCAUGAGGUCAAAAAGAGGGGAGAAGGCUGAUUUGAGAUGAAAAAGCUACCAGUCUUUGGGAUAACAAAGGAAUGUUUAUGUUAUGAUGAUACAUGCAUUAUCCAACAGAACUGCCAGCAUCCUAGAUUUUGUAAUUUUUCUGCUGACAAAAAAAUACAUGAAAAACAAUUGCUUUCAUUUUCAAGUCUUUGAAAGCAUCCUUAUUUUAUUGUCUCACAAAAUGACAUUUUCAGCACUUGGUGAACUGACAUCCUUGUACUUUAGCAGGGAGAGGAUCAUGCCAAUGACAAGGAAGGUGCGCAGAGAAAAGGGCGUAACCGGGGGAGGGGCAAGGGACGUGGGCGAGGUCAAUACCAUCAUAACAGCCAUCACAAUAACCGUGGAAAUCAUCUGGGAACUUCCCCUUCAAAUAAUCCAGUUAUUGGUGAGCAUCCAGCAAUGGCCAAGCAACCUCCAGGGCCACGGAUGCCAGAUGGCACUAGAGGAUUUGCAAUGGGUCGAGGGAAGCCGGCUGCUGUUAAUAAUAUCGCAUGACUUGGUAUUUCUACAGAGUUCAGUUUUGGUUCUAAUAGAUGUGCUUGUAAGUUUAUGUUGGGGGUGGGGGGAAGUGAGUGGUCUUCUAUAUAUGGUGUAGAUGGCAGGGGUUUUAGAAAGGCUUGUCCAUCUGUAGUAGUAGCUUGUUCAGGAUCAAGGGUUAAUUUUGCUACACAAGGGUCUGGUAUUUCUUUCAUGUUGGUAUCUUGCUUAUGGGCAUGGAUGCUCUAAAAACAGUUUUUCUUUUUUUUCCUUUCGUUAAGUUUUAGCUUUGCAUGAUGUCGAAGUGAAAAGGAACAAAACCCUUGUUGGGGGGAGUAACUAAUUCUUAUAGAUAAAUGCGAAACUCCAAAUAUCAAACAAGAUUGUGCUAUCAAUACCUGUUCUCCCUCUUCCUUCCAUCUCUUUUCAAUGAUUCUAGGCAAAUUAUUGGAACCAGGAACUGAACUGUGUUUUGCACGAGCUAGCCUGGAGGAGGCUUAUUAGUGGGGCAGUAUUUUACCCUACCGUUUUCCUUGCGAAGAAGGAGACUGGAAAGGCUGUCAGAACCAAUCUCCGAAACCAAAACUAAAGCAUGUCAAGGGUAAGCUUCGAAAAUCCAAAGCAAUCACGUGCGUGAUUGCAGGAAUCUGAUGGAGAGCAGAACACAGUGGUUGAAGUCAGCAAGAAUACCCACUUUUUCAUGAACACCCAAGAAAAUGACCAUUGCAUUUGCUUCAUGAAAAAGCACGAAAGAAGGCGAUAAGCUCGGAAUGCUUGCAGAAUUUGGUUUUAUAAUACAAUACAUUUUGUCACCGAAACGUGUUGUAACGGCCUAUUAGCUCAGUUGGUUAGAGCGUCGUGCUAAUAACGCGAAGGUCGCAGGUUCGAAACCUGCAUGGGCCAAUCAGUUAUUUUGUCGAUAGCUUUUUGGGUAAUCUAAAUUCUAAACUACAUUUUAUUUUUAUCCUUCAGAAAUCUUCUACUUCGGCUCUAACGUUUUUAGUUUUUCCACCAUCAUUGUUUUAGGACUAAUAACAUUGAUCAAUUAAGAGAAAGUAAGAGGGGUAGUGAUUUUCACUGUGGCAAAUUUAUUAUAGCUCUGGAUUUAUUGAUAUUGUGGAUUUAAAUAAUAAAUUUAUGAUUUUGUCCCCAUGAACAAAUACACAAUUGACAUUCGCAAUGGGGUAUAGUGGUUUUUUUGUUAAUUUAUAUAUAAUAAAAUGAUUAAUAUACCCUUUGAAGCAAUAAUAAUAAUAAUGCACUGGCAUACAUUAUAUUUUGACUUUCAUUUUAAAAGUAUAGUAAAAUGAUCACAAUGCCUUUGACUUCCAAUUGUCUUUAACUACGAUUAGGUUUUUUUUAUUAUAUAUCUUCUUCUUUUGGUUUUUAUGUUAUUAUUAUGUCUAAUUAUGAGUAAUUUAGUUUUCUUAGCAUAAAUAAAAUAUUAUUUAAUGUUAAAAGAUGGGUUGCAUAGGUAGACCAUGAUGCAUAUAGGAACGUUUGUACUUUUCAGACAGUGCAUAUAACAUCAUCCAACGACCAAACAUUGGCUUCCACGAUGACUUUUUGAUCCUCGCGACGUUAUUUUCAUUUCUAGGCGGCGCAUGCAGCUAAAAGUUAUUGGGUUUUGCGUCGAUAAACAUUUUUUUCCCUUCCUUCUUUCCUCUCUCUUCCUUGAUUUUAGUGCCCUCCUUGGAUAUUUUCAAAGCAAACCUUUGAUUUGUUUUUCUUCUAAUUUUGGUCCUUAUUCUUUUUAUUAUUAUUUAUUUUAUUUUAAAUAAUUCAUAGAAUUGGAAUUCUCUUUCAAUUUGUUUUAAUCCUCCUCUGAUUUUCUUUUCCCUUCUAAAUUUGGUCACAUUAUUUUGAUUGUUAUUUUUUUUUAAUUAUUCUUUUAAUUGAAUUAUCUUUCCAAUUCCACCCCUUAAAUUUUUAUAUCAUUCUCUUCAUUGAAUUAUUUUUUCAAUUGCAUCCCUUAAUAUUUUAUUUCAUUUUAAUUUAUACUAGAUUUAAUCAUUAUUCUUUUAAUUUUUAUUAUUUUAGUUUUUAAUCUUUUUUUUUUGUUGGAAUUUUCUUUUUCGAUUUCAUCCCUCAACAUUUUAUAGAUUGGAAUUUUGUUACGGAAUUUGACUUUAUAGUUUUUUCAGGUUUACCUUCAAUGGGAUGAUUUCGAUCUUAAGACCCAAGUCACGAGUUUGAAAAAUUAGACCGGGUUUUUUUUCAGAUCCUUUUUUACAAUUAAUUUUUUUAUAAUUUCAUCAUUCUAUAAUGUUAUCUCAAUUUCAGUCAGAUCAUGAAUUUAACAUGUUGACCUAACUUGAUCCAGACCAUUUUUUAUUUAUUUAUCUGUUGUUAUUGUUGUCGUCUAUUUUUAUCAUAUCAUAAAUUUAAUCAAGGUUAUUGAAUCCAAUAAAACCAAUAAUAUGACUUUUAGAUUUCUCUUAUUUUUUUAAAAAAUAUUAUAGUCACUUAAACAUUUUAUUUCACUUUGAAAAAAAAAUUUAGUCUGCCUACUUCUUUAUGUAGGUCACCAACCUAGUUGCUUCUAUAUUCCAUCUUGAAUUUGCUUUAAAAAAAUGAUAUUUCAUUUUAUAUAGGUAGAUAAUUUAAUUUUAAUUUUAAUUUCUAAUAAAACAUAGAGAUUAUUAUGUUAGCAAUAGUGUGCUUAUCCAUAAUAAACUAAAAUCUUUGUUGCCUCGUAAUUUUGAUACAAUCAAAUUUUUUCUUUUUAUGAAUUAAUUAUUUUAUCUCAAUAUAAAAAAAUAUAAAUAAUAAAAAUAUAUUUAGUUGUAAGGAUUGAGAUAACAAAAAAUUAUUUUCAAUUUUAUUUUUGCAAAUAACAUAUCCUUUAUGUAACUAUAUAUUAUAUUAAGUAUUGUUAACUUAUCUAAUAACUAAAGAUUGCAUAUUAGAAUCUUUUAAACAAUCCAAUGUUAUUGAAAAGAUUUAAACUAUAUGAAGCAAAGCACAACAUUACUUAAUCAUGGAGAUCAACUAAGUUCAUACAAAGAAAAUUUCAAUUUUUUAUUGAUCUCCCAAAAUCAAAUCAAAAUCCACAAGCUCCCCCAUCUAAAUUUCCGCCUUAAAAAUCCAAAAAUUCCCACAGGGAUUUCCUGUUCUCUCUCUCUCUCUCUCUAAAAAAAAAAGUGGGAGAGAAUCAAAUAUCAAUCACCCUAACCACCACCACUACAAUGGCUGAAUCUUCUCCUCCCCCUCCUCUUCCACCAAGCCCUAACCACAUGGUCCCACCGAUCCCACAUACAGACCCACCUCCACCUCCACCUCCUCCUCCACGAUCAUGUAAAACUUGUUUACUUUCAAAAAGACCAAAACUUAGAGUGACCUCUGAGUUUGACAGUGACUCUUCUUUGUUCUUCCACAAAGUUUCCUGUAAGCUCCUUGAUAGCUUUGCAAAGUUCAAACUUUCUUUUCAAAACAACAACAAGGGUGAACUCUCUCAACCCCAGUUUGCUUUCACUUCCAAACUACUCUCCAUUCAUUAUGACCUUGAAGAACAUAAUGCCCUUGUUAAGGGUUCUUUUGAUCUUGGUCCUAAUUUGCAUUUUAAGGCUGCCCAUGAUGUCAAGGUCCAAUUUUUUCACUUCAACUUUGUUUCUUCCAUGGCGGUUCCUUUCUUUUUAUUUUUUUAUUUUUUGACAUGGGUUGUUGUUGUUUGUAGGCACAGCAAGGAGAGGUGGCUAUGGUUGCUGACUUGGGUGAUCCUGGUUAUGCACUUGAAAUUUCAUCUCCUGUUCCAACUGUUGGAGUGGUAAGUACUAAGCUCCACCAUUUUUCAUUCAUGUUAUUGUUAAACAGUGUAACAUUUUCAAAGUUGGGAACUUUUAGGGGAUUCAAAAGUUUGUUCUUACUUGUUUUCUGGCGACUCACUGGGGAAUUUUGGCUUGUGGCUUUGGGAUAUUGAUUGGGGUUGGAGGAGAAAAUAAAAGAUGGUCUCUUUUUGUAUUUUUUUCCCCCUCCUUUUGUUCACAUAUAUGGUCUUCCUGUUGUUGCAGCCGAGGGCAACCCUAAAAUUCCCGCUUGGUGAAGUUUCAUUGGAGGAGAAAGAAGAGGAGGAACUAAGGAGAACAUUGUCAGUUAGUGGUGUUGUCAAAAGUCAGUUAAUGAAUGGCCUCUGCACUGCUCAAUUUAGUGAUGAAGAUUUGAAACUGAAAUACUGCUACAAGGUAAGGCUAUAUUUCACUAAGAUCGUUUUUGCAUGUGUUGUCCGAUUAAUUGCCCGGGCAUCCUCUCGUACUGGUCCCUGAUAUCUAUACUUGUACAAUGAAUAUAAUUUUUGAAUGGAUUUUGGAUUAUGCAAAUGAGUUAUUUUUGCCCAGGUGGUCUCAUGGCUCUUUCUGGAUUGAUUACAUGCUUUAUGUGGUGUUUCGGUGUCUUUAUAGUGCCUUUAUAUAGGAUAUGCUGAAGAGUUUUGAAUUCAUUGCAGGAUGAGGCACUUUCCAUUAUCCCUAGCAUUUCACUGCCUUCAAAUGCUUUAUCAUUUGCAUUCAAGCGUCGGUUCACUCCUUCGAAUAAGUUGAGGUACAAUCUCUAUACACUUUAUCCAAAUCCAGGGGAGGAGUAUCCUCUCUUUCUCUCUCCAUACUCUGAAGUCCUUGUUUCAUGUCUCGUGUUAUAUGUCCUUUUGACAAAUGUGUUAACUUGGAUGAUGCAUGUCCAAGAUUUGUAUCGCUCCUAUAAAUGAAUGCAUGACCGUAGUCAUCCUCAAUAGUUUCUUGUUUUUAAGAGGGAUAAAUGUCUGUCUUUCCAGUUAGUGGAGAAGGGGAGAACACACCCUAGUAACUUAUCCCAAUCCGCAGACUUGCGAUGUAGCUCGAUUGACUGUUUUUCAGGGAAUUGAAGAGAGGGUGCAAGUUCCUUAUCAGAUUUUAAUAUUAUCAUUUUAUUUGGACAUUCAUCUAUGUUAAUGUAGAUUCUUAAGCGGGUUGUUAUGUAUUAAUGUGUGAUGCAGCUACUGGUACAAUUUUGAUACUAACAACUGGAGUACUGUGUACAAGCACACCUAUGGGAAGGAUUUCAAGUUAAAAGCUGGUUAUGAUUCAGAGGUGCGUCUUGGCUGGGCAUCGCUUUGGGUAAGUUUUCCUAUUUAUUAAGAUUUUCAACCAUUGCUUUUCCUAUUUGUCUGCAAUUGUAAUUAUACCUCAACCUAUUGGGCAAGUGUCACAAUUUUUGCACUCGUACAGUGACAGUCAAUGUUGAUGGGUCUUCUAUCUCUUAAUGAUAAUUUAAACUCAUUGCAAGCUUGUUCUGAUUAGUGAUAAUACCAUUUUGUCAUUUUCCCCCUAUGUUAUAAAGAUUUGUAGUUACAUAACCACUCCUUGUUGUACGGGCUAAAGCAGAGAGGGUAGUGCCUUUGAUGUUUUGACAUGGCAUUUUUGAAGUUUUGCCUUUAUGAUCUACAGAUUUAGUCCAUUUUUCUAAUGUAUAUAGUUUUGGCUCUUUAGCACCCAAAAAAGACUAAUUACAUUGAAGUAUGAAUAUGAACAACUAGCAUAAUAUGUUACCGUCGCAUUGCCAAGUAUGGUAAGAUUGCAUCUCAAAAGUCAGUAACUUUUUAGGAAUUAGGAUGCCAUGAUACUUGGAAGAAGGAAAUAGAAAUUCAAUAACUGAGGAUCAUAACCCUUUUCGCAACUUAGUAUAUGUAAAGUAGUCACGUUUCUUAUUUGGUAACGGAAUUCAAGAGGCGUUAAUAUAUGACCUUGUAAUGCACAAUCUCAAUGCUGUAGGUUGGAGAUGAAGGUGGCAAUGCAAAGACCGCCCCGAUGAAGAUGAAGGUCCAAUUUAUGCUGCAAGUGCCACAAGAUGACAUCAAAACUUCAGCACUAAUGUUCCGUGUUAAAAAGAGAUGGGACAUAUAACAGUACGGUCUGUUGAUGGGACUCCCUUGUUUCUGUUAAAUGCGGGUUCCACUUGAGUAGUUCUGGGUCUUGCCCAUCUGUGAUAUUGCUACAUAAGAACGUCAGUUGGUUAAUAGUUUCUCCUUGCAAGAAAUCUCUCUUCUGUGGGUGUGGGAGCUUAAAGUGGAUAUCUAGUGAAAGGAAGCUCCUGCUGAGAUUUUUCCCAUGGCAUGUUGUUGAAGUUGGCAUUAUUAUAGUGCAGGAAAGUCUGUUAUUCGAUCAUCCCUUUGCCAAAUUUUAGUAGAUCUAACAAAUUGUUGAAUAAAAAUAAAAUGAACCAUGGUAGUUGCUGCUAAAUCAAACCGGCUAUAAAUGGCAGGAAAACUGCUAGUGCAGAAGAGAAGGUUCUUGUGGAGACAAGCUACUCUCUUUACAUAAGCGACUGUUCGAAUUGGUCUCCAUUUAAACAGCCGAAGCUAAUUAACUUGAUUUGCCUAGACGUGAACAGGCCAAAGUUGAGUUGAUCAAUUUUGUCUCAAAUUGAUCCGAGCGUAGAAUGUGUUACUGAAAGCAUUUCAAUUGAACAGAUCCUCGUGUCUUUGGAUCUGAAUUGGGAGCAUCCAACUGCUUAGCAGACCUGAACGCUAACUGCUCGAAAUUUACAAUUUAGAAAGUUUGCAACUUGAAAGUAAACCCUGACCACAACCACAGCCAAGCCCCUCAAAUGUGGUGGCAGCCACCGUGGUUAUGGAAUUACUAAUCACCUGAAAAUAAGUGAAAAUGCAAAAUUCUCCACUGUUGUCAUCCUAGAUUCAUAUAUACCAAGCGAAGCAAAUGUCAAUUGUCUAGAAUUUUCGACAUGAAAGAUGUCCUCUUACAUUAGAAAUUCAAAUCCUUGAGACAACUUUUCAACUCCAUUAAGUUUUCUAUGGCCAAUAAUUGGAUCAAUGAACUAUAAAAAUUGGAUGCCAACUUACAAAUACAGAAGAAAUUGCCGUUUGUAGGUGAGCAACUUAACUAUUGUUUCUCAUAAGAUCCAGAUGUAGUAUAGUUACAGGUGAGUUUCAGUGGGUCACGACCACUUCAAUUCAAGGCUUUGCAUAACAGAGCUGCAAUACAAGAACUGUUUGGCUUCAGAAGACUAACAUGGUCAAGCCUCUCUUGAAGCAAGAUUACUGCCAAAGUUAACAACUUGGUUUUAAUAUGCAAAUGCUCAGAGAAAGCAGUAAAACAAAAAUAACACAGCAUGAGAAAAAGAAAAGUAAAUGGAAGGAAGCAGACCUCUACAUAUGUACACAGAGCUUUGUGGAUUAGGUCAGUCAGUCGUCGUUGUUAACAAGGUCAUUUUCAUCAUUAUCCUGCUCGUAUAUCUGAUAUUCCCCAUCACUGCUUUCACCAUCUUGCUUUUUGUCAACACUGGCGUCCAUCGAUGGGAAACUAUUUAAGAGUUGUUGCAAAUAGCUUGUCGAGGUGUUCUCCAUAGCUAGAUGCAGGUGUGUAUAUAUAGGACACACAAAGCAGCAACAAUAUAAGGGCAGGUUUCAAUAAAAAAAAACAUUGCUAUAGAGAGAUACUUACUGCAAAUUUUUUUUCUUCUGUGCACAUUUAAAACAUAACAAAGGAUGGGAAUGAUAAAAGGAUACAGGAAUAAAAAUUCAACGAAAUAUUGCCAGCCUCACCAGCCUACAAACAAAAAGAAAAAACUUCAAAAUGCUUUAUCAAAGGAAACUGCGCAAAAAAUGUGUAAAGCAGACAUUUGAUUACCAAAUCCAUUCCAUGUAUCCAAUUCCUCUUCACCAUCAUCAGAUUCGAGUUCGUCCACCUCAACAUCAACUUGAUUUUCACUAGCUUCAUUGUUUUUAAAGGUUUCAUGAUCUAAAAAGAAUUGAGAACCAAGCAGGAAAGAAUUUAACAGCCAAACACACAUUCCUACAGUACUCUCAUGCCAACUAUUGCAAGUUUGCAACUAUAGCAUCAUUCAAAAAACAACCUUCACUGAUAGCUCAGCCAGAGUUCAGAGUAAGGCGCAAAAUAAUGAAAGGAAAGAAAAAGAAAAAGUGAAUAAAUAUGAGGAAAGGAAGAAGAAUAAGCAAAGAGAAUUAUUGCAUGCUAGAAAAACCAUUGUUUAUUUAUAUGUUUGAUAAAUAUAAAAGCUCAAAUCACUUUUGGUCAUAAUGGUUUGAAAUUCUUACAGAUUCGUACUCAUGAGACUAUUUCAAAAAGUGUAGGAUGGCACAACAAAUCGGAAUAGAUAAACUUCAUAAAAGAUGAAUAUUACUAUUUAAAGCAAAAUUGGACAAACAACAAGCGCAGGAGUUAAUUUAAACCUUCAUUAGUUUGCUGAUGCUCCUCCUGAACAGGUUUUGGUGCAUCUUUGUAAAUGCAUAAUCUCUUUGACUUCAUAAAUUUCUCAGAAGCAGCUUUGAGAAAUUUUUCCGCACCAGUUUCUGGGUAUAGUGAUAGGAACCUCACCUUUACACAAAGUCUUAAACUAUAAUGCACAUGCGGUGAUAACCAUCCUGUUUCAUACUGCCAACUAAAUUACAUUAAUCCUUGAUAUUUAAACACGAACAAACAUUAAACUACAGAAACAGUUUAGAUAAAAACAUGAAAGUAUAUAAGUUGCCUCCAUAUGAUAAAUUUUAUCCCUGUCAUGACCUGUUAACAAGUCAUGAAUUUAUAACCAAACUACCCUCAUCCCAAGACAUGCAGAUGUAAGCAAAUCAUCAUGAAUGGUCAAUCAUUAGAGAUUGAUCAAUUGAACCAAGUAGACGAAUGAAAUUUGAUUCUUUGUUAGGAUUUGCUAUUUCUUUUGGAUUUUUGUAUAGGAAUGGCAGUCUACCAGCACGCUUUCCAUCAAAGAUGUAAAAGUAAAUAUACUGUAAAAAGCUCUAUUUCUUUAUGUGGUAGCUCAUGUUGUUUAUUUAAUGGUUUAACAACCUGAUCAAAUAGAGUAAAAGGCCACAAACUUAGGUACAGUGUUCAGAAUUGAGAUGGACACUAUGAUAACAAAUCUUGGCAAGUACAAUGUGAUGAAUUUACUAUGUGAUUUGUAUUAGACAUGGAAGAGAAUAACACUGAAACAUGCAGUGUAUUUUGAUAUUUGAUGCAGCACCAUACAUAUAUGUGCAAUAUGUUCUGCUGUAUUAUCAUGCUCAAAGCUCAAAUAAGCACACAUGCCAACACAUAUAAUAUCAAUAUCAACACAGCUCAACAUGAAAAACUCACAAUGCAACUUGUCUGCUUCGAAGGCUUUUGUAUCUCUUGUUGAAUGUAAUCAUCAUCAAGUUCAUACACCUGGAAAGAAUAUUGGUUUCUGUAAGGAAAAAAUCGAAAUUUGCAUAAAUCCUCCCAUCUAUGCUUCAAGCUGCAAAGUCACAAAGACGCACAAUCAGUAUGUGGAUGAGCUUUGGCAUGGAAAAAGUAAAUAGUCUUGGCGUGGAGAUAUGAGCCCCUUGUGGACGGUGCAUAUCAGUUCUCAAACAUGUAGUUACAUACAUAAAUCACGUGGAGAGAUCUAGAAAGGUAACAGGACAAUAAAGAGACCAUGUCAAUUGGCAUAUCAUAAGCUUCAAGUAGCAGCAUCUAUCAUUGCCAAUCCAAAGACCUUGGUAUAGGAAUGAGGUUGGCCUAGUUGUUGACAGUGAUUUGAUGUCAAUAGAACUCUUUUGCACAAGCUUAUAAUAUUCUCUAGGAAGAGGUGUGGUAUCAUCCAUCAUCCUCAAUGCCAUGGUCCUGGCAGUAAAAACAUUGCCUCAAUAACUUAGGGGGAAAUUAGUUCAUGACUCUAAGUAACUACAAAAGCGAACCUAGGGUCUGUAUGACACCAGUAGACAGCUCAGCAUAGGUGUGCAUCCAAGGAGCUGGUCUAUGAGUUAUAAGGCCCUGUGAUACCAUCAAUGGCAACAAGACACCCAAAUGGGCAUUAAGCUUUGGGAUCAAAAGAUUUGAGGUAGGCCAGGAACUAAAUGAUGCAAUGACAUGCUAGUGGAUGCACUGUGAAUGUAUCAGAAGCUUCAAUCUGCCAGGUAAUUGCACACCUGAAAUGGUGCUGCCACUGCCCUGCUUAUACAACUAUUUUGGCCCUGGCAUGCUCAGACCAGUCCCUUGUUUAACGGUGCAACAAACUAUUGCACUACAUUAAGCUGAAUUGUUUGAGCUAUCUUCAAAUACUGCCACAGACUUCCCUUUCAAUUUUGAUGAUUCCAGUUGGGAUAGAUUAAACUAUUCCAAAUUUCAGCAUGGCUAUGAUACAAGGUAAACGUGUGAAACAAUACUUACCCUUUGGCAGUGUUAGCAUCACAGUAACUUUUUAAUUCAGGCGGUACUCGAAAACCAAUGCUUUGAUAUCUGCUAAAGAAAAUACCAUAGAUGAGCAUAUGUCGAACACAGAUUUCAUGGUUCUCCAAUCCAGAUAAACACUUCAAAAGCACUGCAUAGAAAGCAUACUGAUAUGGAAACUCAUGCAACAAGUUAAAAUAAACUAGAACAUAAGAGCAACUGAAUUUCAAAUUUAGUUCUCUUCCGAGCGACUCACUAUAACGAGUUCUCAUUCUCGUAGAAGAGAAAUUUCUCUGACAUGACAGUAGAAUACUUAAGAUUCUCUUCCAAAAGAAAAAGGAUUAACCACACAUUUAAAACCAACUGCAAGCUAUCAACAAUAAACAUGGAAGGAAAGGGAAAGUGACAUAAAAUGCCAAAGGCUGUAAACCUGAUCUAUAAAUCUAGUAAAUGGACACCCAAGAGUCUGAACCUGGACCAGUAAUAUCCACACAAAAAUUGCCCACAAACAUCAUGUGCUUCCCAAAUUACUGUUUUCCUGGAGAAAGGUACAUCUUUCCUCUGCUAUAAUGUUGGAAACAAGCUUGUUUAGUUUGUUUCAGGUGAUGAAAAAGAACAGAACAAGCAGUUCCUUUGUGGGGAUGAUUAAUCAUGAUUCAUGGCACAUCCUGAGGAGGCAGACAUCUUUCAUAAUCUCUAAACCAAAAGACACAAGAUUCUCAAUGAACCGCCCUUUCUAAUGCCUAAUAGGAGCAUGAAGACUUCUUCCAUUCACAUGCAAAAGAAACUAACUGACCAGUUCCUUAAAAGCCACUAAAAGAAAGAACAUUAGGAUCUGAGCCAAGAAAAGACCCAAAAAGAAUGUUGAGGUAAGAUCUCUCACCUGCGAGAAUCAGGAUCUUUGCGAGGAUCAUAUCCCUUUCUGAUCCAGAACUUCUGAAAUGGUCCACCUGAAAAGUAGUACCCGACUGUGAGCAGAAGCCUGCCAGUUUAAACCAAUGAAAGGUGAUUACUCACAUGAAAUCAAACCUGUCUACUUGCCAGAAAAUAUCCAAAUGAAGCAACCCCGAGCAACCCAACAAAGAAUUAUCAGAAUAAGAGGUAGAAACCUUUUAAGUGUCUGGUAGGUAAAUUUAAGAUUCUUAUCAAGCAAGCGUUCAAUCAGUGAAUAUUUGGGCCAUAUAGGCUGCUCCUCAAACAGCUUAGAUACAACCAUCUGCCACUCCCACAUUGGUGUGCCUUCUGUUAUGAAUUCCUUCCAAUUUAUUUCCUUAGGAAUCUGUAUGAAAGCUAAGGGCUGCCAAGUAAAACAAACAAGACUUUGUAGGAUAUAACUUGAAUUUUUUAAGAGUUCAUUGUUAGGUUUCAUUGUAAUGCUUUGUAGUUACUGCUGAUGCCUGAUGGGUAUAAUACUAUAAUCCAUAACUCAACAAAUAGGAACGAACACUCAUCAAGAGGUCUACACAAUAGAAAUGCACUACAUGUGGUCUGUACACAAGAAACACUUCUUAAACAUAAAGAGCUCCCCUACCACAAUUUAAAGAAAUAAAUCCAAUCCAAAACAUUUUAGAAACCACCCCUUAGAUCGUUAGAAGGGUGGUUAACCCAAUCAAAACAUUAUCUAUUCUCUUGACAUUCAAAAGCAAUGGAAAGGCCAUGGAUACCGAACAAUGUUCUAAUAUCAGUAUCAUUGUAGACAAGAAGGACAUGAAAACAUAAUUACUCAUGAAAUGAAAGCCAUGUAACAUCAGGAUAUCUUCAACAUCCUUAAAAUCAAUACCAAGCGCUGGCUCAAAGGUCAUCUGCACAAUGGAAAGUAAGAAAAUGGUUAAGUUUAGCAUAAUGCUUUGUGAGUAAGAUCUGACAAAGAGUAAAUGUAAUGAGAUCUAACUCACAAAUUGAGUAUACAAGCUAAUCUUGUAAUCUCUGUACAUGCCAUGAAACCACAUUAACAUCUCACCUUAGUUCAGUGAUGACUAGAAAAACCAAUUCAUUUUUAUUCAAUACCUUGGGAUGAGUUUCUGGAAGUUCAUCUUGUUUCUUUCUUGAACUUGAUGUUGAUGGUGGUCUUAACCUGAAGACAUGAAAACUAAAAUCAAUCCUACAAUUAUUUGGCAAUCUAGAUUCCAAAAGAAACACUUAUCAAUCCCCUCUAACAGCAUUUGUUGUUCCUCCUUCUUGGCACCGUAAUCAAAGCCCUCCAUUAAAAAUUUGAUUACAAAGUCAGAACAUCAUAUAAACAACAUGGGCAAAAGCAUUCAGAAACAGAGCUUCUUACACAAUAUUUUCUGGCACGUCUUUGAGUGAAAAAAGUGGAGGCGGUAGCAUCAUCACAUCAUCCGGACCCAAAUCCAUUAGACCAGGUUUUUCUACAAAAUCAAACAAACAGUAUACCAAAACAAAAAAAUUCCCGGUUUUAUAUACAAAUGUAAACACUAUACAAAAAACAAUUGCUUUGAAAAUAUGGUUCCUUCAUCUCACUACAAUUCUUCCAUCUCUUCCUGCCAACAUCAGCAUGAACUGGAACAACAUGCUCGUAAUCUGCCAUUCCUACAAAAAAUUCCAAAAGAGAAAGAACCCCAAAGCAAGAAUCAAACUUUAUCCCUUAUUCAAUAAAAAAACAUAAAAGAAGACAGUUCCAUACUAACCCUCAAAGUAAUAUGCCUCUGGUAUUCUAGCAACAAUAUCAGCAUGAAACUCAUCUGUUUCUUGCUUUGCAUCAUUAAUGGGACUUGACUUCUUCUUUUUAGUAAUUUUCAAUAACAUACUGUGACAAGAACGAAGCUCUCCUGACACAGGAUGUGAGUAUGGAUCCUCAGGGCGAAAAUACAGUUCCAACGUAUUAGAUUGUGAACUACGAGCCUAAUAUUCCAAAUUCAAAAAAUUAACUACUAAAAUUAAUCACUAAUAACACAUAAGAAAAGCUGAAAAAUAAAGGGCUGUCAUUGGGACUUGGAGCUUGUUUGUUUAAGUACCUUGAGAAUUGAUUCAGUUCCUCCAAGAGUUUGGAUAGCUCGAGAUGUUGAAGAAGGAUAACCUGGAUAAUGAACUGCAAAACCCUCAUUCCUUGGUAUCAAUCCACUCACUUUCCCUUCUUUUAUCUCUCCCAUUCUUAUUCUUCUUGUCGCUCUUGCUCUUUGCAGAAAAAUAAAAGGAAAAAAGAAAAUGGUAAUGUAGUUUUUCUCUCAAGCCCCGAAAGAAAGAGCAAACAAAUAUAAAGUUAUGGGCUUUAUGCAAAAAGGAGCCUAAUUUAUGGUCUUCUGUUGAAAGCCAAAAGGCCUAACAUAAGUCUAGCUUUUACUUUUUUUUUUUACUACAACGUUCUAUUACUACACUCCUCUCCUCCUUCCUUGGGUCUCUCUCUCAGUGGCAUCAUCAUCAACCACUAGAGCAGCUGUUCCAUAUAGAAAUUUGUGGAUUGGUGCCACAAACCUGAGGAUGGACAAGAAGAGAGGAGAAGGAAAGGAUCCAAGUGAAAAGGAGAAAGAGGGCACAGUGUUAAAUUCAAACCUGAGGCUCAUCAAACGCAGCAAUUCUUAACCACUGACUCUUCCGGUAACUUUCUUUCUUUUCUUAUAGAGAAUCACCUUAUUUCAACUAAAAGAUUUCAAAUUUGCUUCAGAUUCCAAUUGGGGUAAGGAAAUUUGCAGGAAAAGCCUAGAAACUGAAGCUUUUUGAGUCCAAGGUACAUCAUGGUUAUAGAGACGUCAUAUUGUUAGUAAAUGAUGUAAUUUAGGUGGUUGGAGAAUUGUUGGGAGUAGGGAUUGACACCAUGGGAUUUAGGUUCAAAUUAUUGUGAUCCUCUAUCUUUCUUUUAUAACUAGGGGCUGAUAGUUCUAUUGAAAUCUACUCAGUGAUCAUGUUGGUGGACCUCCUUAUAACGUAUCAGUCUCUGUGCACUUCUCUACCUUCAGUUUUUUUCCUCUGUUUUCUAAUCUUAAUACCAUAACCAAUAAAUUCUAGUUUGUCAGUUUAUUCUAUUCUUACUAAGAGUGAGUUUAUCACCCUUUUUUUCCCAGUUCUGAAGAGGUGUUGCAUCCCAUGGGCUUCAAGGCUGCAACCAUUGUUGAUAAUGAACUUGCAAUUGGAGCUUGGAAGGUACAUCAACAACGUUUUCUAGAUAAAACUAAUUCACGGUUUCCAGCUUGCAAAAACAGUCAUGCUUUUCAUGGAAUACCGCUUAAUUCACAAAAUACUGUAUUGUAAAUUGAUUGAAUGUUAAAGUUGUCCAUGAUUUCUCCAUUGCCAUUCAUUUUCCAUAUCAUUUGUGAAGGGUCUGGAUUCAGUCCAGUAGAGCAACCACCACCUGGUGUAGCCCUCACCUUUUUUUCCCAUGCCUUGUUGUGAACUACCUAUUGUUUUUAUCAAAAUUAUAUAUUUAGGAGUUUUGGUGAGAGUCACUUCUUGAUUAUGGGUAUGCAAGAUAGGGUUGGGCCAAUCUGAGAGUAUAGGGUCAGACUACUUCCAGCACGCUACAUUAAUUUCGAAGUCCUUUUUACCAAUAAAAGUAAAUCUAUUAUGUUUAAUGGCCCAAAAGCAUAUUGAAAAUUUAACCACUCCCACUCCACCUGAUUCUUGUUACAAUGACAUAGCAAGGAGUGCACUGUGCACGUUCAUUCCAUUUGCAAGAGGGAUUUUUAGUUAGUAGUUCUGAUUUAUAUACUUGGACAUGGCAUAUGGUGUUUUUUUUCCCUCUAGCGCAUAAGAUUAUUUGUUAUUUUUUCUUGAAAUGAAUUUAGAUUACACUGAUGGUUAGUAGAGGAUGCUUAAGAAAUGAUGUUUUCCUUGAGCAUUGCUGCAGGGAAGAGAAAAGUUUGGAAGAUGGAAGAGGUCUGCAACCCAAUCCUAAUGAUGAUUGUCAUUUCCUCCCAAGGAGACUUUGAAGAUCAAUAUAAUUAAUCUCUUUGCUAUAUAAGAGCCACUCCAACCAUUGUAAAUUUCCCAUGGAACCUUUUUUAUAAAAACAAUUGUUAAGAUGUUAUAAUACUUUUGAUGCAACAUGCACGUUCUCUAUGACAGCUCGUUACUUUUACAACUUCAAUCCCAUUAGUAUCAACUAAUCAACUUCAAACUACCCUCUGGGAAUGUAUUUAUUAAUGAUAACAAUCUCUACAUCUUCUGUCCUGUCCCAACGAUAUGGUAAAUCAUAACUAGGAGAUGAGAUAAACAAAUUUAGCAUGACUACCACGAUUAUGUCCUUCAAAUUCUCUACCCAGUAGCUUUUACAGUUGUGACUUGAGAAAACAAAUUUAAGAAAAACUAUAAAUUUUAGUUUUUUUAAACCAAGAUUUCAAGAGAAUCUUUAAUUAAUAUGAUCCAUACAAUAUGUUAAUUAACCAAAUAUUUUAAAAAAUAUAAUUGAAAUAAAAUAUAGUUUCAAUCAUACAGGCGAUCUCAAUGCAAAAUACACACUAAAUUUCACAAUCACCUGUUCUUGAGAAUAAAUUGGGAAAUCCUAAGGGUUUUCACAUCGUUGGAUAGGAUAUGGAUUAUCCUGGUUAUGCUCAUUAUGGUUCCAAAAGAAUUAUCUAGCUUAAAAUAUAUGAUGCUCUUGUUGAUAGAACAAAUUCUACAUCCUUAUCAUCCCCAAUGGCUAAUGGUUUUCCUCCUUCUUAAUACAAAUGCCAUGCCAUAAAAUUCAUUACCAUCUUCCAAAUUCUCUAGUGCUGACCUGCAAAACAAAUAUUUUGAUGUGAUGUAAUGUAAUGUAAUGCUAAUUUUAUAAUUUGUUUUUUAAUCACACCCUCCUGUGCGAUCAUUAUCAUGACCAAGUUGGGAGAGAGGAUAAGUCAGUGUAAGAAAUAAACAAAUAAUUAAACAACCUUAAUUUAAUUUCACAUCUAAUCAUAUAUCUGUAAGAGGCCCUGGAAAGCAAUGCCAGCAUUCCUGUCCUUACGCGGAUCAGCAUAAUAUGCCUAACUCUUCGCUCUCUCUAUUUUCUGUCUAUCUGCCUCUUCCUCUUGAACAACACCCCAACGUGCUCUCCUCUUUCCUUCUCCUUCGGAUCCUUUCCUUUAGACUCAUUCUUCUUCUUCUUCUUCUUCUCCUCCUCCUCCUCCUCCUUCCUCCUCCUCCUCCUUUCAACAUUUCCAACUUUUCUUUUGAAUAUUUACUUAUAUCUGAUCUCGUCAAUAUAUAUAUAUAUAUAUGUACACCACCAUCUUCAUGGUCAUCAAUGGAUCAUGAUAGAAACAAUGACAUUUUUGAAGAUGAAGAUAAAGAAGCUUUACAAGGUCUAUCUCCUGUCCCUCCACCCCCGCGAAAUAUCCAUUCUUAUAGCCAGCAGCUCCGUGCCACCUCUUCAGGACCUACUGCUAAAAGACACGACAAAGGUAGAAAACACAGCCUUGAUGACAUCCCUAUGCCUGUGGUUUCUGAAAGUUUCUUUGACGUCUCUUCCUCUGACGAUGAAUUCUUCCUUCAUUCCUCUUCUCCUUCUAACACCACUCGUUCUCGCGGUGCCAGCGGUGAAGAUUUCUUUGUUGGUGCUGACGAUGAUCAACUCAAGCAAUUCCAACCAUUGCCUGAGUUCAUUGGAAAUGGAAGUGGGACCGGAAUCUUUAAGUAUCCAGCACGUUCAGCCAUGCACGGUGGACGGCCACCUUGUCUAGAACUUAGGCCACAUCCUUUAAGAGAAACUCAAGUGGGGAAGUUUUUGAGAAACAUUGCUUGUACCGACACACAGUUAUGGGCUGGUCAGGAGUGUGGGGUAAGGUUUUGGAGUUUUGAGAAUGCAUACGAGGCUGGUAGGGGUUUAGGUGGGAGAGUGAGACGAGGCGAUGAAGAUGCUGCACCAUUUUAUGAGUCGGCGAAUACCUCUCCUACAUUGUGUUUAAUGGCUGACAGUGCUAAUAGAUUGGUUUGGAGUGGGCAUAAAGAUGGGAAGAUUAGAUCUUGGAAAAUGGAUCAACAUUUGGACGAUGCUAAUUCUCAUUUUAAGGAAGGAUUAUCAUGGCAGGCUCAUAAGGGUCCUGUUCUUUCUAUAGUUAUGAGUUCUUAUGGUAAGCCAGCUUUCUUCAUUUUAUUAUAUUGCUUUUGGAAAAUGGUAAUUAGAUUUCAGUCUAAUAUUAAAUUAUGUUCUUGGGGGUUAUGUAGGGCUAAGACAUGCAUGGCAUCUGAAAUAUGAUUAAAAAAUUCUAGGGAAAGACACGAGUUAUUGUCAAUUAAUCUCAUUUCAUGAUCUUUGAUUAAUCACUGUCGUCAAUUAAUGUUGUUGAGUACUUACCAUCUCUUGGUACUCAUUUCUUAUCUGUUAUACUUGCCAAAACCUUUGAUAAAUUUGGCAUGUUUUUGCUUUUCAUGGCUCUAACUUCAAAUUUGUUGUGCUUUGAUACAUGUAGGUGAUCUGUGGUCAGGUUCUGAGAAUGGUGUUAUUAGGAUUUGGCAAUGGGAUGUCAUUGAGAAAUCUCUCUCUCUUUCAUCAGAGGAAAAGCACAUGGCUGCUUUAUUGGUGGAGAGGGCUUGCAUUGACCUCAGGAGCCAAGUCACUAUAAAUGGUGCCUGUAGCAUAUCUUCUUCAGAUGUAAAGUGCUUGUUAGCUGACAAUGUUAGAGCUAAAAUUUGGUGUGCUCAGCCUCUUUCCUUCUCUAUUUGGUAUUGUUUUCUCUCUGAACUUCCUAGAAUGUCAUGCGUUCUUUAAAAAUUUUCGAUAAAUGUUCAGUUUUGGGGGAUUGAGGAUGCCAUUAGGCUAUGCCUCGGCCACAAGUUUCUUAAAUUUUACUCGUGAAGCUUUAUAAGCAUUACAUUUCUGCAGGGAUGCUCGUACAAAGGAGCUCGUGAAGGUAUUCAAUACCGAGGGCCAAAUUGAGAAUCGAGCUGAACUGCCGUCAGUGCAACAGCAAGAUCAGCCAGUAGAAGAUGAGAUGAAGGUAAAAUUUGUACACCCAUCAAAAAAGGAGAAAUCCGGGGGCUUUCUGCAACGUUCACGUAAUGCUAUAAUGGGAGCAGCAGACGCUGUUCGCCGAGUUGCAACCAGGGGAGCAGGAGCAUUUGUAGACGAUACCAAGAGAACAGAAGCACUAGUGCUGACUAUUGAUGGAAUGAUCUGGACUGGAUGUUCCGAUGGCCUUCUUGUGCAGUGGGAUGGGAAUGGAAAUCGUUUACAAGAAUUCAGUCAUCAUUCUUCUGCUGUUCAAUGUUUUUGCACUUUCGGAACACUGAUAUAUGUUGGCUAUGUGAGCGGUAUGAUCCAAGUAUUGGACCUGGAGGGGAAAAUGAUUUCUGCAUGGGUUGCUCACAGUAAUCCUGUGUUAAAAAUGGCUGUCGGAAAUAGAUAUGUUUUUAGCCUGGCAAAUCAUGGUGGCAUACGUGGAUGGAGUAUUGCAUCCCCAGGACCUAUUGACAGCAUAAUACGAUCAGAAGUGGCAUCGAGAGAACUAGAGUAUACAAGACGGAACAGUUUCAGAAUUUUAGUUGGUACAUGGAAUGUCGGUCAAGGAAGAGCAUCCCAGGACGCCCUUAAAGCAUGGUUAGGUUCUGCUGCAUCAGACGUCGGCAUUAUUGUUGUUGGGUUACAAGAAGUAGAGAUGGGUGCGGGUUUUCUUGCCAUGUCUGCAGCAAAAGAAACUGUAAGAUCAAGUUGGUUUACUUUCAUUGGAAUGGAUCAUGAAAAGUUCGUGUACAAUGAAUACACGCAGAGAGAGAGAGAGAUGCUUGGAUGAAUUCCUAGUUGUUUAAUCACAAAUAUUGAUUCCAGAUAAACAUCCUAGAGUUUAGAAAAAUCAACACUCUGGAUUUUUUCUAUGUUGUUCUGCACAUUAUUUUGUUUGCUGCUUGUUUGUAGGUAGGACUUGAAGGGAGUGCCAUUGGGCACUGGUGGCUGGACAAUAUAGGAAAAGCCUUAGAUGAAGGAAAGACUUUUGAACGUAUGGGUUCCAGGCAGCUUGCAGGCUUGCUCAUAUCUCUUUGGUAAGAAAUUUAACUUUAAUGUGUGUUUCAUAUUUAACUUGUUAUUUUCACGAGAAAGCUCCCAGUUAGUAUUUCCUUCCUUUGAAGUAUCAUCUUAAUCCUGUCUUCGUGCCCUAAGGGAUCAUCACUUUUAUAGUUUAUUACAUCUGAUAUUUUGAGUUCUCAAUUAGGGUAAGAAAGAAUCUCAGAAAACAUGUUGGUGAUGUUGAUGCUGCAGCAGUUCCAUGUGGCUUUGGACGUGCAAUUGGUAAUAAGGUUCGUAUGUCUAUCUUCAUAGUGCUUUAUCGCCAAUAUAAAACCAUUUCAUUUGCUGUGCGCCAUUUUUUUUGGCAUUGCUGACUAAUCUGUCCUUGCAGGGAGGUGUAGGUUUGAGAAUUAGAGUUCUUGACAGGAUAAUGUGCUUUGUUAACUGUCACUUGGCUGCACAUUUGGAAGCAGUCAAUCGGCGCAAUGCUGAUUUUGAUCAUAUUUUUCGAAACAUGGCCUUUGGUCGGUCAUCAAAUGUUACGGCAGCUGGUAUGGUGCGAUUCCUGUUUUUGUGUUGCGUUCUUGCCUUCUCCACAUUUUUAUUUUGGAUGCUUUAUGUUUCUGGCUUCCCACUGGUCCUAUCUAUUGCAGCUGGUGUCUCAACUGCCAGUCACACGGUUAAGGGUACUCAUGUACGUUAUAAUGACCCUUUUAUAGUUUCUAGGAUAAUCUUUAUUGGGCAUGACCUAUGAGUUACAAGGUAUUGGGGCUUCACAGGCUGCAAGUACAACCCAUGAAGAAUCCAGGCUUGAUUUAGCUGAAGCAGAUAUGGUGGUGUUUCUUGGUGAUUUUAAUUAUCGGCUUUUUGGUAUAUCAUAUGAUGAAGCAAGAGACUUUGUUUCACAAAGAAGCUUUGAUUGGCUUAGAGAAAAGGAUCAGCUCAGAGCAGAGAUGCAGGCAGGGAAAGUUUUUCAAGGAAUGCGUGAGGCAGUCAUUGCAUUCCCUCCUACUUACAAGUUUGCAAGACACCAACCAGGUUUAGCAGGUAAAAUUUCGCAGAAAUGGUAGAAGUUUUGGCAUCCCUUUAGUUAAGACGGUUCACAGUACUGGAAAUGAGCUUAAGCUUGUUUGAAAAUCUUAAACAGAUUACCUCGAUUGAGUUUGCUUCUGAAUUCUUAUUCCUUUUUAUUAAGCAAAAUAUUCUGAUUUAUCAUUCAACGUAGAAUUUUUACCAUGUGUAUCAUCCACAGGAUACGAUUCCGGGGAGAAAAAACGCAUUCCAGCUUGGUGUGACAGGAUAAUAUACCGUGACAAUCGAUCAGCUCCAGUGUCUGAUUGCAGUUUAGACUGCCCUGUAGUCUCAUCAAUUAUACAGUAGGUUUCACAGUAGGAUAAUUUUGAUGCUUCCCUUCCCCCUUACAAGCAAUUCUGCAUAGCUCUGAUAUUUGAUUUUCAUGUUCAAAAGGUAUGAAGCUUGCAUGGAUGUCAUAGAGAGUGAUCACAAACCUGUCCGCUGCAAGUUCCAUGUUCAAGUUGCCCAUGUUGAUAGAUCAGUGAGGAGACAAGAAUUUGGAGAAGUGAUCAGGUCUAAUGAGAAAGUAAGGUCUAUCCUCGAACAAUUACCUCAUGUGCCAGAUACCGCUAUAAGCACCAACAACAUCCGCCUUCAAAGCCAGGACACAGUCGUCUUUCGAAUCACCAACAAGGAUGUUAAGGAAAAAGCCAUAUUCAGAAUUACCUGCGAAGGUGUGUGCACUGUCAGCGACGACAGAGAGGAAAACACUUAUCAUUCACGGGGUUUGUUUGGCUUUCCAAGAUGGCUCGAGGUAAUUUACUAUUUUUUAAACUUGAUACAAGUUUAUAGAAUCAGGUUGUAAAAUUAAAUGCCCUGAACCCAAGCCACACAGCAGUAUCAGUCCAUGCACGGCCAGCAAGUUGGCUGGCAACGUAACAAGGACAUUUCAUCCAGAAUGAUCUUCUGUAACUAUUAAUCUUGAAGAGUUUACCUUCAUACUAUCUGAAUCUUUUAUUCCCCUCUUCAGCCUAUAUACCUUUUGUUUUCAACCACUCUUUCCAUAUCUGAUUCAAAUGAAACUUUUCGUUUCAUUCUGAAGUAGCUUCUUUCCUGUGUCUGGAUAUAGGUAACACCAGCAGCAGGCAUAAUUAAACAAGACCACUUCGUGGAGGUCGCAGUACAUCAUGAAGAUUUCCGUUCCUUAGAAGAGUUAGUUGAUGGAAUCCCACAAAACUGGUGGUCCGAAGACACACGAGACAAGGAAGCUACAUUGUCUGUGAAUAUCCAAGGCAGUAAUAGAACGGAGACACAAAGUCACCAAAUCGUUGUUCGACACUGCUACUCAGCCAAGACAGUGCGCAUCGACUCUAAAUCAAACAAUUCUUGGAAAGGAAAAAGAGGCUCAGUUCACCGGUCUGACCUUAGGCAACUAAGUGGUUCCUCUGAUAUGGUUGAUGAUUUCCGAAACUUUUGAAGCUAUAGUGAGGUCUUAUAGAAACGGGCAGGACUUGUUGACAUCACCUGGAAGCAGCAUUGAGGUUGCUUGAUCCAAUACCAAGUCAUUAAGUCUUCGAUGUAUAUACUCUUGGAAAUGGUUCCCAUUUCAUCAUGUUGAGAACAGGUUCCUUUAGUUUAUGAUGGCUUGCAUAUGUUGAUCUCUGGUGAGAAUUCUUUAUCUCAUUCUUUUCCUAGAAAAGAAAAAAGUCGAGCACUGUAAUCAAAUCAAAGCAUAUUGUACUAUAUUAGUUUUUCUGAAGAUUGCAGUAACAAUGUUGCAAUUUUCCAAAUGCCCGUUUUGUAAGCUUGGAACUAUUUGGAGUUUUGUUUUCACCUGUCGUAGCAGAUUAAGAGCUAGGAGCUAAAUGAGCAUGAAUGCUCUAGCAUUUAAUAGCUGGAGUUUGUAAAUCCUUCCAUUGUCGAACCUUUUCAGUUUACUUGGUAGACUAAAUUUACGCAAAAGAAAUUUUCCAUCUAAACUGAAUACAAUCAAAACAGGGAUGUAAAGCUUUUCUCCAUUAAUUAGAUGGAUCCUGUUAUUACUACAUUUUCUACAUACUACGCAUAAAAUUCAAGCAGACCCUUGUACAGCAUCAGUCAUUGGCAUCUUCAUACCUGCUUUGAGCUUCAAUCGAAUCUGUAAGAAACCAUCAAACUCAGAUUCACACCAGAUCUGAGCUCAUCCAAUAGGAAACCACCAAGAAACCUGCAGAAGGAAACCAAAAUCGUGUUGAGGAAGCUUUCUCAGAGGUCCAUGUACAGCCAGAAUGAGAAGAUGAGUGCCUUCCUCUCGAUUGCUGAGUGUUAUGUUCAUCUCAAAGCAUUAUUUAGUAAAUCAACACCUUAGCUCCACUUCUGACAUCAAAUUCUAUAACCACCAGAGAGUGAGCGUAGCAAUUUCAUAUAUAGAGUGAGAUAAUAGUCAUAGAGUCCUGGUUUCAGCUCUCCAUAUUCUAAUGUCUUUAGAGUGCAUACAUCCUCUUACAUUCACUGUUCAAAAUCUCUUGAUCUGAUGCCGCGGACAUAGAAUAAGAGCGGGACCGACUUUCUCUCCUUAUAUUCCUUAAAGUUGACUCCUCCAUCCUAUGUAAAAUGACAAAAUAGCACAUGGAGCCAAUUGUAGCGAGCAUGAUUAUGCCACCAAGGACUGUUGCAUAGAUAGCAAGCCACCUGAAUUUCUUACCCACCACCACAUAAGUAAGAGAAAUAAAGGCCGCUGAAAUGAAGAGGCAAGCGAGCCACAUGAGUUUGUUAAUAAUAAACACAAGCUGCUUCUUUCCCUUUUGUUCAAUCACAACAACAGACGUUUGGACUACAACGACAGCCAGAGAAAUGAAUAAUGCCAGGCUGUCAAAUAUGAUGAAGACUAAGAAAGCAGGAUUUCUUGCUACAUGGGCUUGCCCAAUUGCUGCCCCAUCAGUUUUCUCCUCAACAUACUGGCCAGGCACAGUGAAAAUGGCUGCAAAAGCAACUGUAGCAAUGAGAACCGCAACAAUAGUUGCAUUAUUUAUAGCAUUGUUGAGGCCACUAAUGUGUAGCUUCUUCAGCUUCUUGGCAAUUUUCUGCACCUUGAAGCCAGUUUGACGGGUCUGUUGGAGCUGGGACUGGACAUCAUGUUUUAUGGCACUGACAGUCUGCUUUAGUUGCUUUGCUGAACUAGGGGGCUUUCCACAGUCUUUGGAAUUGUUAGCCCCUGCUUCCUUCAAAAUGUAUACAAGGUCUUGAACCCCAAGUUUUUCUGCAAUGUCUAGUGGGGUCUCUCCAGCUUUGUUAAUAGCAUUGAUGUUAACACCCUCGACUGAUAACAGACAACGUACAUUCUGCAAUUAAAUGAUGAAUCUCAAUGAAUGUUGCCAAACAAAUAUAAAUUCUUUUGAAUAGAUGAAAAAGAAAAAACAAGAACUAAGAGGCAAGUGAAGAAAACAUGAUGUUAUCUGGUUACAACAUAAGAUCCAAUAAUGCCAUUAUAAAUAGUUUAAUUUUUGUCAAAUCAUAGCCCCAAGAUACUCCACCCACAAUUAUCUGUUGAAGUUAUUUACAGUAAGAGUCUCCUUUGACAUUGUUUUCAUUCCUCAAUCAGUCAACUUUCCAAAAUGUCUCAAGCAGAAGAAAUCACUUCUUUCGACAGGGAUAUAAGAUAUUACAAGGUUUCUCCUUAAAAUCCGUUCUGUGUAUUAUACAAUAAAUACCUGAGGUUUUCAUUGAAAAUCCAUAUUUCAAACACAGAAAAUGCAAUUAAUAGCCAACUCCAUAACAUAUUGCCAAACGAUCAAUUUUUGACAUCAUUUAUGCAAAUCAUUUCCAACACUGUUUGAGAAAUGGAGUGUUGAACAUAAAAAAAUAAAAGUCACAUAUAAUGCAUUUCAUCGUUUCUGAAAGUUGUUUGGAUUUAACAGAAAGUGAGAGGAUAAACCUUAUCAAGGAUAUGAUGGUCAACAGUUACUGUGCGACUAGAGCCAUAAUCAUAACGAAUCUACCUAAAGUUUUUAUGUUAUCUAUAGAGACCCUAAGUUGUAAUGAUCACCAGAGUUCAUGCAUCAACAAUAUAUGUCUCACUACAGGAUGCUUAUGAUGAAACAGACUUCAUCAAGGAACACAUCCUGCAUCGCUGUAGUCUCUAAGACAUGUAACUAACUCAAUAAGAAAGGGUGAGAGAUAAAGAAAUGAGAAAGUACCUGAGCACGCCCUUUCUUUAUUGCAACAUGCAAUGCUGUGUUUCCCUUAUUGUCUUCCACAUGCAUAACAGAGGGGUCAGGUUUUAGCAAUUCCAGCACAAUUUCCUCAUUUUGCCCUUUCACAGCCAUGUGCAAUGCAGUUUGUCCUUUUUUAUCAGUCCUAAAACCAGUGCUUGAAUCCUUGAUUAGGAGGGACCUCACAACUUCCAAGUGCCCCAUCCUUGCAGCUGAAUGGAGGACAGUCUUACCAUUAUUCCGUGCAAUCUUAACAAGAUUUGCAUCUGUUUCUAAAAGAAGAUUGACCACAUCAAUGUGCCCUUGAGUUGCAGCAGUGUGUAGAGCAGUUGUACAUGAUGAAUCAGUUGUCAUGGCCAAGUUGGGGAACACACCCAAAAGCUUCCUCAAGACAUCUGCAAAGUUUAAGAAAAUUAGAAGUGACAACCAAAAUUUUUUUAAGCAGAACAUUUUAUCUUGCAUUGCAGAUAGCCACUACAAAAAAUUUGUUUGUCUUGUUUUACACCUCAACACAGCCUCUAGUCUCAAUAUCAGAUAAAAAAAAGGUAUGCAGUAGGUUCAUAUUCAAUGCAAAACUCUAGCAACAUCAUACAAAAAAUAAAUCGGCUGAGAUCUGCAGCACGGAGGAAAAGGAUUCAUGUUACUGUCCCCAAUGAGUUUGACCCUAAUGCUCAAGUUAAGUUUCUGAUGGAAAAGAAACAAUGCUAGAAAGAUUCCUAAGCAGAAAGAGCAAGAGAAAUACAUGCACACAGGUAGAUGAAUUCAGAGACUAAAAAAAAUACUAGAGAUGAGAAGGCUUGAACUACAUUGAGUUCUAAUUUCAUGCCCAUCACUCCAAACUCUGGAAAUUCAUACAUUAUCAGGUUCGAGCAUCCAUACCCAAUGCUUUGAAUCUCAAACAGGUUAGUUUGUAAUGGAGUCAAAAUACAACAUGAAACGCUGACAGAACAUUGCUAAAAAGACAUUGUGGACAGUGGCUGUUCAUGAGACAGUGGCAAAUUCAGCAGCAGUGGCCUAUGCGAGCAGUGGGCUGAUGCGAGUUUGGACUUGGACUUGGACGAUGGACAGUCCAAGGCAGGCAGCAAACACAGCAGAUUUGACAGCAUGGAAUGACAGUUACGCAGUAGUAUAGUGGAUUGUUAUGACAGUUAUGAUCAUGGCUUAAUGGGGGAAAUGGGUGUCCAGAUCAUGGGGGCAUGGCUGCUGAACAUGGAAACAUGGUUGGGAUUGUUUCUCAAGACACUAAGAUGAUGGUGUCAUGACGUCAAAACCACCCACUAAAUUCAUGAGGGGGGGGGGGCACUACUUCCUAAAAUGUAGAAUGUAGAGAUAAUAGUUUUAUAUUUUGUAACAUUUCAUAUGCUUGUCUAUAAAUAGGUUGUGUAAGGGAUGCUAACUUGGGUGUAUAGCAUGCAAGUUUUGUGCAUCGCGCGCGCACAUACAGAUUUGUGUAUUUCCCUUUUGUUGAGAUUAAUAAAGGUUGUAAUUGUUUCCUGUAAUAAUUUGUGUGCUUUGUAUACAUUGCAUCCUUUCUAUUUAUGUGUUCUGCUUGUCUCAUAACAGGAGAGAGUAUGGGGAAACCUUGAGGAGAGGGGAAACAUGUAGUUGCUAGACAAAUAUGAGUGGAUAGAAAGAGGAAAGGUUGAGUCUUGCAGAGGGCUGGGCUGCCGCAUAGGAGCUGGAAAGUUUCAAUGAGAAAUUAACCCUAUGACACUCCCCCAUUUGGGAUUGUGGCCCAAAUGGAGGUUGGCUAAAAUUCAAUUUUUUUCUUAAAUUUUUUUUUUAUGUUUUCCGAUCGUUUUGAUGUGCCGAUGUCAAAAAUAAUUUUUUAAAUUAUUUUGAUAUAUUUCUGAGUGAGAAGCACUUUGAAAAGCAACUAUGCUGCUAUACUAUCAAACACCCCUUGACCAAAAUCCAUGUAGCUCAUAUGAAAAACACUUGACAUAUCUCAUGAAAUUGGGGGAUUCUAGUAUCUUCUGGACAUGAUUUGCAUAAUACUUGAUUGAGGACUUUUUCUCUUGUCAAUACAUGAAAGUAUUUGAUAGCAUGCAAGGAAUGAGAUUAAAUCAUAGGAAAAAUGAUACAUGGAAAGAAUGGAGCCAUUUCGUCAGUUCAAGUGAGUUAACAACUGUUAUUAAAAAACAUACCAUCAAGAUGUUAAUGGAGAACAAAAGUUACAAAGUGCAAAAUCAGAAUGAUUUCUUACCAAGAUGACCCUGCUUUGCAGCCACAUGGAAUGGAUCAUACCCAUUCCUAGCUGCAAUAGAUGCAGUCUCCAGGUCCAUGGAUUCGAGCAUUUCAGCAACAACCUCAGCAUGCCCAUUCUCUGCAGCUGCAUAAAGAGGAGUUUCUCCUUCAUGAUUCUGCAUUGCCAACAGAACCUCCAAAUCAGUGCCAUCAGAAUUCUGAAGGAUCUCUCUCACUCUACUCAAAUUCCCAGUACGUGCUGCCAAAUGAAUCUGUGAGUCACCUCGCUUUCCAGGUGAAUCUUUAGUCUUUUUCCUCUCACCACCACCAAUAAAACUAAGUUGUCUCUCCAUCACUACACGAAAACUCUUCUGUUUAUCCAGAAAUCCACGAAAACCCUUCUCCACUCCACGAAAACUGGGGUGUUUUUCAAUCACUCUAUGAGAAGCUGACCCAUUUUCUGCUACACCUUGAAAACUGGGGAGUUUUUCCAUCACUCUAUGAGAAGCUGACCCAUUUUCUGCUACACCUUGAAAACUGGGGAGUUUUUCCAUCACUCUAUGAGAAGCUGACCCAUUUUCUGCUACACCUAGAAAACUGGGGUGUUUUUCCAUCACUUUCUGUUUAUCUGGUAUUCCUUGAAAACUCACUUGCUUUUCAAACACUUUCUUUUUGUCAGUUACUCCGCUGAAACUCCGCUGCCUUUCCAUAAUUCUUCCAUUGAAGCUGCUUUGUUUCUUCAUGGUGAUCACACACGGUAUCUCACAGACUUAUCAAUCAAUCUCAAAAUUGUCAAUCCCUUGCUUCUAACUGAAACCUUGAUUCUUUAAUUUUGAAACCCAGAAAUUACUUUCCUUUCAAAAUGGUCAUGCACAAAAAUCCCCAGUAAUAAGCAAGUCUCAAAUAAAAGACACUUCCUUUAGCAUCCUCUAAAUCUCGAUUCUAUGAUUCUAAAGCCAAGAACUCAAUUCCAUUUCACCACGGUCAAGCAUGAAUUUCACACAAUCUCAGUCUUAUCUUAUCCUUGAGAAUAAUAACAGUUACUCUAUAUACUUGAAAACCCAGUUCCCAAACUUACAAGAAACGGUCACCAACUUCUUGGGGGUGAUAAAGUCUCGAACUUUGAUAAGCCAAACUGAACAGCAUCCAUCCACUGUACAUUUUCAACACUUUCUUUCUUACUUGUCAAGAUGAUAAUCAAUCAAUCAAAUACAGAAAACCCAGAAAGUGAAAAUUCAAUACCUGACGUGAGAAAUGAAAUCCCAAAAACUGAAACUUUCAAUUUCCACCACAAUAUGAAAUAUCAAAACCCCAGCAAGUGAUUUCAAAGAAGCUCGACAAAAUCUAACUUGUUUUGACAACUAGAAGCUGGAAGGGACAAAAUAUCAUCAGCAACCAGCUGCUUUUUUCAUGUUCUCUCUCCAAGGAUGCUUUUAUUUUAAAUGAACUGGUGAAAAAUGGAAUCUUUUUGACUUUUAAUUGAUUUACUAGUAGCUGCUUUAUAGACUUACGAUAAUGAAAGAAAGCCACAAAAGCUCAAUACAGAGAGAGAGAAAAGCCCCAGCUGUAUUUUUCUUGUACUAAACUUGAAUUCAAUUAAUCUUUUUAUUUUAUUUUAUUUUAUUUGAGGAUAAGAUAGUAUUUGUUUUGGUAAUUUAGUUAUAUUAUUUUAAAAUUUUAAAUUAUUUUGAUGUGUUGAUAUUAAAAAUAAAUUAAAAAAAUUAAAAAAAACAUAUUUUUAUAUAUUUUUCAAUUUAAAAAUACUUUAAAAAAGAAUUAUUACCACAAUACUAAACACACCGAUUGAUAUAACAUAAUUAUAUGGAUUUAGAUGUGUUUUAAAAAUAAUUUUAUCUUAAAAAGACAAUGUUUUUCUUAGUGUUUUUUAAUGAUUUUAAUAUGCAGAUAUUAAAAAUAAAAAAAUUAUUUUAAUAUAUUUCGAAGCAAUAAAUAUUAUACACCAUGAUAUUAAAUACACUUAAUGAAUUUUACAAUAUAUCAUUAAUUAUUAAUGACCAUAUAGAUAUAUUAUUUGAGAUGAUAUGUAUUUUUUUUACAAUUUUAAAUAAUGUUACAAAUUGAAGUCUAAGAUUCUCCUAGUCCUAGGCACUUGAUGAUCUAAACUUAAAUUAAAUCAAUAAUAGGAUUAGUUUAAGAUCCUAUCCACUUCUAAUUAACUUUUUUUUUUUAAUCUUUUAAAUUAUUUAUUUAUUUGGUGUAAGAACAUUGUAUAAAGAAUACCAUCUUUCAUCUAUAAACUUAAUAGUUUGGUGAUAUUUACCCUCACGGUUUAAAAUAAAAUAAAAUUGAGAUCCAUUUUUUUACCACCUUAGGAAGGGAAAGCAAUUCUAUGGCUCUGCUGCAUCUAGCCAGUAAAUCUACCCAUUUGCAGGAGUGUAUGAAGAGCAUGUUAGCAAGAAGUACUCAUCCCAUUUGCAUUUUGGGUAAGAUAUUUUAUAGAAAAAUAUUUUUAUAUUUAUUUUUUGAAAAAUAUUUUUUAUUGUAAAAUAUUUUAUAAAAAAAUUAUUCAAUAUGAAAUAUUUUAUAAUCAACCGUCAGAGUUAAUUUCUAAAAAUUAUUUUUAAUUGAUGAAGUUCCCUGAAAUAUUUGUAAAAGAUAUUCAUGACCGUUAAAUAUUUGGCGUGAAGAACCAAAAUAAGAGGGGCGGGCAUCCAAGCAAUUAUUAGACCGCCCAUAUUUUCAACACCAUAAACAUACAAAAACAGUUACUUUGUAGAACUUGUGAAUGGCGGGGGUGGGCGGCACCCACAAGCCACACUAGUGUUGACUCAAAAACAACGCGUGAUUCUUCUGGGCGUUGAUGGCCCAAUCUAGCCCCUUCACCGACCGAUUUGGCUCCUGUUAUUUAUAGAAAGAUCAAACGAUCGGCAGAUCUUAUCUUGUUUCUUUAUUUAUUGACCUCGUCAAAAAAAGAAGAAGAUAGAAUAUCUUGCAUGAACACAGUUUACAGAAAACUAGUUUAUAGCACAAAUACCCAUUUCUCGUUCUUCCAUUCUUUCCCUUUCCUUUGAUUUUAUUUCCAACAAAUAGUUUACAUUUAUUUGUAGCGCCGCACGUAGUCUCAAAAUCCUUUUUUUAAAAAAAAUUAUUUAAUAUUAUUAUUAAAUUUAUAUGGCACAUCAAGUUAAAAACUUUUUAAUUUAAUCUUUUAUUUAGCAUGAAUUUAAAAUUAAAUAAUGUGAUAAUUGCUUCAACAUAAUUUAAAAAAGUAUAGUUAGUUAUGCUUAGUCUAAAAACAACCCCAAUAAGUAAAAGAAGAAGAAGAAGAAAGAAAACCACACUAGUACUAUUCUUUUCAUAUAUAAUCCUUUCAAUUGUUUUUUUUUUCUUUUUGAUCGGUUCAAUGCUUACUAUAAAAGACAACAAGUAAUUAAUUAAGUAUAUAUAUAGUAUGAUAUGCAAAACAACUAAUUAAUUGGAGUUGCCUUACCAAAACUAACUAACUUUAUCAAAGGUAGUACUGAGAGCAAAUUAAUCACAAAGAUAUUCAAGGUUUGACCAAGAUAUUGUCAGCAGCUAGAAAGCAAGCUAGUAUUCUCGAUCGGAGAUAAAUGUAGAUAAAUUGUAGCCGUCGACUGUCUCCCUUGCAUGGCCAUAUAUGCAUGCUUUGUCAAUUAAACAACUAAUUAAUUAUAGAAGAGAAACAUCAAAAUCCAUUGACUGCUUUUCUUUUCUCUUUUUUCGUUUUCAGUCUGGUCAUAAAUCUGUUUCUAGAAGAGAAAUUAAGAUGGUCCAAGGAAACUUCUAUCGGCCGGCCCCCGCCCCGAUCUGCUGCCUAACUUGGAGGGGAUAGGGGAAGAACUUCCCAUUUGACCAAGACUAUCUAAUUUGCCUGAUGACGUCACUCCAAAUUAAUUUUACAGAAUACAUAUAUAGUGACCUCAUUCACGAAAAGCUCCUACUUGAUUACCGUACAUGCAUUACUUGGAGUUAGAACCCUAAGGAGCGAGGUGGCUUAGGUUUGCUUUUUUAACAUGAAUUUUUUUUUAAAAAAAAAACAAUAUAUAAACUAAUCUAAAAAUAUCUUUAUAGUUUAAUUAAUAAGAAUACCAGAUAAGCAUUGUUUUAUUUUUUACAUUUAGAACUGUGUUCGGAUGUUUCUUUAAUGUUUUCUAAUAUUUUUGAUGUUUUAAUAUUACAAAUAAAAAAAAUAUUAUUUUAAUAUAUUUUUAAAUAAAAAAUACACAGAAUAAUAAACAAACACUAAAUGAUAACACAAUUACAGGAGAUCACGUUAUGUGCAAUAGUAUUUUAAUACAAAUUAAGCUCUUUAAACUUAAUAAUUGAAGAACAAUAUUUGUAUCAGUGGGAUUCACUGCCACACUCAAUCAUGUUAGCUUUAAUAGCCGCUUAGACAUGGUGUGUUUCACCCAUUAAUUGAUUAAUUACUUUUUUUUUUCUAAAAAUGAAACAAUCAGCUUUAUUGAGUAUAUACGGACCGACUGAUCAUCAGUCUUAAUUAUAUAUUCUGAUUAUUAAUUGUUAUACACAACUCUCAGGCAUAAGCACUCCAGCGCUUGUUCCACCUACGUUCUUGCAUGAUGAUGUUGCUGCUUUAUUCUUGUAAGUAAGUCUUAUGUCUUGUAAUCUGAUUCCUCUGCAUGGAUUACUAGGGCUGCAGUCAAAUGUUACUGCCUCUGCUGUUGCUGAUGUUCCUUGUAUGUUUUUGUAUAUCACCUGACUAAUCUUCACCCCAGAAGUCUAUUACAGAUUAAACAUAGAACACGGUAAUAAUUAGAUCUCAUCGAUCGUGCAUGGUUUUACUAAAGAUCAGAUAACAAUUAGCUUAUUCAAAAUGUUGUAGCAACUAAUUACCUGACGAGGACAACCUUUGUUGUCAGGGCAAUAAUUUUGGUCGAUGAUAAUUGGGUUCUGAACAUUCUUCAUAAUCAGGUUUUUAUAGACAACCUUCCUCACAAACCCAUUGCUGGGUCUGGCCCAUGAUUUUAUCCUUACACCAUUGUCUGAGCCACUGAAGACUGAAUUUGUUACCAUUAUAUUUUCCACUCCAUCUUCGUUGAAUUCCUUGCCUAGACUUCCAAUGCUGUAAGAGGUACAACAAAUCAAUCAGAACCACUUCAGUUACUUACGUACUAGGACUCCUUGCAAUUAAUUAAACUACAAUUAAUCCAUGAUGAUCGAUAAUAUAUAUAGACAAUACACAUGGAGGUUAAUAUAUAUUUACCUGAUACCAUGUCCAGGGCCACACUUAAUGCCGCUCAUCAGCAUGUUCCUAGUGCCUGGACCAAUUGAUAUGCAGUCAUCUCCCGUCUGAAGUGUGCUGCCAGUGAUUGAAACUCCGGUCGAUGCUUGCACGUGAAUGCCAUCGGUGUUGGGGCUUUGGUCUGGUGCAAUUGUCCUUACAUUUCGGACCACAACUUUCUUGCAACUGUUGAUAACAAGGUGAGUUGAUUGACUGUUGAUAGACGUCAAGCCGCUAAUCAGGAUGUCAUUUGCCCAGUUGAAUGUUAUCGACUGCAUUGCAAAGAGAGUAAUUUGAUGCUAAGAGAUAAACCACUCAUGAAUUAUGGGAUUGGUUUUAUUUUAUUUUUCUCACAAAAAUGUUUAUGCAUAUAGUUGAUUUAGUUAAGGUUUGUUAAGCUGAAAGACAGGAAAAAAUUGAUGGACGAAGGACCGUAAUAUUAGGGGUGGACUGGUCACAUGAAAGCACUGUGUUGGCCAUGUGGAUCAGAUCAACUUUAAAUAAUUAAUUGAUCACUCGCCAGCACUUGCAAAUAUGAUUAAUAUUGCAACUUGUUGAAUUGCUACUUACAUUAAUUGAAUGCUACUUACAUUAAUUGAAGGAUAUGUAUAUAGAUAGUAUUGUACUUCUCAAAAAAAAUAUAGAUAGUAUUGUAUAUAUUGUAGAUUUUUUACUUACCGCAGCUCCAACAGGACAAUUCUGUCGAGAUUUCCUGCAAGCCCAGAAGCCAGCACCUUUAGCAUCAAGGGUGCCACCAAAGACAGAAACUCGAUUAGUCUCGAUGAACAAAAUCCAGUACCCUGAGUUGCCUAGGGCACGGUAAUCUGUAGGAGCUAUAAGGGUUCCACCUAUCUGAACCGUAAUUUUAUUCUUGCACGGACCCCUAAACACUAUUGCCUUUAGCAAGUACCUUCCUUUAGGCACAUAAAUUGUGGACGGAGUAGCCGAUCUGCAUGCAGCUGACCAUGCCUUAAGAAAGGGUUGGGUUGCGUCAGUCUUGCCAUCUGGUUUUGCACCAAACUUGAUCACAUUAUGGGUUGUAGAAGCUGCGUUUGACAGGUGAAAGGAGUAGAAGAAGGAGAGUACUACAAAAGAAACAACAAACUUGGCCAUCACGAAGGGAUUUCUGCUGUCUUGCGCGCAAUAAGAAUCAAGGGGAGAAAUUAUGAUCUAGCUAGGUAGGCAGUCCUGUUGGUUGAUACACAAAUGGCAGGUAGAUCACAUAUUUAUAGCUAGGGAGGUGUUUGAGGUUGUUUUACAUCCGCUAGCUCUUGAUCAAACAAUUAUUAAUUAACCGAGAUUAAUUAAAGAUAUUGUCAUGAAACGUUAAUUACUUUCAUUAGACGCACGUCCCCAGAUGUACUUGUAGUGAUGAUAUGUACGUGCACAUGCAUUUUUACAAGUAAUGACGACUCUUCACUUUGGGAAGAAGUAUGAACAUUGCCCAUGUGAUAAGUUGUUGAGCGCACACUGUAAAUUAUGAUGUUAUACAGGCAACUAGUUGUAGCAUGAGCGGUCAUGCUUGGUUAAUAUUAGCGUAGAUGGAUGUUCUUCCUCUCUAAGUUCUGAUCCAAGAUUGGUAGAUACGGUGGUGGCAGGAGAUGACGAGACAUUUAAUAAGUUAAUAUGUUGCAUUGCGUGUAAGAGUCGUACGGGAAUAGCCGCCGUCUCUUUUUCUACGUGAUGCGUGGAGUGGAGGAAAUUAACCCGGAGGGAGUACGUACCUGCUGCCGUGAAUGUUGCCGAUCUUGAAGCUCAAUAUCCUACAUAGCUACCAAUCAUCAAUCUAAAAGAGGAGGGAAUUAAGGCCUCGAUUUGCUUAAUUUCAACUUUGGACUAGUACUAGUCCUAUUCUCUUCCUUCCUUUUGAUGGGAUUUUUUUUUGGUUUUUUUCUUGACGAGUACUCUCUCUCUUUUGCACUACUAAUUAAUUAAUACGUGUGCGUGUGUGGUUUUAAAGGAAAAGAAUCUUGAAUAUUUAAGGCUUAAUUAGAUAACAUCAAUAUCCACUAGAUGGGGCCGGGGGGCGGUUGAUUUUUUCUUGUUCGAGGACCAACUUGCUUAGAAUCGGGGAAAUAGGGCAGAUAAAUAUGUGUCUUUUUUCCCUUAUUGUUUUAGUAAUCAACUAACUAAAGCAUGGUCAUUAAUACGAUAACAAUUUUAAAUUAGAGGCGUACAGCCGUGCCGCACAUCAUGAGGUUUUUUUUUUUUAUCUUGGAGAACGUCGAUGAAGGUAGUUGAAAGGAAAGGAUAUUAGUUAUAGCUAGUUGAGUAAUUAACAAUAUAAUUAAUAUGGGAGUUGCUUAAGUCAGGCUUCGCGUAUCUUAAUGAUGUCUAGCGUUAAUUCUGUGCGGACCAAGUUGGAGGUUUAUAGAUCGAGAGAUAAGAUGGUAGGAGGCGUGGUAAGCACGCACCCAGCAUCCAUGAUGCUAGCUCUUGUACGUACGGACGUACCAAAUAGUUAAAUGCCUUGAAAUACAAUUAAGUGUAUGCAUAUAUAUCAGUAGAGUCCAUUGACUCAAGACCUGUUGACAAUGAUUUGAUGGCAUUUAUUUAGUGACCACGAAAAGCAACCCUUUCAAUCAACCAUGUGCACGAAACAGUUCGAGCACGACAUGCAUCGACUAGAUUCAGGAUUGAUGCUAGCUAUUCCUAUUCCCCCUCUUAAAAAACAUAAUAUAGUUUUUACAUGCUGCGAUUCACAGUUGUAACAUUUAAUUUAGAAAUCACGACAUGCAUAGCGGCGAUCGACGAGUUGUGCAAUGUGCAGGCUUGACUGUUUUAGGGAAGAAAAUACGUGUUAUAAGAUAUUGAACAUACUUGCUACUUUGAAAUUACAUGCAUUUUAUGUAUUUUGAUAGCUAUCAUAGUUCUAAAAUGUUAAAUAUAAUUAAUGUUAUGUUUUUCAAUUACGACCUUGUUAUAUUUCAGUGUUUUGUAACCGUGACAGCCACCGAACUGUACUAUGUUCACAGAUAUUUAGGUCGCCAAAAUAUCAAGUUUUGUGGGCUGAUAACCCAAAAUAGCCCUUCCCCUUCAUGAACUUGGGCCGAAGCCAAUUAAUAGAGACAGGCUGAAAAUGAAUAAUGCUUGAAUGAGCCCUUGAAGACAAGUCUACACGGCCCGACAAACCCAGCCGACUCCUCUCUUCUUCUUCUUCUUCAUUUCCUCUCUCGGAAUGACUGAUCCUUUGUUGCUGCAGCUGAUCUAUGGUAAUAUGUCAACUUAUGCCUUCAUUCCAAUCUGACUCCCUUACACGUAUUGAAUUGAGCCACAAAUAACUUAUGUCAAUCUGGGGCAGUGGGUGUGAUCGAUGGUGCAUGAUAGGAUCAAAGGCUCAUUUCAUCAUAAUAUUUUGAAAUCAAUGUCUGCCCCAUGAUUUUUCCCCAACCCCAUCUUCAAAACAACACCUUUUACCGAUGCUGCAAGAGAUCAAGAAACAAGCAUUUUGUUUAGCAAUAAUUAUGUUUUGAUCAUGUUUAAUUAACUGUGUUUAAUUAUGAGAAACUAGUAGGAGAAAUUAAGAAGUCGUGAGAACGGACCCAAUUCAUGCAUGUCCAGGGCCGCAAGCAAUGCCAUGGAUCCACAAAUUCUCAGAGCCAGGACCUAUGGAUAUGCUAUCAUCUCCUGUUUUUAUCAUACUGUUGGUGCUGGAAACUCCAGUUGAGUAUUAAAUCUUUAAAUUUAUGAUCAUAACAAAAUAUAAACUGUAUCACAUAAUCAAACGGAACCUUAGCAAGCAAAGUCAAAUAAUUUAUCGGGCAAAACAAACGUUCCCUUGACCUGAGAUUAGGCCUAUUUAAUUGUAAUUAAAAAAUUAAACAAAGCAGGGUCCAAUUAACCUGCUGCCAUUAAUCCAACGGUAUUUCAGUGGAAAACAACAAAAGAAGGGGCUAAACUCAGAAAAAGGCAAAACUCCCUCCCCCCCACCUCUCAAAUUCAAAUCAAAUGAGUCAACUCCCUGCCAAAAAAAACUCAUCCAUUCACUCCCUUUUUAGGGUUAGAUCUCAAACUGUAACUCUCUCUGUUCAAUUCUCUCGCCAAAUGAACCAAUCAUCAAAAACCCACAAGCAAAAACGCCAAACUGGAUUACCAGAACAACCCACCAAGACCCACAGGAGAAAGAAACAGCCUCAGCACCAGCCAAGCUUUAGAAGAAACCCACUUCAAGAUCUCAAUAAUGGUGGCAUUGAUAGCACCAGCAUUGAUAACACCAGCAAUGCUUCUUCUUUAUCCUCCAUUGAAGCUCCUAAGGGCUGUCUCAGGUUCUUCCUCUCUCACUCUUCUUCUUCCAGGACUGCAAAAACUCCUUUCAAUAAUAGCAGUAAUAAUCAGAGACUGAUAAAAGUAAAGCCCUUCUCCUCAAAAACCCCCACGUCAGCUCCUGAUAUGAUGAGACCCCCAAAGGAGAACUCAUCAAGGCAGAACCUUUUUGAGAGACCCAUUUCAAAAAAGGUGGAGAAGGUGAAGAGAAACCAUCCUCCAUGUCUGUACCAAUGGCAAUCUGGUAAGAAACGCACUUGUUCUAGAAAUGAAAUUGCUAAUGCUAAAGUUUCGUCCUUUUCGGAAUCAAGUGGCAGUCUUGUAAAUAAUAAGCUGAAAUCUGGGUCUGGAGAGUUGAAAAAGGUGAUAAUUGAUGGAGUAUAUGAGGGUAGUGAAGCAAAUUUGACUCCUUUGUGUAAAGUGGCCAGUGGGUCUGGUUUGAAUCUUGGAGCUGAUGGUAAGGUUAUGAAUGAUGAUUUUUAUGAGAAAUCAUCAAAUUGUAAUACUGACUCAAAAUCAACAAGUAGCAAUACCAAGACACCUCCAGUUCAGCCCUCAGUAUCACCAGAGAUACAAUGUGGAUCAUCUAUGAAGCUAAUGACAGGGAAACCGAUUACUCCUGCUACUUGUUAUGGUGCUGGUCAUGUUGUGUCUGGGGUCACUGACAAGAGGAAGUGUAGGCCGAGAGGGAUACUCGCUUGUGGAGAAGCUAAAGCACUUGGUAGUUUUGAUAGUGAUGAGGAUAUUGAACAAGAGAAUGAUAUAGCGCUUGUUGAGAAUUCUGCUCUUUCUGUGUUGCCUUUGCCUAUUGAAGCUUCAAUGCAUUGGCUUUUAUCACCCUGCGAUGAGGAGGAUGAGGACCAGAAGGAGAAUUCUCGAAACAAGUUAUGCGGUUUUCAGAGAUUGGAGGUGCGUGCCAUGCUCAAUUCUCCUGCUUCAAUUUCAUCUGGCUAUGGUGGCUUUUCACCGAAUUUGUGCAAUACAAGUGCUAACAGAAGUAUCUCUACUGUUAGUGCUGGGAGGAGGAGGAGUGCUUCUUUGCUUUCUCCCAGUGAGCUCCCUCUUCCCGAGUUUCAAGGAUUUCUGGGAACUCCUUUAUGUGACGACUUUGCUGUUUCACCUUUAGAAGAAGAGACGAAUAAUCGCCGUGGCCUAGAUGGAGAGAACUCUCCAUUCUCCAUAGGCUCCUUGGGUAGUGGGAAUGUAAUCCAGACCCCCCAAUCUGAUUCUAGCUCAGAUAGACGAGUUGGCGCGUCUUGGUUACAAGUAGAUGGUAAUAGAAAGAAAUGUAGCUUUGAUUCUGAACUCAAUUCAGUGGCUGAGCAUCUUCAGAUGACUAGUUUAUCUCCCAAGAGCCAUGCAUCAAUAUGGGAUCCAACCAAUUCAAGUUUUCGAUUUGAUUCUCUGACCAUGCCUUCCAAUUCAGUCGAUCUUUCUAAGUUUCACAAAAUUUUGGACGAUCGGGCUUCUUGGUUUUCUAAUUCUACAAUCGAGAAUGUAUCACAAUCUCAGAUGAGAAUAUCUUGGAGGGAAGGAUUGGUAAGUCGUAUUUUUGAGAUGGAUGAAUUUGAUUGUUGUAGAUACUUGUCUGAUGAAGAGCAUGAUGGCAGUGCCUGCAAAAUUGAUUGCUCAAAAUCUCAUAAGAGUCCUGAGCUCAAUGUUGAUGCAGCAACUGAUCGCAUUUCAAUUAACUGUUUUGGAUCUACUGAAUAUGUAAUGAAGGAACAGGGAACAGGUGACAAAACCAAGGAUAGCCUCCCUUCUCAGCCACCAUGUUCAUGCGCAGAGUCCAUAAGCACCGAUGGUGGUGGUCUUGUUUGUUCAGAUGAUUCAGAUUGGACCCUAUGCUACAAGAACCAUUUGUUUCAAGUAUAAUUCCUCUCCAUUGUUUUUUAAUUCAAUCAGAUAAACUCUGGCAAGCUUUAGCUCAAACGUGGUUCUUAAGGAUCGAUAUUGUACUAGUUACACAAUUUGUAUUUCAGUUGUAUUUCUCUUGAUUUUACUUAGUUUAAAUAUUGAUAUUCAUUGUUAUAUGAAAUCCAUUAACACUCUUUAUUCCAUUGCUAAAUUGUUUACAUCUCAUUUGAUGUCUUGGGGACCACUGAAAUAUAUGUUUUUCUGCUUGUUCAUAGCUUUUAUUUUCGUACUGAGUUUAAAAGACGGGUAAAAGAAGGUGUUAGGGGACAUAGCAGCAUAGCAAAGGAAAAAAAAAAGGGUGGUAAACAUAGGUUGAGAGAUCUGUUUUAACUGACGAUGAUUGUGCAGUGUUACUGGCUGGCCAGAAAGAUGAAUGAACGGUCCAUGAUGCCCAGCCCUUUCAGUUUGAAAAUACCAGGAUGUGCCAUCUCAAAAUAGGCAAAAGGUCUAUAAAAACGAAUCUUACAUAUGCUGGAUAUAGCUAUUACUAAAUAUAGCAAUUGGACAGAAAAUUAUUAGUAAAGUUCAAAUUACAGAGCAAGUUGCCUGGGCCUGGAGGUCGAUGCUAAUCAAAGAAGAAGAGUAAUUGUUAGGUGUAUGACAAUGAGGUUUAAAACACAACCAAUUUAUGAUCUCCGGAUGUGCUUUGGAGUAAUGGUGCGGUAGUAAAUAUGAGCAAUUGUAUUAGAAGAAAAGAGCAUGUGGUGGCAUUUUCAAGGAAUAGCAAAUAGAGGAGCUUUUUCUGCAAGCCAUUGUCAUUUGAGCAGGUCUGAGAUUAAUAACCCUUUACUGUCAUCUCUCAUCUUUUUUUUUUCUUGGCCAAUUGUACAAAUAGAUUGGCAAUGAUAAGCUUUGUCUUGCAGUGACUGAGUAUAUUGAUUUGCCGGGCUGUGGUCCCGGUACGAAGUCACAACUCCACGAUAAAGUUGAUACCAGAUGCGUAUUUGCUAAUAUUGGAUUAACCCUCUCUGGCAGUCUUGUAUUUGAGGUAACCAUUUCACGGCUCUCAUAUUAAAUUUCAAAGUGUGGAUACAAGUAGAAGCAAGCUUUUAACUAGAAAUUUCAUUGCCUGAUUGAACAAGCUAGUUCCAAAACAAGAAAGUGACUCAGCAAAGAAAAUAUCUCGUGACGUGUUACAUUCUACAGUUAUAUCUCAUGGAUUGCGGGAAUUUAUUCAUCUAUGGGUAUUGUAGCGGAAAUAAUCUUGCAGGUUUAGGAGUAUGACUUGCUGAAGUAGAGGGACAGUAUGGACAAGAAAGGGUCAUGACAAUUAGGGGGGGAAAAGGAUUUUCGGCUUCACAAGGAGAUGACAACCUGAAUGUUAUCCUUUGUAAUCAGCUUUGUUUAGUCAAAUUGCUGGAGAUGUCAUAGGCAGGGUAGGCUUAUUGAGUUAAUGACAAUGUCACGAUGCAUCUGGGAUUUGUUUCAAUAAUACUUGAAGUAAGCAUCUUACAACCAAUUAUUUAUCACUUCUAUGAACAAGGAUAUCUGUGGAAAUUUGUUCCUGAAGUAACCCUUGAUAAUGUAUAAAGAGCACCUAAAUUUUGGUUCUUGAACUAAAUAAAGAACAUGGACUCUGACAUUCUAGUAGACUGAAUCCGAGUAAACUGAAAAUGAUCUCUUGGAGGCUCUUUAUCAUUGCUACCCUUUUCUUUUGCCCCUGGGAUAAUCAGAUCGCGUCUUGAUCUAAGAUUCAAGACGUUGAUCCUACAAGAAAGAUCAUAUAGAUAUGCAUACAAGUGUGCAUAUGCAUUGCUUGUCAACGCAAGUAAUUUGAUUAAACUUAUCCAGAGUUAGUUGCCAUGUCAGGUAGACAUCACAGGUUAAAUCUUCCAAGAAACAGUCCCUGAUUUGGUUUCUAGAUAUUACUCUUGUGCAGGUCAUACUUGCCUCUUAAUUUGACAAAAUCCAAACGGAGUAUUUAGUAAUCAUUUAUGUUGUUUUAAGAUAAAAAAGGAAAAAGAAAAAGAAAAACCCAGAGUACUCUUAUAUAUGCUUCUAUUAUUCUAAGUCACCAUCACCACAUCUCCUAUGAUGAUUAGGUAAACAAGAACUAAGGCAUAUAAAACAUUUUGUUUAAUUAUUCCACCCAUCAAGGCCGGCUAUGAUCAUCUACGGAUUGUGGUGAAAAAAUUUAUGCAUUAAGGACCUAAGGCCACUCUGCUUAACAGAAUCAAUGGACAGUAAAGCUUCAUUUGUGCCGCCUAUGGUCAAUAGAUGACAGCUUUUUGAUGUGACAUCAACCAAAUCAACUUGGAUUAUCAUAGCACAAUAACUAAUCAUUAUUGUAAUAACUAGAAGUGACAGACGAAACAUAGUCUUAGCAGCCAGAUAUGAAGUGGUGGGAUAUUUUUACUGGUUGGGUGGUUGUAAAAGGCCUUUACAGGUUUAAUAGAAGUAUGUGGUCAAAUUCUUUAUUACAGUAAAAUGUCCCUGCUUUCUUGUGCCUGAGUGUUUGUUUUUAACUUGUAUUUUGUCAUGGGAGAUGAGUUUGCCAAUUCAAACCUCACUGGAUGGUUUAUGCGUGGACUCACUCAACAUGACCAAGUCAGCAAAAGGAAGAUAUGAUUCUUUAAUCUUUUGCUCACUAUAAAGAAAUGAGAAAAAGUUGUAGAAGGGAUAUCUAGGUAUAGUUGAUGCAUUCGAAUAGACAGAUUUCUUCAUUUUGCUUGUUCAAUACCAUGCCAUAUCACCAUUGUUUGAUUUUGAACUUGGAUUUUUAUUUUUAUUUUUUAUAAUAUGAUAUAAUUCAGUCUCUAUACAUGAUUUGGCUCUAUUUUGUUGUAAUGAUAAUGAUGAUCUCAUGGAAAGAUUAUAGAGUACGGGAAGUUUUGUUUAGUUUCUUUGUGAAAGUCUUGAGAUACAAUUAGACGUGUUGGACUUUUAAUCCCCACAUCAGAGAAAAGUUUUGUGGACAUUGGUAUAUCACUCUCACACCCCCACAACAGGGCCACCACUAAACCCACCAAGGUCUAAAGUCUAUAACUCCAAGCCUUAUUCAAACAAUUGAUUUGUAGUUGCAUUCAUAGGGAAAGGGAAGAACCAAACACGGAACAGGAAGUUCAAGGUGUGGUUUGAUGGAGGGCCUAAUUCCUCUGGUUUACAAAGCUUUCAUGAAGAAAAAAACUCGCAGCCAAUAUGAGUGCCUUUCAUCCGGUGCUGCACGAGGUUACAACAUCUCGGAUUUCUACGUUCAUGAAGCACCUAAAAGUGAGCUGCAUUUGGAACCAUCCAUGGAGAAGAAAACUUAUCAGAAAAAAGGUCAUCAGAGAUAUUUUUCUGUUCAUGGAGAUUUCUCAGGUGGAUUUUCGUCGCUGGCAGAUCGCUCAACAGCUGCUGCUUCUCCUCAAACAAAGAGACUUGUGAGGUUCAGGAGCCAAAGAGUGUAGCCUUAUUGGAUAUAUAACAGGUUCCUAGAAAUGAAACUUCUUCUGGUAUCAAAUGUCACAAGAUCUUGAUCCCUUUUUUUUUUUUCCCGUAUAAUUAAUCUUUGAUGUAGUCUUGCUCAAUUCCUGUUGUCUGAAAAUUGCUCCCCUUCAUUUUUUUUUUAUUGUGAUGUUUCUCGUCCAAAUUUGAUGAGGUCAACUGUAUAAAAAUAAGGUUGUGCACGAGCUCAAUGAUUUGUAAAGGUUCUUGAGCGCAUGCUGCAUGCUUGCUGGUAAGGAUUUGGUCUUUAAUUCUUCCAAUGGAAAGAAGGUGGUAAUAAAUAUACAUCUCACUACUAAAACAAUAUAUUUCCCGUUUCCUCUCUUCAAUUUUCGUUGCGGUUUUUAAGGCAAUUAUCCUUUUUAAGAAUAGAUUUUUUUUUAAUUUCAUGCUGCCAACCCUAACUAGUUGCUUUGGCACAAAUCAUGUUAGAAAGAGAUAGAGAGAGAGCACGUAUCAGCACAUAUGAAAGCAAGCAUUGAGUAAAAUUCUUGGGGGUGAACGAUGAGUUGUGAGGAUCAUUUGCUUUAAUUGGUGACUGUGGACAAUAUAUAUAUAUAUAUAGAAUAGCAUUGCAAAUUACAAAGUGUAUAGCACACCUGCGAUUAAAAAGUCAAGUUAGGCAACCUUAUCUACUUCAUUUAUAGUACUGUUUAUGGUGAGGAAAAAACAGAGAAACUUGCAUGACUCUCUUUCUAUCUUGUAAUUUCGUCGGUUUUUGAUUUUUUUAAAAUAUAUAAUGUAUGGAAAAUUAAAUAGCAAUGAUGAAUGAUUUUUAUAUAUAAACCAUAUUAAUUACUAAUAAUUUAUUACAUAAUUUCAUAUUCUUAAAUCAUGUAUAGUAUAAAUAUCUUAAAUGUGAAAUAUAUAUAUAAAUGAGAUUAUUAAAUAUAUAAGACUUUUUUUUUACUAAUUUAUUAGGAUGUGAUUUCAUAAGUUGUGUUAUAAAGAUUUUAACGAGUUUUGUUUUAAAUAUGUAAAAAAUCUAGGUCAAGUCCGCGGUAACUGGCCAUUCACCUUACUUAACUCAAAAAAAAAUAAAAUAUAUAUAUAUAUAUAUAUAUAUAUAUAUAUAGGUGAUGACUAGCCAUGUAACUUGUGAUUUGUUUCGGGUUAGAUUAUUUAAAAAAAAUAAAUUAACAUACAACAUUUCCUUACAUGUUUAUAAAAAAAUUAUAAAUCACAAAUCAAAAUAAUUAUAAAUAUAUUUAAUUAAAUAAAUAAAUAUUUGAUCAAGAGAUAAUUAAGAUUAAGAUAUUUGAGCUUGUAACACGGGCUAUGCACUUAAUUGUCUUUAAUAAUUUUGUUUUUUAAAAUAAUUUUUUUUAUAAAGUAUAAAGUAUAGGGCCUACAAUAAAAACUUUAAAGAGACUCAAUAUCAAUAAUUUAUAAAGUAUAGGGAUUACAAUAAAAAAUUUUCCCAAACUUAUUAAAGUUACUUAUUAUUUUUGUGUUUUUUAGUUUAGUCCUCCGUCUUUUAAUCACACCCUCCCCCUAAAUUAUUGGCUUAUAAUUUGAUCAAAUAAGAAUCAAAUUAAUAAAAAUAGAAAAAAAAACAACACUGUGAACAGUUUGUCCACUGUGCCUUAUGAGGUGAUUUACAUUGCGUUUUGCACAGUAAAUCCUCCAAUGCCAUUUUAGUUUUUUAGUUAAUAGUUGAUAAUUAUGAGUGCAUUGUAUCGGAUAUGGGUGCACAAGAGAUUCAUCAAAACUGAUUUAUUGCCAUCCUUGAUAUCCUUUUUGAAGAAAAUUUGCACAAGAAAAAUAUUCCUAGUUAGUCUUGAUUAGUUUGGUUUGGUUGUGCCUGGACUUGAAAAGGCUAAAAAAGCUGCCCUCGUUAAUGGAGGAGCACAUAUUUGGGCUAUGGUGGUUGAGUUUUCCGUCCAAACUUUUGAAGCUCCAACUCCAAACCUAGCUAAGCAAACAUCUAUCCCUCAGAUUCCAGUCAAGUUUAGAAGGCUCAAGUCUUCGGCGUUUCGAUUUGAAUGAGAACAGACCGACUAUAUACAUACAAUCUUGAGUCGGUCUUAGGUUCAAGUCAUGAUCAAACCAUGACCAAGAUGUUUAAACAUGUUGUAUGAAACUGGUUGGGUCGAGACGAGAUUACAGAAGUUUUCUUUCUUUCCCACGUUGCUAAUUAGAAGCCAAGAAAGAAAAUGAACAAGAAGAAGGGACAAUUAAUUUAUAAGUAAUAAGCAAUUAUAACUUGAUACCCUUUCAAAUAGAAUUUUACAAGCUCAUUCUUCGUUCUUAAAACCUCAAGCAACAUAAAAUUACUACUACUACUACGACGUACGGGAUUAGCCAAAGGAAUUGUAGCAAAUUCUAAUAUUCUCGGAAACAUUGUAAACAGAAGAUACAUACAUACUCAAUGCUAAUCCUAACAAGUAUAUGUAUGUCCUGCACUGUAAGUAUAAGCUAGCUGCUAGAAACAUUACUUACUACUGGAUUUUGAUUUUUGUUGCCCAUCAAUGGUUAAUUUACUUUCUCAAUACCUGAUCAUAGGUCUGUAAGUUCGAUUAAUCUGAGAAAGGAACUGAUCAUCUAUCUUGGUAACAACAUGCAUACACGUUAGUUUCCAAAUAUGCAACAGUACCUUAAUGGCGGCAUCUCUUGAGCAUUCUUUAGCCAGGGCCGGUUGUGUUUCGCUAGUGUUUCAGAACAAAAAUAUAUUUGAUUGAAGUGAAGGAAUAAAGACAUGGCCUUGAGAAAGUUAUAGAAUGAUUUUUUUAUUUUUUAAUCUUUUUAAAACAGAUUUUCUAUGUCCAAGACAACAAUCAAACGCGAAUAGAGUAAUUCCUGAGCACUUAACUUCUGUUAUGCUAUUUGAUAGUCAUAAUUCUGCCAUCUCGAUCGUUAAAUAACUCUUCCAGCCUCCAAAUCUAUCUUUCCUAUCCUGAAGAACGAUUUAUUUUGCACUGUAAGAUCAGGGGGGGGUAGAGCCUUGUGAUAUAUGCUGGUCGCAUUCACCCCGAAGCUGCUCAGAUUCUCAAAACUACACGAGUCAACGAUUUUUUGCACCACACCUUGCAGAAGCAGAGCUCUUCUUCCACGAGUGACCCAAGAAGUUAGCCAAAUUUUCUUGCAUGAAACAAUGUAUCCUUCUUCAAAUCUUAUUGCUUGAGAAACAAAAUCCCGAGACAUGGUCCCAUCAGGGUACGAAAGGAAGCGUACGCCUUUGCAACACAGCUCAAAUGCCAGUACAAUAUUAUCCCAACUAAUGAAAAACAAAAAAAUCUAGAUAAAAAACCUUUGUUAUGGUGAUGUUCAAGCUCAUCUCCUUUGUUUGAUUGGGUGUGACGUGACAAUGAUCCAUUCAUCAAGGCUUGGAAAAUUACACAGAAAACAAAAGGAAUCUAAAACUAGAAAUUAAAGAAAAGGGUACAGCUUACACCUUGCUCUCCUUCUUUAAAGUUUUCCAGCACUGAAUCCAUUGCAGCUGCAGCGGCCCUCCAAGUAUAGUUCUGAGAACUGCAUAUGCAUAUUGCAAUAUCAUGAAUGUUUUCGUUGAUGGUCAUCUAAUAUGACUUUCAAUGUUCACUAGAUGACUAUCAACAAAUAUAUUCAUGGUUGCAAAAAUAAAGUAAAAGAAGUGGCCUUUAGGCAUUGCGAAGCUUUCUUGGCACAAAAAAAAUAAAAAAUAAACUUAAAUCCAAGAAGAGAAAUUCACUAGAUUUCAGAAUUAUGUCUAUUGGUUCCAAGUUCUGAUGAAGAAUAUAUAUAUAUAUCCUUGGGCAUAUUCCCCUUGGGAAGCAUAUACUUAUGGAAUAAACCCUCUCAUGGUAUCUCUUCUCUUCACUCCUCUCACUGGUUGGUAGGAAAAUUGAAGGUUGGUUGGAUCUUGAGAUAGGGAAAGGCUGAUUGAAGAAAUGGUCAACACAAUUUAGAUAUUGUUUGAUAUUGCAGUAAUGAUUAUUUUUUAAAAAGUUUUUUGCUUGUAAAAUGUUUUUUUAAUUUAUUUUUUACAUCAGCACAUUAAAACAAUUUAAAAUACCAAAAACAUUAAUUUAAAACAAAAAAAUUUCAAAAACAUGAUGCCGCAAAAACAAACACCACUUUAGUCUAGGAGAGAGAAACAUACUGUUAAACAGAUGAAAGUGCCAGAUUUGGACCAUAAAAGAAAGGGUCAUGGACUUUAUUGUUAUCUAUUUGAAAGUGCCAGAUUUCAUGGACUUUGUUAUUAUCUAUUUUUUGGAUCCCCGUAUAAACGAGAAAGGAAAAAAGAAAAUAAAAAAAAUUAUUGGAAGAAAAUAUAUAUAUAUAUAUAAAAAGAAGAUGGCACUAUGGCACCAAACAAAUGACCAAAGAUUGGUUAAGGAGGUUCAAAAAAUACAAGGAUUUGACAAUAUAUUUUCGACUGAUGAAAGCCUUGUUGACAAAGAAAAUUCAAUAUAAGAAAGAGAAAUUCAAAAUUGGAUGCUUAAGGACACAAUCGGAUUUUGUUGAAAGUUUAGUUGAAUUUAUGAAGGGUUUAAUUGCAAGAAAAUUGAUUUUUUAAGUCAAUUUGGGCUUCAAUUAAAAGAAAUUAAAAUUUAGGGGUCGAAUUAAAAUUUGUAAGAGUUAAUUUGCUCAAAUCAGGGGUUUAAUUGCAUAAAUAUUGAAGUUUGAUGAGCAAUUAGGGAUUUGAUUGAAGAAAUCCAAAACCAAAGACCAAACUAGAAAAGAUGCGUGAAUAUAGAGGCUAAAAUUGAUCGAAUCAGGGGCAAAAUUAAAGAAAUUAGAAUUUUGUUGAUCAAUUGAGGAGCAAAAUGCACAAAUUCAAAAUCAAUAAUCAAAAUGAAAAAGGCGGCCAACUUUAGGGCUGACAUUUGAGUUUGUCAGGGAUGCAAUUGAAUUAAUUCUUAAAAUCAAAAUCUCAAUUGAGGACUUGAUUAAAUAAAUAAAAAAUUGAGGACUAAUUUGGAAAUAUAGACUUCUUAGGUGUCAUUUCAUUUAAAUGAAACGGCGCGUUUUAUAUAAAACGACGUCGUUUUGUUUAUUGUUAUUAAAAAUAAAAAAGGCAGAAUUAAACGACGUCUUUUGAUGAUACUGUAUACCAUCUUCUUUCCCUGGACGUGGGCUGUAGGCAAGGGAAGAAGGUUUUCUUCCCCUCUUUUACAACGCCUCUCUCUCUCUCUCUUCCAUGUGCCUAAAACCCCAACACAACCCAUGCCCCUCUUAUGACCUACUAUUGUGAUGAAAGGUGCAAAGGGAACAAGCCCUGCGAGCGGUCCUUGGGUGGCUGCACAGUGGCCGCCCAACCACCCUACCCCUUCAGCGUAACUAGACAAGGGUAGGGUGGCAUAGGUUCCCCCUUCUCGUUAUAAAUACCCCCUUACCAAGAGGUGCAGAGGAGCAGAAAAAAGAAAAAAACUGAGAGAAAGAAAAGGAAAGAAAAAGAAAAGAAAAAGAAAAAGAAAAAAGAACAGAGAGAUAAGAAAAAACAGUAGAGGAUGUAGGCAAAAAGAAGACCCCUCUUCUCUGCACCUGUUUUAUCGUACCAGAGACCCUAGCAACCGUGAGUUCUCUUUCCUCUAGCAGUAGCACCUUUCCUCUCCGCCAAUUUUCCUCAUCGUCGUCAUAACAACGCCACCGUGCGCAACCAUCAAUGUCAGCAACCACAUUGCCCUCGCCGCCAGGUCAGCUUCCCCCUCUCUUCUUCCUCUUCCUCUUCUUCUCCAUUCCCUCCUCCACUAUUCUACAAGUGAAUAAUGGAGAGCCCACUGUUUCCGGGUCAGACCAACGCUGACCUAGACCAAAAUGGUUGGGCCAGGUUCGACGUAGUCUUUUUAGAAAAUGAUAUGUUGGGCUGACAUCGGCAUAACCUCUUUUUUGGGCCAAUCUUGACCCAACUCUUUUAGGCUAAUCUCGGCUCAAUUUCCAUUGGGUCGAUAUCGGCCCAACCAGAAUAGGCUCAACCCACAUAACUGGGUCGAGCCCAUCCCAAUAGAUUUAAUUAUUUAAUUAUAAUAAUAUAUAAUAUUUUAUUAUAUAUUAAAUUAAAAAAAAAUCCAAAAAAUUUCAAAAAUCUUUUCAAAAAAUUUUGUGAUUUUUUUUCACGAUUUUUCCUACCUUUUUUACUUAAUAUUGGUUUGUAUUUUUUACACUGUAAAAAUACAAAUCCGGUAUUAAAAUACCAAAUUUUCUCUGAAAUGUUGCAAAAUUUUAAAAAAAACAACAAAAAAAAUAUCUUGAUUUCAUGCAUAUGGUCAAGUCUCUUACAAAAAUACAUUAUAUAUAUAUAUAUAUAUAUAUAUAUAUAUAUAUAUAUAUAUAUUAACAUGAAUUUUGGGUUUUAAUAACCAAUUUAUUAAAGUUACGAAAACUAAGCCCAUAUUUCAAAAAAAAAAAAAUAUAUUAUUUUUUAGUAUCUGAGAUUACGAACUUAUAUGUAAGACGUAUUUCCGAUAUUAAAUAAAAAUGUAGUUCUUUUUGUUUUGACAUUAGAAUUGUUAGGUUUUUUUUACCUGAUAAGAUAAGAUCUCCUUACUGAGAAUGACUUUUUAUAAAUCUUAGACAGACCAACAAUUAAAAAACACAAUAAUACUUUAGUUUAUAUUAGACAAUUAAACAAUACACCUCACCUUAGAUAAAACGUAUUAGGAGUGUUAAUAUCUUUCAUUUACAUAACUAGUUCUCGUAUUUUAUCUCUGAGACUAGUUAUGAUUUCUAAUGACUAAAAUACUAAAUAGUAAUUUUUAUUUUUUCUUUCAAUAAUAAAAGACUAGAAUUUCUAGUUCUUUUCACGUACAACUUUUCUCGAUCGAUGCGAGAGACUUAAUUCUUUCUCAUGUGUUUGUCUGAUUUGUUGUAUGGUCGGCCCAGCAACGGGGAAUUAGUGAUCCAAAUCUUUGUUUAACGUCAUGAUCAGAUAAGACGUUAUGUCCCAUCUCCAUCAAAACUCAUCUCCAUCAAAACUCACCUACGUCAAAAGCCCAACCCAGUUUAGUAGACAAUACAUCCAGCCUAAACUUAGCUUCUCGUAACCCGAUUUUUCUGUUGAAGACACAGAAAGGUUACUUGCAGGCUUUAUCUGAAUACUUUCCAUUCUCGAAGGACACCACUUAACAGCUCAUCUACCAAAAGGAUUUAUCUGUCGUGAAUCUCAUAAUACUCUGAAAUUCUGAAAUCUUUGUUGGUUACAUGCAGUUGGUUCACCUAGUUGAACCUUUAACCUAAAUUCUCUGUUAGAAAAAUACUAGAAUAAUCCCAAUUGGCCAAAGGGUUGGCUCACCUUCAAGACAAAACAGCAUGGAUCUCCAAUAAUAAAAUGAAUAACAGCAAACGUUCUAACAAGACCAAAAUUAACAGAACUCAAUGUUGUUAUCAUCUAAGCGCACAUUAAUAAAAUAUUCACAAGGAACAAAGCCAACUACGUAUUACGUCAUGUAUUCUGGUUGUCAGCCACACAAGAUAGACAAGCCAAAUGGUAAAACAGAGGGAAGUUGAUUAAACCAAGAACCUGAGGGAUUAUAUAAGUCACCAUGUAAUUCAUAUAUGGAAUCGCCAACAAGCUAGGGAAAAUUAAAGCGAGGGAAAUACUAGGCAAUUGCGAAGAUUGUAUACAUGGAUAGAUGCUGCUUAUCUGUCGUCCUGCUUGUCCUGGCUUUGACUCGUUCUCGUGUAGAUGGAUUGAAGAGUGAUAACCUUUGCCGCCAGUGUUCAAAGAGAGACACAAAUAAAUGUCCGGCAAGUGAAGCCUACCCCCAUAUGACAGCAUUUGAUGACACCCUUAUUGCAGGAGCCUUGCAGUCUGAUUAUGUGGAUGCAAAUGACAGAGGUGUUUACUCAGUACCAGACAUUAAAGGUGGAACUUCUUCAAAAUACAACGCUUAUUUUGGCUGGGAAUCUACUUCUGGUUCAGGUUCUGGCUUUCAUAGGUAACUGUAAAUGUUCAAACUUUCUUAAAACAAAGCCAUUGCUCAAUUACUGCCUCAAAAUGUUAAAAACUUGCUAGAUUGGAAACUACCCAGGCCUAUAGCAUUUGCUAGAAAACAUUGUGCCUAUAGCCUAAUACAAGACUCUUCAAUGUGACAAUGGAACACAGGUUUAGAAACUACAUGGACAGAUGCUCAGGUGGACAAAGCUAUCUAACUGUAGACAAGAAGGGCAAGGUGAGCCUUCGUUCAUUGAAGUCACUGCAAAGCUUAGGCGAGGCUGAUUGGAAAUCCAUCAAUCCACCAAAGAGACUAAACCACCGAGAAUUCAGAUUUUGGGUGAAUCGUAUUACAGGAAAAUGCCUUACAGUUUUUGAAGAGAAGAAAGAUAAGAGAACUGUGGGCGUAUCUGAGUGCAAGUUAGAUGGCUCCAAUACUUACCAGCUCUUUGCCUUUCGCUUCCACUAUCACAAAGCCUUCUGCUCUUGUGGUGUUCACAACGAGUGAUGUCCUGAAGACUAAUAGCAGUCACAAUAGCACUUCUAGACUACAUGCAGUAUUAUGCACGUAUGCGUUAAAUCUCUCACUUAAAAUUUAUCUUGCUUUCACGAUCGUGAUGUACCUUCAUUUGAUGUGAGGAAUAAAGGACAAGAGCUUUGAGGUAGUGCUCAAGGACUGAAAAUCAGUUGGCUUAAUUAACUUUGCACUCCACCCACCUACACUUUUCUUACAAACAAAGCACUAGUUUUACCACCUUCUGCCUACACACAUCCCUUACAGUUCUUGUGAAAAAGCAAACUCAGAGACCCUAUCUUACCAUCACUAACUAUUGAAAACUUGCACCCCUACAAUAUUUACAGCACAGCUACAAUUUUAGAACGAUUGGCUGCUUACAUGAACAGAUGGGAUCAAUUCCUGGCUAUCUCCAAUGUCAUUCAAACAAGGUGGCUUGCCAGCUCCAUAAUAGAAGUAUGCCAUUAUUUUUGAAAAUUCAUCUGCAGUUCGAAUGGCUGCACCACCAAUUAAAGAAGAAGAAGAAGAAUAUUAAAGUUCUCAAGUCAUAUAUUGAAAAUGAGAUAAGAAAUUGAACUGACAAUUUCUUGGGAUUAAGGAAUUACCUUUCUCACGGUACAAGAUCUUUCCUGCUUUAGUAAAAAUAAUUUCUGGGAAGACAGAAACUUUUAGAGCAGAGACCAAAUCAGUCUCAACAACAGCAUCAAUCGCAACACACUGUGUCAUAUGCAAAUAUAAUAUUAAAAUUUUGAGAUAAGGAUCUCUAGGGAGGGAGGAAAGGUAAAGGGUGCAUAAUUAAAGGCUCUACUUACUCUUGGUGAAGGUAGUCUGCAAUUCCAAAUUAUGUGCACAGCCUUCUCCAGUGCAUCUCGAAUAUUUUCAUUUUCCUUUGGUCUGGGGAAACCAUAAAUUUAGGUGAAAUUAACAGCAAUUUUAUUUUAUAUGUGUCAUAGAUCCAGCCAUUAAUGUGCAGACUGAAAGUGCAAACUCUAGUAUCAUGAAGGAAUUCACAGGACUAGGAAAAGAUAUCUAUAGUAUACAAAUAGUUCAAGCCAUUAUCAUUUCUAGCAUUUCCUUCCCAGCAAAGCCAACAAUAAAAUCUUGACCCUAAGGCAUUCCCCAAACCUGGAACUUUACUGCGCUUUGAUAUAUACCAUUUUGUGGAUUUUAUAGGCCAAGAAAUCAUGUGGAAUUUCAAAGAAAGCACCUGAAAAACUCAGUGUUUCCCAAAAGAGACCAGAGAUAUAUGAAGUCAUACUGAUAGAACUAGCAGUAAAUGACUACUACAAUACUUAAUUGUAAUGACACUACCUGACCACCGGGAAAUCUAAAGCAUCACUCCUAAACAAGGCAAGGAAAUAAGUGAAUAAAAAGGGACCCUUUUUUUAAUAAAUGAAGCCACGAUGCAGAAACCAAACUUGAGAAUGGUGCACCUUCAUAGAAUAAUGAAAAACAAGCCCUUUGUUUUUAAUAAAUGAAGCCAUGAUGCAAAAAACAAUCAUGAAAAUGGUGUACCUUCAUAGAAAACUGAAAAACAAUCUAAGAAUUUCAACUUGAAUAAGGCGAAUAGCUUGAGUAAAGCAUCAAACAACUUGAAUAAAACCAAAGCCAACCUUUUAUAGCGAUUAUGUACUAAGACAAUCAAAGGACUGAUGUCUUUGAAUACAGCCUCCUCCCAUCCUGCAGUGGUAAUGUCUUUUAUUGGACGGAUGUAAUCAUCAUCUUGCCACACAAUCUCUUUAUCACUAUCAUAAUUCUCAUCAUCAUCAUCCUUCUUCUUAUUCUUGAUAGUAAUCUUGUUGAAGAAUUGAUCCAAACCGAAGCCCCGCCCAUCAGCGUCUUCAGGCCAAUCAGGAUCAUCCUCAUCCACAAUAAGGGGGUAAUCAGCCAAAAGCUUUUCCAUUCUCAUCCUCUUUUCUUCAGAAUCAAGCUCCUCAUCCUCAUCCACAUCAGGAUGCUUUUUCAUCACUUCUCUAAUUUUCAUUCUCCACUCCCGUCUCUCUUCAGCAUCCAUAAGAUAGGGGUCAUUCACCUUACCUUUUAUCGACGAGUAAUCAUCAUCAUCAUCAUCGCUCUCACUAAAUUCUUCUCGUCGUUUUUUCUUCCCAUCAUCAGACAAGACUCUUUCAUCUCUUCGGGAAGCUCUACUAAUACUACUUUGAAAACCACCACCAUGUAGCUAUUAAACAAAAGUGUUCAGUAUCUCUAUAAGAAACAAAAGUUUUGACAAGAAGAUUUGAUAACUAUGAACAUGAGUAGCAUAAAUUGUCAAAUGAGAAGCAACAUACCUGAGAAGGGUACUUUAAAAACUUGGAUGAGAGACAAGAACAAGUGGAAGAAACCUCAGUGUAGGUGGUUGGUUUGUAUUCGGAAUGAGCAGUGAUAAAAGGAAAUGAAGGAAAGUCUUUGAAUUUAUUAUCUCUAAUAGGUGAAAGCAAAUGGUGGAGCUGUACUGCCAUUCCUGCACAUUAUUUCAACAAAAAAUAAGAAAGGAAAAUCUAAAAUUCCAGUUCAAAGAACCAUAUCCAGUUCAAAUGAUUGCACAAAUUAAAUGCUUUUAUGUUUUUAUAUAAUGGGUUUUGAGAAUAUCAAGAAAAUAAUUCAUAAGAGAAAAAAAAGAACUCGACUAAUAUUGAGAUUAAGGCAUCACCAUGAUUGAUGUAUAUGGAAGCUCAAAAGGCAUAGCAUACUGUCAUUUCUUGCAAAACUUGGUAGCGGGUUGGUGCUUACCUUAUUCACUGGUUAUUCUUCUUGCUGUGCCUUUUAUCCUCCUCCUUCUUGUUCUUAUAGAUAAGGUAUUAGAGCAGGAGCAGCAGAGGCUCUUUCUUACUUCCAGUUGAGAGAGAGCGAGAGACUCACGGAGAAGGGAAGGAUAAGCCCAACUGCUGUUUUAUCUCGUCAAGGUUUUAUUAUCAGGCCAGGUGGGCCUCUGGCCCUUUUUCACUUUGUUAAUUUUUCAAACAAACUUAAAAGAAAAGGCACAUUGAAGAAAGAAUUUCUUGCAUUGAUGAAUUGUCCACUUCAGAGGAAUUUCUCAAUGUCAAUAAUGUCGCUGUCUACACAAUUACAACACGCAGAUCACUCCCAUGCAUAUCCUUAAUCCGUAGUUUGGUUAUUGGAAAUGAAACACCAAUAACGAAAAUGGGAACUUGCAUUCUUGUUGCCGAGAUUCUUCCAUGCCUAAAUAACAUUGAUCUUGCACCAACAUUACAGAAAAAUAAAAAUAAAAAUACAUCCUGAUCAAAUAAUAAUCUUCAAGAAUCCCACUAACAAAAAAGAUGAUUAAUUUUAUAAUAAAGAGCGGAUCAUAACAUUUUUGAAUGCCUAUCAUGGAUUUGUUAUGAAGAAUAUCCAUGUCUUAGUUUGAUUUACAAGGUCGAGAAAGCAUUUUAAGAUGCUCAACAACUAGAGCAAAGUUGCAUUUCUUACAUGGAGAGAACUAUUGGAAUAUGAUAGAUUAAAAAAGUGAAGCUACAAAGUUAAUUACAUAGUUAAAAAAAUAAAUAAACAACAAAAAAGUUAAGGAGCCUCGUGGGCAUAUAGUGAAGGGAGCAGCCAUGCAAAGAAUCCCAAGUUAGUUUCCUUGUUGAAUCUCUGAGAAGAGUACUCCACCAACAUAUACCAAAGGUCUCCGACCGUCCAUCCAUGCAACAGAAUCCAUCGACUUAACUGCAGAACAAUGUAGCCAUGAAGCAUAUAUUAGCAUGGCUUAGAACAUAGAAUAUGAAAACGACAAAGAUUGUAGUUUAUUCUGAUCAGCUUAAUUAAUUUCUUGGAGUAGAUCAUUUCCACACUUCCAUAAAGAAGUGUUCACUAGUGCCGAGAUUACUACAAGUACCUGAUUCAGAUUCUGCAAUGAUUUUAAGCCAAAUGUGUGGUACAAAACGGAAGGUCUUAAUGCCUGAAAGAAAUGCACAUUGGUUAAAGGAAAUGUUGGUAUCAAGCAGAAAAAAGGUAAGCUAGUUGAAUAAAAGUUUCACUACUAGAUGAGGCACCACACUACUACCAAUUUCAAAAAUUAUUUCACAAUGGUUUAUGAGAUACAUAAAUUAUGUACUCUACAUGUUUGUGAUGGUAAUCCUGCAGUUGUUUGGUAAACAAUACCUCCCACAGAAGGUCAAGAUGUAAAAGCUGCUACUAAAAACUCUAACACUUCAACUCCCCUACAUAUCUUUUGAUAGCUAUUGCAAGUCAAGCUCAGCAAAAGAUUACCUGAGAAGCUGCAAGCCACUGAAUUAUGGACUUUAGUUCAGGAUCUCCACCAAAAGCUCCGCAUCCCCAAUUCCCCGUAGCAAUACCAAUUUUAGCUUCAGGGUCUUCACACCAACUACCCUUCUUGUCAGAAUAUCUGAUCACUUGGUUUACAGAUUCUUCUCCAUUCAAUGCAAUUUCAACAGAAGUCGAGGGGGCUUCAUCCAUCUAUUUCAAAGCAGGUUCAUAUCAUUCUGAGUAUAACAAAUAAAAAGGAAACGAAAAGCAAAACACCCAGAAAAACAUGGGAGAGCUCGCACCGGGAAGUCCUUCACCAUAACAUCAUCAUCUUUACCAGCUUGAAUACACUGAGAACCUUUCAAACCACCAUCUUGAAACAGUCUUUUAUGGUCACAUUUAGAUUGAUCCAAGAAGCCACAGAAUGCCUUGUUGGUCUCCCUGUGAAAACCAAACAAGUAGGAUUCAGAGCAAUGAACAAAAUUUCCCUCAACGCUGGUUAACAAGAUAGUGAACCAACAGUUUAACAGGCUACAUAUAUAGGCAAUAAAGCCAUGUCGAAAGAUAAACCAACAGUGCGGUUCUCUUCAUUGUUCUACAUAAUUUAACAGCUUCACAUAGCAAACUCUGAAACGCUAUUUAGACCCCAUGCUAAACUAUUGGUUAUGAGUAUGAAUAACGAAUUUCAACCACUGUCACAAAGGGCAAACUCAUCUAUCCCAAACCAAGCCACUCUAGUAAGUGUUUUCACAAAACAUUGUCAAAAACUCUACAUUGGAAGGAGGAGGAAGUAGACACAAGAACAUACUAUUUUCCGACCCAACCAGACUUAGCCUUCAGAUUUUAGAGCUUCCUGAGUUCUCAAUUAAAAGAGUCAUAUUAAAUAAACACUACCAGAGCAUGUUCUAACUUGAAAGUUCUGUUUUUUUUUUCCCCUCAAAAGAAAAUGGCAUCAAUUUUUCAUGAAGGACCACUCAACAUGCACAACCUUUUGGUCUGCAUGGAAGAGCCUAAAAGGAGCUGAUGAAACUAAAAGGGAGAUUGUUCCUUUUGAGAAAGAUGGAGAAAGUCAUAUUGUUCUUGAGCAUAGACCGCUUGUCACAUCUUUGAAACAACGUGGCAUUGUUUUUGGGGACAUUUCUCUUUCUUUAUUUACACAGAGGUGAUUCUUCCUUGAAUACAAUUUUUCAUAUCGGUAACUCACGAAUGAAACUUUUUACACUCUUCUAUAAAUUCUCUCAUAGAAAAAUCUCCCUUUCAAUUCAUAUGCAAGGGUGUGGCACUGGAAAACCAAAUUUCACAUACCGAAGGAGGUAUUCAAGUUUAUAUUGUUCCAUCCCUGCAUUGCACAAUGCAUCUAUGGCAACAAUCCUGGUUCUACGUCUUCUGAAACUAUCAACAUCCCUUUCGUCCACAUGGUCACCUGAAAAACGAAAUGAAGAGGCAUACCUGCACCAGUGUAAGAGCAGACUAUGAGAAGAAAUUGACUGCAACAUUAGUUAACUUAAAUCAGUAUUCCGCUCAUAUGGGAAUGCUUGUUAUUUUAAAUUUGGCAGAUAUAAUAAAAAUUUAUAUAUUUCAACAUUAAUAAAGGAAGGAUAGCAAACAAAGGCAGGCUAGAUGUACACUAGUCAAUCAUGGAUGAGAAGUCUUAUCAAUUAAGUAAAGUAGUUAUAUUUGAAGCAACAGGAAGAAAAAACAGAUUGAAAGAUAAAUCUUCUGCAAAAGUCAUUAAUUCAUUAAUAAUACUCAUAAUACAUCGUCACAAAAACUGUAGAUUGACAUUUUGGAGAGUAUGUAUGACUUUGGCACCUACAGAAGAUGAUAUAUUGCACAAGGACGUCAUAAUGCAUAUGGAACCAAGCCAUUUUCAUUUCUUCACAUUUCUGGUUUAUGGCAUGCAUCAACACGUAGAAUUUCCACAAAGUAAAGAAACUGUGUGCUUGCUAUCUAAUUUCUCAUUAAAAAAACCAUCAGAAAUGGAAUGGAUUGUCCAUUUUAGCAAAUAUAAUUUCAGUUCCAAAAAAGUGUUUUGGCAAGCCAAGACACAUAAAAAACAGCACACCAUAGAAACACAUACAGUUUGGUCUAUGAUAGUGACAUUGGAUAGAUCUACACAUUGAGAGUAACAAGGCUGUUAGCCCACCAGCUGGAAACUCAUCGAGGGCAUGAUUAAUUUCCAAUUGUAUAUACUCCGAUCUGUGCACUAUACCUAGACACGAGUUUAUAACACACCAAUUCAUAUAACCUGAGAAACUAAUUCAUCAAUUAUCACAUGCAUACCAUUGAAAUUCAUGUGAUUCAAGGAACACAAAACAGAUAUAUUGCUUAAUGAUAUAUCCAAAAUCAAGUUUCGGAUUUCACCCACCAAGUUAUGCUCACCCUGUGUAAUUUGAGAAUCUUUCAGCACCAACAAUUUCAAUAGCCUCAUUGUCUUCCAUGCAAGGUAAGAAAAGCAUUCCAGCAAUUAAUUCAGGAUUGAUCAUGAACCGGAUUUCUUCCUAGAAAAGAUAAUAACGCAACAAUGUUGAGGGUAUCAUUUAAGUAAUAUUGCAAGAAGAUAACAGCAAUUGUAACAUGACAAUAAGGAAAAAUAUGCAAGAAACAAUAAAAGAAAAGAAUGGUUGAAUGAAUAAAUGGACUAAUUUGAGUAUGAACCAUAAACAAUGACAUCAACUGUCCAUAAAAAAGUCUAUACCUGCACGCAGCCCCUAUGAAGAGCACCACCUCCAAGAUACUUGUUAGAAAAAUCAACUUCAAGAGCUCCACUGGAUUGGUCUUCGAUGAAGCCUGAACUAUGGACCUAGCAAGAUGUAAUGACCAGCUAAGAAGUAAUUGUCUACAACUCAAGAAAUGAAAUUAAACAAAUUACUGAAUUAGGUUGAUAAUUUUACACAUUGUUUAAAUUUGAACUUUCACUAGCUAUGCACCAAUCCAUUUAUCACCUUACCUCUAAAGUGCAGAGAGAAACAACAGAUUUGAUCCAAAAAUCUGCCUUGGGAUAAAAAACACACAAAGGAAGUUGUUCUAAAGGAAGAACCUUCCUCUCAAAGGAGACAGAGCCCUCAGGCAUAGAUAAACAUAUCCUUUCAAAAUAAUGUAUAAUACACUUUAUUUUGUUCUCCUGCUUUUCACUGUAACUUGAAUAUAUAUCCCUGAGAUGUGAUGACGUGUCAGAUGGAUCUAUUUUCCAUGUCAAGAAAAACAGUUUAAAAGGAGUUCAAUAAAACAGAAACAUUGUAAACCAAAUUGAAGAGGCAAAACAAAUUAGUAAAUAGCAUAUAUCACUAAAACUUUCAUUUAACUCAACAAUGAAAUGUGGCAUAAAAAUAUCCAGCAGAGACUCUUUAUGUCACACUAUACUGUUAGUGAGCUGCCAGGUCUUUUUCUUAAGAAUAUGGGUUUUGGAGAUCCUAAACAACUGUGUUCAACACUCUCUGAUGUUAUAAAAUAUAGAGAAGAAGACAUGAGAAGAUGUUAACAAUAAUUCCUGUAUCUUUUUGAACUGUUCAUCUAAUUUUUUUUCUUAUAGAAUAUGGUUCGAGUUCCAGAACAAAUAAGCAUUUUAUAUGUGACACAGUAGCCUACAAAGAUACACCUAAACCUCUAGCAUGAAGUAAUUAUAUGUCUGAAUUAGUUUCCUUUUGAACAAAAUAUUGUCCCCAUGAGAAAACAAAGGAUGGAUAGAGCCAUAUGAAAAUACCAGUGGGAUAGUAGCUAGCCUAGGUAGUGAAAAUUUCAGGUCUAAUACCCACAGCUCGUAGUUACUACAUAUGCAUAAGUUCAAGAUCUUCACAAAAGAAAGCUGAAGGUCACAUACUCGAACAAAUGAUCAAAAUUGAUUGUUGGAAGACGUUUAUCAUCUCUAUCAGAGACUGGAAACAAACAAAAGAAAGCGCAUACAAGGAGAGAACCAAUCAAUUCCUGAAAAGUAACAUUUGAGCAACAUUAUCAGUAUAUAAUAUUAAAAGUUGAAGAAAUGCUUUUCUAAGUACAUUAUUAAACUGUAAUUCACUUCUCCCAUGACGCAUUUGAAGCAGAAUUCGAAUCCAAUAAAAAAAAUGGUACUUGAGAAAAGAACAACUAAACACUCGGAGAUACCUGACCGAGGAACACCACGCCAGCUUCUUGUGGGCCCAACAGGCGAAAACCAGUUUUGACACCAUUACGCAAGUUAUCAGCAUUUUGAUAGUGAGACUCCAAAAGAGAUGGCAAUCUCAAGAGCAAUUUAGCCAAUGUUGGGACAACGUCAGCAAACCAUUUUGCAGCCUCUUCCCGUGAAAUCAGCUGCGUUAAACUCCUCCUCAUCAGUACAAUAUAUAAAACAUCAUCUUUACUGCUAUAACAUAAUCUCAACCAAGCUAAAACAAUCCAAUAGACAUCAGUUCGUGCAUAUGAAGAUACUAAAAACAUGUACUGAAAGCUCAAAACUUUAUUAAAAAAGCAUCACGUUAUAUAAGACCAACUAAGAAGAAGUGAGAAAUAAUGGGUUUUCCUCAAAUUACACUCCUAGCCUGAAACUGGCAACAUUUCCUUCGUAGUUCACCAAUAUGACAACUUUUCUGUCAAAGUUUAGAACUUUGUAAUCGAUGAAUCAUAUAUAGGAGCAAAAGACAUGAUGCGUCUUUUUCAAAUCACUCUCCUUGUAGAAAAGUUUGAACAUCUUUAACCACCGAGCUUGAAAGAUGCAAUAAAAAUUAGAGAACCCAGAAAACAAAAGAGAAAACCCAGUUGAGUUUGAGAGGCUACCUCAUCAAAGAAGAGAGCAUAACCUUCAUGGGCAAAAGGAGAGAGACGAUGCAGAGAAGGGAGAGCAAGAGAAUCUCUGAUAUUGGAAAUAGCAUUGAAAAGCAGUUCACCAGUGUCAACUUUGCUGUAAAAAGGUCCUUUGGAGAGUGUUUUGAGUAAUUCAACAACUUGUGAUGGCCAAAACAGAUUUGAUGAGCGAAGUAAUAAAGGCAGAAACGGUAGCAUCGACUUCAAAUCUUCUCUAUUCUCCAUUUUCUCUUCCUCUGUCUCUUGUUGCGGUUAUUUCAGGGAGACAGGCGCACACGAGUGAGUGUUCAUAUAUAUUUUUGUGUCUUGCUUUUUCGUUGAUUUUUUUUUCUUGAAUUAUUAUUAUACAUAAAAAAAUAUAUUUAAAAAUGAUAUAAUUAUAAAUUUUAAAAGGUUGUUAAAAUCACGAUUUUGAUACGGUACAAAAAAUACAAUACAAACUCGGAUCGUAAAAAUGGAUCGUAAAAUCAUAAGAAAUUUUAAAAUACAUUAACAAAAAAUUCAGUCCAAUUAAUUCAGUCUUAUAAUACUGAAAUGAUAUUAAAUUCAAUCCAAUUCAACACUUUUCAUUUCAAUUUUCACCCCAUUUCAAUUCAGUCCAAUUAAUUCAGUCUUAUAAUACUGAAAUAGCAUUCAAUUUAGUCCAAUUCAACAGUUUUCAGUUCAAUUUUCACCUGAUUAAUUCAUUCCAAUUAAUUCAGUCAAGAUAUAUACUGUGGGAUUCAAUUCAACAAUUUUCAGUCCAUUCAAUUUUCACCCAAUCAAUUCAAUCCAUCCAAUUUUCACCCGAUCAAUUCCAUUCAAUUCAUUUCAACAUUAUGCAUAUACAAAUUACAGGACCGGGCAAAAUCAAAAUUAUAAUUAAUAAUUACAGGGUAACAGCUAACAGGGCAAAAUCAAAAUCUAUUACAGGGGAAUAUACAAUUAUGAUUUACGGGGUAAAAUCAACUACUGCAGUGAUGAUGAUGAAGGCAAAAUCGACUUACGGUGAAGAGCCGUUGAUGAUGUUGGCUGAACGGCUGCCGGUGAAGAGGCUCAAUGUCGCCUGCUGCUGGUGAUGAAGAGGAAGUCGUUAGCUGUUGAAGAUGGAAAAGAAAGGAGAGCGUUGUCGGCGUGCCGUUGUAGAUGAAGAUUGAAGAGGAAGCCCGAAGCCGUGAGCUGUUGAGGAGAUCGUUAUCACUGUUAAAAUUGCGAUAAACAGAAAAGGAAGCCGCGAUCGUGAGCACUGAGGAAAGAGAAGGAGUGAAGACUGGACUGUGACCGCUUUUGUGGAGAUCGUCGUCGCCGCUUUUGUGGUUGCCGGUGCCCGGUUGGUUAAUUAGAGAAGGGGAUUAGGGAUUAGCCGAUUAGAGAUUUGUUCGGUUGGAAAAAAGAAAAGGUCUUUUGUGAGUUAUGAAGAGUGACCUAAUUCCUUGAAGACCGCGUGGCGUGAGUCGCGUGACUGUGCAUUUCCACAACCAAUAGGCGCCUGACAGCUAGACCAUGGGGGGGAUUUUGUUUCAGCGCAUCAUUUUGUUACAAUUGCAAAAUCGGUCCUGAAAUCACGAUUUUGCGCGAUUUCAUCUGAUUUUAGCGAUUUCACCCGAUUUCACCCAUUUUUGAUUUUUUCAAGCGAUUCAACCCGUAAAGCAGGUUUUGACUCGUAAAAUCAUAUGAUUUUACGAGUCAAAACGCGAUUUUAACAACCUUGACUGUAACGACACGGGGUGACAAAAUUGUAAAUUUAAAGUUUUUUUUAGAAAAUAAGUUUUUAUAUAUAUAUAUAUAUAUAUUUGGUAUUUUUAUUAUUUUAAAUUUGAUAUAUUUAUCAUCAUUUUUUUUAAUUUUUUUCUUUUUUUCUUUACAUUUGUUUUUAAAUAUUAUUUUUUAUUUUUUAUGCAUUGAAUAUUUAUCACUCAUUUAUAUUAUUAUUUUUGUUCUUAUCUUUAUUAUUUUGUAAUAUAUGUUUUUAUUUAUUUCCUUACAUUUUUUUUGAAAAAAUAUUAUACAAAAACUAAGCAAAUGAUGUUUCACAGUAGAAAUUGCAAUAUUAUUCUAUUCUUCUGCUAUAUUAAAAAUUAGUUUGAAAUCUUACAUACUUCUAUUAAUACAUAUUAUCUUUAUUAUAUUUUAUUAUAUAUAAUAAUUAAUUUUUUGAUUCACGGUCAUAUUUUUUACUUGAAAUAAAAAAAUACAUUAAUAACACCUACACAUUAAUGUUUUUGUAUCAGAAAAAAAAUUAUUCGAAUCGCAGUGAGGUGAGUUGAAUAGAUACCUUAACACUUUAUUUUUUAUAUUUGUUAACAUGGAUAAUUCUCAAUGUAUUUAAUUAAAUGCAUAUAUAGAUCUUUUGAUUUAUAAUUAUAAUUUUUUUAAGAAAUUUUUUUGAAAAGCUUACAUAUUUAUUUAUUUAUUCAAAAAAAUUAUCCAAAACUUGUAACCAAGUGUGAGUCAAAUAACUAACACAUAUAUUAAAAGAAAAUGAUGUUUUCUGUAGAAAUGACAUGGUUAUAAAUUUUGUCAAUUUUUUAUAUUGUAGCGGUGUCAAAAUUGUAAUUUCAAGGUAUUUUUAGAAAACAAGUUUUUCUUUUCUUUCUCUUGGAAUUUUUAUUAUUUUUUAGUUUUUUUCCUUACACUUUUUGUUUGUGAAAAAAAUAUUAUUUUUUUAUUUUUUAUACUUUAAAUAUUUAUCACUCUACACGUGAUUUAUUUAUACCUUUCUUUUUGCUCUUAUUUUUAUUAUUUUUUAAUUUUUUUUCUUUAUACUUUUAUUUGUUUUUGAAAAAAUAUCACACAAAUACUAGGAAAAUAAUGUUUCAUUGUAGCAAUUGUAACAUUAUUUUAUUAUUCUACUAUGUUAAAAAAAUAACUUGAGAUUUUACAUGUUUUUAUCAACGUAUAUAAUAUUUACUAUAUUUUAUUAUAUAUAAAUAUCAAUUUUUUAAUUCACGGUUAUAUUUUUACUUGAAGUCAAAAAACACGUUAAAAACACUUACACAUUAAUUCUUUUAUGUUAGAAAAUAAAUUAUUCGACCCUCAGCGAGAUGAGUUGAAUAAACAUGUUAACACUUUGUAUUUGUAUUUAUUGGCACAGAUGGUUCUUGAUAUAUUUAAUUAAAUGCAUAUAUUGGUUUUUUGAUUUAUAAUUAAAAUCUUUAAAAAAACAAACAUGUUUGAAAAACUUGCAUAUAUUGUUUUUUUGCCAAAUAUAUUAUCUGACUUGUAAUGAAACGCGGGUUAAUUAACUAGUUAGUGACUAAAACCAGAUAAAAUUCUAAGCUCUACCUACUUUUAGAAAAUUAGAAAAAAUAAUUUGAUUGUUAUUAGUUCUUAAAAAUUACUAUAAUUUUCUUUGUUAAAUUCAAUAUAAAACCAUUUAAAAUUAUAAGUUUAGAUUCCCUCUUAUUUAGUAUCUUACGAAACAAAACAAAAAUUAUCUAGUGCCAUCUGCAGUAGAAGGCAGGCUUCUGUGGUUAGACGUAGGACACAGACCAGUUUGCAAUUCACACAUAUUCACGCAUGGACAUUGCUUUGUAAUUUUUACUAUGAUAGGACACUAAAUGCAGGCAAGGGUUUGAUGCAUCGCUUGAAGAAAACACAUAUCAUCGAAUCCCAUUCUUGAAGAAGGGUUUGGUAAACCAAGAAAUAAUUUUAAAACUGAUGAUAAAUAUUUUUUUGGCUUUAUAAAAAAGGAAUUUAGAGCCUAAGUCAUGUUUAGAAGGUAAAAAUACGUAGUGUUAAUUAUUUGAUAGGAGGGUGGAGUUUGCAUCCGUACCAGCAACUUGAUAAAAUAUCAUGCUCAGAUAACAUGGUUUAAGCUCUCUUUCAGACUCAACAUUUUUAAACAUGGCUAUGAGUUGAGCCCAAGUGAACAUAGAUCUAAUGAGCUACCAAACUUAAUGUCCCUGGACCUGGCUGCGUAUUGAGCUCAACAGGGCACGAGUCUAGUAAGUUGUCACCCAAUGCCUUUGGGCAUCGGCACUAUGUCUUGCCCAAGUGAGUAUGAGUCUUGUAAGAUACCAGACUUAGCGCUUUGGUGAUUGGUUGCACGCCAAGCCUAAUUGGAUAUGAACUCAUCGACCUUGGGCUCGGUUGCUUGCCCAUCCCAAUUGGACAUGGAUUUAACAUGUUACCAGACUCGAGUUCAAGCGGGUAUGAGUCUAGCAAGCUAUUAGGCCCAACACUCUUGGAUUUAGCUGCUUGUUGAGCCUACUUAUGUAUGAAUCUAACAGAUUGUCAAAUUCAUCAUCCUUAGUCUUGGCUGCAUGCCAAGCCCAAUUGAGCAUAGAUUUGACGCCCUUCUCAACCCAUCAACCUAGGGCUUGGUUGUAUGCCAACCCUAAUUAGGCAAUUGUGCAUGUGUCUAAUGUGUUGCCAAGUUUAAGUGGACAACAAUCUAACUUGUUGCCAUACUCAUUGACUAUGAAUGACUAAAAAUCUAAAAAUCAUUAUAGGCUAUAAAACUUUGCUUACUUAUUCUUAUGACUUUUAAUAUAAAAUAUCAAUAUUAGAGAUAUUUGUCUCCUUACACCCAUAGGUGUAUCCAAGAAACUACGAUAUUUUCAUCACAUUAAUGUUGUAUAAAAGAUAUUUAUUUUUUAUUAAUGUUAUCAAGAGAAAAUGACUCUCCAACUCCUUUAACUCAAGGUUCAUGAGUUAUAAAUGUGUUUGAACUAUCCAGGUAAAUCGAUCAUAAUCUUUAUUCUCAACAAAAAUAGCUUUGUAAUUUUAUAACAUUUAUCACAUGAACAAACACUUUUGUUUUUAAAAUCAAAUCUAAUUCUCUCAUUUAUUUAUUGUAACUAUUUGCUUUUAUUAUCUAAGGGUCCGAAUAUCACUGCAGGGCAAUUUUUUUUUUUUUUUUUUUUGGAUAAAAACUCUAUCUUGCUCUGUAUUUGUUAUCUUCGAAACAGGUUCCGCGUAAGUAUUUCAACUAUAUCUGUCAUUUGUAACGAUGACACAAAACGCAACAACAUUCCCUAAAAAGCAUCAAUCCAACAUUGCCUGCACUACCCAAUCAUAGUCCUGAGGGUACAUUGCAAAAAAAAAAGCCACUCCAACUCAUUUUUCUCACACUUGUUGCUCAAGUUUUCUUGCAUGCUUGGUAGAGCUACCCUGCUCUCUCUCUCCCCGCCACAACAGCCGUCCCAUUGAGGUUUAGCAGGAUCCAUCUAAGCAUUCAAUCAAUUCUCUGUCAGUGCUCAAUGAACCACAAACUAUGUAGCAAUGGAAGCGCCAUUGCAAAUGGAUGAAAUUAAAACGGUGAACUAACUUGUUGCUGUCAUGACAGUUUAUUACUUGUUACCCUCCCGCAAGAUAUCGAUUAUAUUGUAGAUCCGCUUGUCAGCCUUCGAUUGAAUCUGCGUUUUAAUCACAUUUAAAAUUUCUACUGACAAUCAACUUAGAAACCACAGAAAAAUUUCUCAAUAACAAAUUUAUUCCCAGUACACAUUAAUCUUCAAAUAGAGAAAAUACUACAGAAGAACUAUAAAGUAGAUGAGGAGGUAGUAGUAGUUAUGAGUGCUACAACAAUGAGUUUCGAAUCUUUGAAUAAGGUCCGAGCAGGAAACAAAUUGGCAGUAGGGCCGUUUUCAUAUGGCUUUAUGGGGAGCACUAACAGCUAAAUUAAGUGUGAAGCAGGUGAAGAAUUUUACCUUCUCAGCAAGGAAAAGUACAGCGUCAAUGGUGCCCUCAGCAUAUAUCGAUCUACCGCACACAUUAUGUUGAAACUCCAAAGAAACACUGCAAGAAAAGAAAUCAGAAAAUAUAUUUGUUUUCAACAAAGAGAGAAAAAAAUAAACACAGAAUCCAAAUGAAAAUGAACAAUCAGGAUGUUUGUUCUUACGUUUUACCAGGUGAUGACAGAUAAUAGAAAUGAAAUGCAUGACCAGACAAAUACUCAUCUGGAACUCCCACCAACUCUUUUUGUUCCUUGGGAUCCCGAAUCAUUUCUAUCUGGACAAACUCAGCAGAAAAUCAUAUAAAAAAGACAGCACAUUUUUUGGGACCAGUUGCCAUAACAACAUACGACCAAAUCCUCUAUGCAAACACUUACAAGACAGCAAGGUUGACAAGAAGUUCAAACCGGAAAAGCGGUGUCGAAUGAAGGCUGGGAUUAAAGAUAUUAUGACUGAACUUCAUGAUCAAAUUUCAAUUUCUUUUGUAAUCAUGUCAAAUUUCAACUUUUACAUGUACUAUGAUGAACAAAGCAAAUGAAGCGUGGAUUUCAGUAUUUUCCAGUGAAUAUAAGAAUAAGUUAUGCUGUAAUGAAAUGUGAAAAGCUUUAAAGCCACCUGAUCAUCAAAAGACACCCCCAAUUUCUUGAAGCAAGAAAUGACAGCCUUGGCAGUUGCAGAUGUGUCCAACUUUGCUGCUUGAUGGGACUCCUUCACCUAAGAAUCAAAGAGGUCAGCAAAUAUUAGAACUACUGUAACAACUCAAGUGAGGAAAAGAACUUCUUUGCUGAAAAGGAAUCAAUGCAGAAAGACAUUACAUGAAGGGAGUAUCCAGAGAAAGCACCAGGAAACUGCUCAGCCAUCAUGUCCAUAGCUGCAAGAAAUGCAACCACCUAUCUAAAAGAAAAAACCCGUUAGUACAGAGAACAUAUUAGGUUAAAUAGCAUUGGAAUCCAUUUCAUCUAACAUUAGAGGCACUGAAUCCCAUCACCUGUUUCCCCAUUUGUGGAGAGAUUACUGCAUAAACUUUUGAGUCAUCCACAAUCUUGUAUAAUCUAUCCCUGUCUCCGCCAGUAGUUCCCAUAACAAAUGGAACCCCAACUUUACAAUACAGAUCUGCAUUAUCUACACAUCACAAAAGAGGAAAAGGGAAGUCAAAAGAUUAAAAGAGGAUCCAUAAAUGAAGUAAACAAAAUCAUGGCUAUUUUCCAUGCAAUUCUAAGGUAAAAAAAUCCUAGAUGCAACAGAAAACUAAAAUAAUUGAAAAAACUUUAAUUAGGAUAUCCAUAUCCCAUAUUUUGCAGCACCAAAGUAUUUUCUUUUCAAGUAGUAAAGGUUGCCAAUUGAAAAACAAUUCCCAAUUGAACUCAGAGUAAAAUAGCAAACCUAUGAAUUUUGCAGAGUUGAGCUACCAAGUAAAUUCCCUUUUGCGAAAUAAUUAAGAUUUCUUCUAUUUCAAGUGUCAUAAGCUCCAAGAAUCUUACCAUUCACCAAAGUAGGCAGAGUGUAAUCAACCACAAUCAUGUUCGGAUACUCAUCAUAAAGGGAAGCGAGCACACUAUCUCUUUCAGAAGGACCAUGGAUUUUAAUCUCAUUCCCACAAACUUCCACAGUAUUACCAGCCUCAUAUUCGGGGCCAAAUGAUUUUGGAAGAAUUUGAAGUCCAGCAGAAUUCGCUGCCAUUAUAACAGAACUCCCCAUUUUGCCAUUACAGCCAUUUACCUCCAAUUACAAAAUAAUACAAAUUUAUAACAUCCAAAAUCAUUUUUCCACAAAUGACGAAACAAUUCAUAUCAGCUUACCAAUUAAUGAGUAAAAAAAAUAGCACAUCUUACCAUGAUAGGAACAGCAGUACUUUUGGUUGACAUGGACAUAACAACCACAAAAGGUUUCCGUUUCUGAUGUCACAAAACAAAAACAAGUUAAUGUAUUAAAGGGUGUUAGCAAACUUAGCUUGUUAAAGUUACAUUUUUUGCGUUGCCCUCUUUGUCUAUAUUGAUUUAUGCAGAAAGCAAAACAAAAAAGGGAAAAGCUUUGGUUCUAAAAACAAUGAAAGCAGUAAAAAGAUAGCUGCGGCUUUUUACAUCACCUGAUAAUGGUUGGUGAAGAAACGAGUUCGAUUAGAGUUAAGUGGAUUGCAAAGAAAGGGCGGUUUUAAUGGCUGCUUAAGCUCUGCCCCUUGAACCCACAUUUUGCGCUUCACAAGGAGGAGGAGAUGGUGAUUUGUUUUAGGGUUUUAGGGGGUUCCCCACUAAUCGAAUAGUGAAGUAAAGCCAGCAAGCCACUCGAGUUGAUCCAAAAAUAAAAACACUAGAUUGAUGUCAGACCUUUCAAAAUGAAAACGGUCGUUUUGUAAGAAAGAAAUGGACUUCACGUUUGCAACCAGCAAACAAAACCCGGGUUCGGAUCCAAUGUUGACAAUCCAUUUAUGGCAUGUGUCUUAAGCUUAAGACUGAGGGAGAUUAAGUGGGGUUUUGUAUAGGUUCUUUCAUUUUCUCUUGUCAAUCACCAAAAUCUUUUCUUUUCUUGUCUUAAGAGAAUCAAAAGAAAAGGGAAAUGGCUUUUCUGUCUGCUUCAACCAAAGCGUUAAUAUCGAAUUCAGUUCUUUUUCACCAUCAAAAUCGGAGCUUUUUGCCUCCCCAUCAGAAACCAACGCAAUUAUCCUUCUCUUCCUCUUCUACUGGUGAGCCAUUUCUUUUUCAAUCCAAAUUACUAGUAUCAAUUAAUGUGAAAGAUGAUUUCUUAUGAUGUUAAUUUCAUUGGGAUUCAACUCUACUGCAAUCUAUGAUAAUUAAUGUUGAGUAUUUUUCUCAGCUUGGAUAGUAAUUGAGAAAGAUCGUUUUUUUGUGAUAUUGAUUUCAAAACUUUUCAGGAUUUGGGACGAUUAGCAUUGCCUUCGAGAGGAAAGGGCGGCCAUCCUUGGUGGGAACAGCAGCUGUUAGGCACUUGGAAGGGUCAGUUACCAGAACUGAGGGACUUCGCUUUGCAGUGGUGAGUUUUUCUUCUUUUUUCUUUUCACAGUUUAUUUAGGUUUUCGUUUGAAUUGAUUGUUGUAAUUUGUUGACAUUGAUGAUUGGAAACAACAUUCAAAGGUCGUGGCCCGGUUCAAUGAGAUUAUUACAAGGCCACUUUUAGAGGGAGCUGUUGCAACUUUCAAGAAAUAUUCAGUCAAAGAAGACAUUGAUGUAGGCAAACUGUUUUAUUUUAGAAGCUUUUUUUCGAAUUUGCUUUCUUUUUGUUUGUAAAUUUUGAUUAGGGUUGUUUUCAUGUAUUUCUCUUCAGGUUGUGUGGGUUCCCGGUAGUUUUGAAAUAGGCAUUGUUGCAGAAAGGCUAGGCAAGUCGGGAAAAUAUAAUGCGGUUGUGUGCAUUGGAGCUGUGGUAUGAAUGAUUUCUCUUCAUAACCUUGAAAGAAGUUAUUACUUGAUGAAAUGUUAGUAGUGAAAUGCGUUAGGAGGGGUGGCUUCCUCCUCAUUUUUCUUUCAUUGAAGCACAUGUUUACAGGCUGACCCUGAUAUGUGAAUUAUUUUCUUGUUGUUAAUGAUAGGUAAGAGGUGAUACUACUCACUAUGAUGCUGUCGCUAAUUCAGCAGCAUCUGGAGUCCUUUCUGCUGGUUUAAAGUCAGGUUGGUAGUUACACUCUGCUGGUUUUAUUGCUUGGUUUUGAAACGAUGUUGUUCUCUGUUGACCAGGGUUUUAAAAGUUUGUCCUUGACUGUAGUAAUUACCUUAUUCUGUACAAGUUUCUGUGACAUAUUAUGUCAUAUUGUAAAGUGAAUAUGGAAAGGCAACAUGGGCUCAAAUAUGCUAGCAAUCACCUAUUAAGAGUGGUUGUUGUUGUCAUUAUUGCAUCAAAUAUUACUGUGGUGCGUGUAAUACUUGGCAAAACUGAUGAAACACUCUCAUCUAAUGUUCUUCACACAUCAAACACGUGUGUAAGAGUGUGCAUCGUCACACACAACCAACUCUUUAUUCUGUAGAUGUCAUUUAGCAUCAAAUAUGUUCUGUUUCUGCCUAUCACUUGGAGAACUGAGAAAUUGCGUUCUCCUUUAAUGUAACACAUACUUGCUUCGUCAACCCUUAAGGAAAUGAUCUUGCUUCUGCUGCCUGUCAGUUUACUGCUGCUCUCUCCAUUUUUGUUGAAAGGCUUCCCACUUCCCAGUGAAAAACUGAUGAUGCUUUUUCUUGAGAAUUUGCAGGGGUUCCAUGUGUAUUUGGUGUUCUGACAUGCGAGGACAUGGAACAGGUGAAAGAAGCAUUUAAAUAAAACCAAGACCCAUAGGUUUCUUUCAAGAAUGUUUCAUCUGAGAACUUUUGUUUUGAUAAUUGCAGGCGAUAAAUCGAGCUGGUGGAAAAUCGGGGAAUAAGGGUGCUGAGGCUGCUCUGACAGCAGUAAGUUGAUUAUAUGCUGUUAAAUGCUUUGGAUAAGUGCGUGUGCACUGAUUAAUUAUGUUCUAGUAUUUAAUUCUGUGUCUUCUGCCAGCAUGCUUAUUCUUAAUUUCUUUCUCAAUUUUCUUCAGCAUAUUUCUUCCUUCAUUAAAACUUAGUGGGAUAGGAGGUGGAGGGUGAGUGUUCAUCUACUUGGUUGUCAGUAAACAAUAUAUUCUUAGUAGCAGAACUGAGUUUUGUGAGGUGUUGUGGGUGGUGCAAAGAAGUGUUGCCUAGUUGCUCAGCUGAGACCAUUGUCCUUUAGGCUCAUGCUUCAAAAUUUACAUUCUUAAUGCAUGCAAUGGUUCAAUAAGCUUUUCUACUUGGUUUCUGAUGUACCCUCUACUUCUUGUCAAUGUGAGAACUGUUUCAUUGAUGCCAAGACAUAAAGAUACAAUGAAGUCCAUUUUGUUCUUAUCACACCAUGGUUAUUUCCUUUUGCUAGUAAUAUAACAACUUGAUCUAUCUAAAAAUUUGGAAUCACUAGUUGUACUUCUUCCUGGCUGAGAUAUAACAAGACAAGAAAAUAAAUUACCUUUUUGAAUCUUUUGACUGGAUAAUUUAAUUAAUUUUUUUUUAAUUUGUUUUGUAUUGCAGAUUGAGAUGGCAUCCUUGUUUGAGCACCAUCUAAAGUAAUGGUACUGUCGCUUUGAGGAGAGUUUAUCAAAUCCUUUAUACCCAGUAUCAUCUUGUCCUGGGAAUGACUGAACUUGUAUUUUCAUUUUCUUCGAAACUGCUAGAAUUUUUUGAGAAUUUGAUGAGACAACAAAUGGGCAGCCUCAACAUCUCAGAUGAUAGUCAGCCAUUUGUCUAUUGCAAUUAUUUUCCUUAAUUCAUGAAAUUGCAUAGGCAAUGGAAGAGACAUCACAGAACUAUGUUAACUGCUCACAUAUCUUGACAUGUCAAAUGAAUAUGAAUAGAUAGAACUACCUAAGUUUGACAAGAAAUGCCUUAAAGCUAUUUCUGGAAAGAAAGAUGAACGAAAGGAUUAUUUAUUAUUCUGUUAGUUCUUUGGGAACUGUGUUCGUUGUCUUACGUUAUUUCUCCUUGUCUCCUCACCAAUGGAGAAUACUGCCUUAAUAUUUCAUGAACAGAACAGCCAUAAUAUUUCUCACUCCGGCCAUCUUGUAGCUGUUUUCUGCAUGUGAAGAAAAGGAAUGCAGAAAACAGAAUUCCCCAUGAAGCUACGCUGUAUUGUAAAUGUGCAGAUGAGGGGAUGGAAGAAUGAAAAGAACAAAGAGAGAAAAAGAGACGGCUGGCCAUAACCCCAUGAACCUGAGACAAUGCCUUCCUUGAUAACCACUCUAUUCCAAAAUGCCAGGCACCAGCUAUUGCCCUUCAAGCUUCCUUCUCAGACAAAAUGACCAAACUGUCCCAAUCAAUCUUGCUUGUUGCCCUUUCUCUUUUGUCCCAAAACAAAGGACAAGGGAAAUGAAGCGAGAGCCAUUCUCAGAAGGCUGCAAGGACAAUGUGGUAAAUCUAUCGGGUGGUCUAAUGCUCUUGUCGUGGGGCUGUUAUGUACCAUUAACUUGGCUAAGACGAACAAAUAAAGUGAACAAAACGCAAUCGAGCCAAGGAAUAAAGAUUAAACGAAAAAAAAGGCGACACGAAGCUUAGAAUCAAAGUUAAACAUAGUAUCACAAACAAAGCUGCCCACAUGAACCGUGAAAGCUUGUCAUUAUGCUGGCACAGUUUGUAAGUAUGAGUUACGGCUAGCUUUUUUUGUGACUAUGUCUGGCACAGUCUGCAAAUACAAGCCAUGCAAGGAAGAUUUCUCUUUGCAAUAGCCAGCAGGAAGAAGAAAUCAAAAUAUUCUCUUCCAUUCGACUCUUUUAAAUCUGCAAUGCAGAGAGAAGAUGCUAAGCAAUAUACAUUGAAAGAUCAUAAUUUUGACUGAGGGUUCAUCUUCAUACACUGAUACAUCAUACGGUCUAUUGCUCUCUCUUGACAUGGUGAUAUUGCAGCUUUCUGGUCCCACCCCUGUAAAUCCCCAAGCAAAGUUCUCCAUCCUUGAAUUGGCUCCUAGUAGUCGAAAACAUUUAACAACUUUAUCUUCUUUCUCUUUGCCAAGUUUGUUCAUAUCCAAUUCUCAGCAACCUCAACACCCCAUAUCCUCAUUCUCUCCAGUAAAUCAGGUCAAUUUUUCUUCUUUUUUUGCCUGCCUUAGUUUCAACUUUCUGCUAUUGAUCUUCCAAUCGAUAUAUAUAACUUUAAAAUGAAAGCUACAAUUUAGUUUGUAAAUGUAGUUUUUGCCAAGGUUUGGAAAUGCUUAGCAUGUGUGUAUAAUGUUUGAGAAUUCAUCUAUGGCAGAGUGUUGCAGCUAUUGUAUUUGGAGACGGAUCAGAGUCAAGACUCUAUCCAUUGACAAAGAGAAGAUCAGAAGGAGCCAUUCCGUUAGGAGCAAAGUACAGAAUCGUUGAUGCAGUUAUCAGCAACUGUAUUAACAGUAACAUAAACAAGAUAUAUGCUCUAACACAAUAUAACUCUACUUAUCUCAAUUCUCACCUCUCAAGAGCAUAUUCUGGCUUAGGCCUUGGAAAAGAUGGGUUUGUUGAAGUUAUUGCAGCAUAUCAGAGUCUUGAAGAGCAAGGCUGGUUUCAGGUCUACUAGCUGGUCUACUUUCAUAACACAUUUGUACUCGAUGCUUAUAGCUUCUAUUCCAUGAGGGGCCAAACUACGAUCCACAAAGCCAAUGUGAUCAUUUCUGUUUAAUUUGUUUUUAUCAGGGAACUGCUGAUGCUAUAAGAAGGUGCUUGUGGGUACUGGAAGAGCACCAAGUGUCCGAGUUUCUUGUCCUUCCUGGCCACCAUCUCUACAGAAUGGACUACCAGAAACUAGUAGAAACUCAUCGAAGAAGCCAGGCUGAUAUAACAAUUGCAGCUUUGAAUUCAACAAGAGAUCAAGACCCAGGUUUUGGCACAUUAAAAGUGAAUUCACUAAAUGAAGUUGCAGAGUUCCACGUGAAGUCAGAGAGGGAGCCAAUGAUUGUCCCUUCGGUAAGUUGAUUUCAGUAAUAUUCUCCUCCAUAUAGUUAUGAUACUGCAAAACCCAGUGGGGAUCAUGUUCUCUAAAUAAUCUCUGCUAAACUGCAGGCUCAAAGUUCCCAAGCAUUCAAUGAUAAUGCUUAUAGGAAGUUAUCAAGCAUGGGGAUCUAUCUUGUUAAUAGAAAUACUAUGACAAAGCUUCUAAAUGAAUACUUCCCCCAGGCAAAUGAAUUCGGAACUGAAGUGAUACCUGGCGCAAUUUCGAUUGGAAUGAAGGUCUGACUAGAUUUAGCUAAUUAGGCAUUAAUUUUGACAUUAACUUUUGUUUCUAUGUAAUAAAAUUCAUUUGUUCUGUCCAAAUAUGUAAUGAUGUUUCCGUUUCUUUUAUGAGCUUUGAUUCAUGAGAAGGUGCUGAUUACGUGCAUGGAGCAGGUUCAAGCUUAUGCAUUUGAUGGAUACUGGGAGGACAUGAGUAGCAUUGCAGCAUUUUAUCAAGCAAACAUGGAAUGCAUAAAGGGAUUAAACAUGGGAUACAAGUCAGUGUUUUCUCUUCGAGGAAGGCUGAAAGUAUAACACCUAUGAUGGCCUCUCACUAACGAACACAAACUUCAUUUCUUUCCUAGCAGCUUCUACGAUAAAGAUGCUCCUCUAUACACCAUGCCUCGCUAUCUGCCUCCAUCUACUAUAAUUGAUGCUGUCAUAACAGACAGUGUGGUUGGAGAUGGUUGCAUCCUUAAUGUAAGAAUAACAUUUCCAUCUCCCUCCCAUGUUUCUCCCUUCUGCCCAAAGUAAGGAAUAUGCUGUCGUAGAUUGUGUUUGAUCUUGUUUCUGAAUCUGUCUUGCUUUUGUUUCCUGAAAAUGUGCCUUUGGCCUUAAUUAAGAGUAGAGGUGCAAGAUAAAAGGAACAGUUCUUGGUAUGAGGACAACCAUUGGAGAAAAGGCCAUCAUUGAAGAUUCAGUCAUCAUGGGCUCUGAUAUCUAUCAAGUAAGGGUGGUUCUUUUUUCUUUUUUUUUAAUAACCUUUCACUUUUUCCUGUUGCAAAAGAAAUAUAAGCACAUUUUCUAGUAAAAAACCUAUGCAUAUUUGCACACAUUCCUCCAAUUAUGUAUGACCAACUGAAAUGUGGUUGUUCAACAGAAAGACUAUAUCCAAAGGAGUAGCAAGGAGGGCAUGGCAAUUCCGAUAGGAAUUGGUGAUGAGACUCACAUAAAGAAAGCUAUUAUAGAUAAGAAUGCAAGGAUUGGCAGAAAUGUAAUGGUAUGUAAAAUCUAAGCAUAUCAAAUUAGCAACCAAAUACAAUGCCAAAGCUAGUCAUGUACACAAAAAUACAAUCGAUUUCAGAAUGUCAAGGUGCAAGUCCAAGGCAUUAUUAAAACAGGAUUGUCUCUGUGGGACUGAGUAUUGAGUUCCUGUCAUUCCUUACUGGUGUAACAUCCAUGCAAUUAUGUUAUGCAGAUUAUUAACAAAGACAAUGUGCAAGAAAGCAACAGGGAGGCCAAUGGCUACAUAAUCAGUGGAGGAAUAGUGGUGGUUCUAGAGAGUGCAGUGAUCCCAGAUGGCAGCAUUUUAUGAUAUGUUUGAACGUUGAACAACAUGAUUAUCAUUCUUUUAUUUCUCAAUUUGAUUAAAACAAAAUGUAUGCUGACAUUUUUUGGAGGAGUGAGUGAUCUCUAUGCCACUUGGAAUGUCAUUCAACAUGCAAUUGACAAUAAAAUUUAAUUCUUUCAGUGAUUUUCUACAGCUAUGAACUUUUGAUACUUUUCACACAUUUUACGUCCUUAAACUAUCUUACAUGUGCAAAUUAUGCCUCACGAAUGACCAUAUUUUAGGAAUUAGGAAGGGCACAAAUUUCUUCCCAAAGUUAGUCAAGAGACUGUUUAAUUAAUUGUGAUAAACUACAAGGACUAGCUUAUAAUUAACUCUAGAAUGUUGGGCAAGAAAGAAAAAGUUUAAAAGCUGAAAAACCCAAAGAAUUCAAGUAACACAGAAAAUAAAAAAUCACAUAUCGGUUAACAAUCACUUUGUUUGUAUUCAAGUUAUACAACUUAUAACCUUUAGACAUUGAGCUAUAGCCAACAAAUAUACACUACUUCUCACUUGUCUCAUCUAGCUUGCGCCCCUUCUCUUUAGAUAUUUGAGCAUAGCAAAUACUAUCAAAUACCUUCAAAUGAUUCACAUAUAGUUUUCUUUCACUCUAAACUUCAAAUGAUGUGCUACCCUAAACGGCCUUCAUAAAACAUUUGUUAAUCAAAUAAACAAUUGUAUACACUGCUUCAGCCAAAAAAUUCUAAGGUAGCUUCUUCGAAUACAAUAUACACUUUGCCAUCUCCAUCACGGUUUGAUUCUUCCUUUUUGAAACUCUAUUUUGUUGGUGUGUGUAACGAACAGUAAGUUACCUCUCAAUACCUUCAUCUUCACAAAACCUGGAAAAUUAUCAUAAAGUGUACUCUUUACCCCUAUCACUUCUUUACACUUUUAUGCAAUAACCAUAUUGUUUUUCAGACAUUUAAAUUUCUUGAAAAUUAUAGCAACUUUAGAUUUUUGCCUAAUAAAAUACAUCAAUGUCGUUCUAUUAUAGUCAUCAAUAAACAACACAAAGUACCUAUUUUGAAAAUGAGAUGGAGUGAACAUCGAACCAUAAAUGUUAGUGUGCACCAACUCAAGUACAUUCUUAGCUCUUCAUGCUACUUCUCUUGGAAAUGAUUGUUGAUGAUGUUUCCUAAGAGCACAUCCAUCACAAGCAUCUUUCAUCUCUUGAAUGAAUGGAUGUCCUUGAAUCAUGUUUUUUUGGUGAAGUAAUUUAAGGCUACCAAAUUCAAGUGAUCAAGUCUCUUAUGGCAUGGCCUUGAAUCAUCAACCAAAUCCAUCUUCAAAGUUACAUCUUUUCCACACUUUAAGUUAAGUGAAAAACACCUAUUCACCAUCUUCAAACUUGCCAUAACUUGCCUCCUUAGAGUUUUAUCAUAAAUGGUGCAAUAUUAGCCUUCAAAAUGCAAUGAAUAACUAUGCUCCAUAAGUUGCGCAACACUCAAUAAAUUUUGGUCAGUUUGUGGUACAUUACCUUAUAAAUCAUCUAUUUUCCCUUUUUAGUUUCAAAUCUAAUGGUACCUAGACCACUUGUACUCAUAAAUUCUUCAUUCUCAAUCUUUACUCUAGUUUGCCUCAUGGUAUCAAUGUUAUUGAACAUGUUUUUGCUACAAGCACUAUCAAUGAGUCAUUGUCCCUUCUUGUUUUCUAUGCCACUUUGACUAGCAUAAAACAUGCUUCCAUCACCUUCCUUAUCUUUGGUAACAUGUGUUUAUUAAUUUUUCCUCACACCACAAUCUUUGGCUAAGCGAUCAAACCAUUUACAAUUGAAACAUUAUAUCUCCCUUUUAUACCAACAAUCCUUAGACUUAUAGCCUAAUCUAUUACAAGUAUAACAUCUUCUAGCAUCACUAUAGCUAUUGCUCAAAUUUGUUUCUCUUCUACCCCUUUGAUUUCUACCCAAUCCUCUACUUUUACCUCUUUCAUAUCCUUCACCUCUAAAGGAUCCAACACCUAUUCUCACAUUACUAAAAGAUCUUUUCUCAUGGUCAUGUUUACUAAGAGUAUGCUUUGAUUGGAAGCAUUUUCUAUGGACUUCUCACUCCUCUUAACUAAUAUUUUCUCAUAAUACUUCAAAAAACCCAUCAACUCAUGAACACUCAAAUUAGACAAAUCUUUAGUUUCUUCUAUAAUUGUCACAAUAUGAUCAAACUUUUCUAGAAGGCUAAUCAACACUUUCUCUAUAACUCUUCUAUUACUAAUAUCCUCACCACAACUCUUCAUUUGAUUAACAACCUUAGAUUCAUAUUAGAAAACUUAUCAACAGCUUUAUUUUCCUCUAUUUUCAUAUUCUCUAACUCUCUUCUAAGACUUUGGAUAAUAGCUUUUACAUUCACAUCACCUUCAUAUUCACUUUGCAAAGUCUUUUCAUGCUUGCUUUGCAUUUGUGGCUCUCAUGAUUCUUGGAAAAAUAGGAUCAUUAACUCUUUUUUAAAUCAAGCCAAGGGUUGUUGCAUCUUUAAUCCUCUUUGCUUUCAAAUCUUUGAGCUGUGCUACGGGAAUAUCGUCAUUAUCUUUAUAUUCUUCAUAUGUUACAUCCAUCAUCUCCCACAAGUCAAGAGAGAUGAGUAAAGUCUUAAUCUUUAUGCUCCAAAUUCAUAAUUGUCUCCUUUGAAUAUUGAAUGUUGGACUCCAACUUGAGCAACCUUCUUUGGACAUUUUCUUCCUCCUUUAAUCUUAGAUAAAGCUUCUCUUUGACCUCUAUUCUGAUACCAAUCUAUUUAGUGGUUUCUACAACCAAUGAGUCUCACAAAACACUCUCAAACCACACUUAAGCAUAGCAUAUCAUUGCUGUAAUUUUAUGGUACAAAACUCACACAAGAGAGGGCUUACAAUGGAGGAAGACACACACUGCUAUUGUUUUUUCUUUUUUCUCACAGCACUAGUUUCUACCUAUUUUCAACCUAGCUUUCAGUUGUACCUACUGUCAUUCACUUAAAUAAUUUUUAGCCCCAUGCGCCCUACUAUUUAGAUAAAAUAAUACACUUAACUUAACACACAUCCAACUCUAGUUAACUUUAAGCUAACACCAGUCAACUAACUUUACAACACAUUAACGAUAAGAGUAAGGUUAAGAUAGUUAAGGACUUGAUUUGAAAGAUGAUUUGGAUUUUGAUUUGAAGAAAGACGUUAAAUUAGAAAAUGAUGUUAGUAACCUUAUUAGGAUGGUGAGUAUGUUAUGAGAUGGCAUGUUUCAAGAAAAGAAGGAGAAGACCAUGGAAGAGUUUGUUCAAAGGGUGUCCCAAUUCUCUGGACCUUCUGAUUGUAAGAAAUAGAUUAACUUCAAUAGAGCGAUUGUGGAAGCAUAAACUGUAGAGGAAGUUUUGAAAUCACUGGUGAGAUGAUUACUACUGUUGGGAAAGGGUUUACUCAUUCACUGUUAUCCCCAUUAGACAUUGCUACUACACUUCAUCGAAUUGUCCUCGGUUGUCAAAAAAGGGUUCUGAGAUCAUUCAUAUGUCAAAGGACUGAUUUAACCCAAUAGUUUAAGUUUUUAGAUGAAGUUCUAAGUUAUGAUUUAUAUUAUUUAUUAACACACCCCUCAAGUGAAAAAUCUUUCGGCAUGAAACUUGUACAUGCCUACAUUACCUUGUGCUUAAUUUUUAUCAAAUAAAAUAUGGAUAGUGAGGUUUGAACUCGUGACUGCUUGAUCAAUAAAGCUUUGAUAUCUUGUCAAAGAACCAUAUCAACUCAAUAACUUGAGCUUUCAAAUAAAAUCUCAAGAUAUAAUUUAAUUAUAUUAUUCACUAAUAUCAUACUUUCAAACGAGCUUGCUCAGGCUUUUGCUUCUCUAUAUGAGCCAGCUGACUCUUUGCUUGAGGCUUAGGAUACUAAUUAUAAAUCUGCAAACCAAUAGUGCUCCUUAAAGGCUGAAACAUCAUAUUCUGAUGAGGAGAGCAGCAAUGAAGUCAGUGGAGAUCUUGAUGCAGAAGGACCUUUAGGCCCUCCGGUGCUCAGAUUUAGAACACGUUUGGCUACGUGGUGGCAUCCACGUUUCCUGCGGCCAAAUUUUACAAGAUGUUUGGUUAAUUAACAAACACUGAUUACUGUACAUGGAUCCCAUGAAAUACUGUGUUUGAAACGCAAGGAAAAAGGAAGCAGCUAGGAGCUGCUUCCUGCGCGUUACAAGCAAGGAACCGUGCUUCACUGUUCACUGAACAGUGGAGGCAUGCAUCCACUGUUCACUAAACAGUGCAGGCAUGCAUCCAUUGUUCACUGAACAGUUUUUUUUUUUAAAUCAGUGCAGUUAAUUGAUUUCACUCGCACUGAACGUGAACAAUAUUUUUUUUAAAAAAAAAAAUUAGUUUAAGGUGAAUUAAAUUUACUUGUACUAUAAUCUCAAUUUUAUUCCGGAUAAUAUUUUACCUAAUUUUGUAGUUCUUGUCGGAUGAAAUCUGUAUGUAAUGGAAUUGUAGAUAGUUUAAUGGAACAAUAAUUUUUUAUAUAUAUAAAAUAUGAUUUAUUUCAUGAUGUAAUAGCAAUAGUUAAAUCCACAAUAUUUAAAUUAAAAACUAUUAAUAUUAAUAUAUAUUUUUUAAAAUUAUUUUAUAACCUCAAUUUCAAAAGCACUCUUAACCAAACAUAUUAAACUACUUUUUCUUCAACCUCAAUUUCAACCACAGUUUUAACCAAACAUCUAUUUUUUCAAACCAACCUCAACUAAAAAUACUUUUUAUAAAACAAUUUUUUUCAAACCACAACCACAACAGCUACCACAAUACCAAACACACUCUCAGUAGGUAUCAGCUGGGAAUAUAGCUUGGUCAUAUGCUGUUCUAGGACAACUGGACCGAAUUUAGUUUUCAAAAGUGUAGAGAACUCUGAGCCAUUCUGAGGAGCAAAGGCUUUCAGAGCAAUACAGAGAGGAUAUCAUGUUUGCUUCUCAGGCUCAUCUUGUGAAUCAAUGCUUGAAGCUCGAGUACCCGUCUGGAGUUGUCACUUGGGGGCAGUCUUGAGGAGAAAAUUGCUCGUGCUGGAAAAACUAGAAGGUUUAAUCAGAAAACAAAACUUCUUUAUUUGGGAAGGAAGUUGCUCGUCUCCUGGUGAGCACUGGCCUUGAUUGGGUGAGAGAAUAUGUUGUGGACGGAUACAUAGUGGAUGCUGUUGUGGUUGAUAAUUAAGAAGAUUGCUUUGGAGAUAACUAAUUAAUUUCUCCAGGAAUACUGGUUGGUAUCGUUACCAAGUAGAAGACAAUAGUUGAGUUAUCUGUUUGUUCUCGCUCAGCUAUUUUGCUUUCAAUUUAAUUAUUUAUCCUCUUUAAUUUGUUCUGCAGGAGUGCCUAUACCAUGCUGAAACGGUCGUACAUUGAUGCUGCUGGUUGGAAAGUGGUAUCACUGUCUCCUCUAGAGACGAGCCCCUUCUUCUCACAAUCCAGAAGGCUUCAGUAUUACAUAUUUAUGCACAAAAAAAAUUUACAAGAAAAACUGACAAAACCAUGAGGUUGAAAGUGUAACUGGAAAACAUGGGGUGGUUAACUGUUUUUGAAGAGAACAUCAAUAUAAUAUCCACGAAAUCACACUGGCGUCAGUUUUUCAGGAGAAAAAAAAAUGUUUAACUUGAUCAUGUACAUGUAGCUUGCUGGGAAAGAGUUAAAAGUAAAUUAAAUUAGGGAGAUGGAAGAUUGUGCAUAGUUACUUUAAAAAUUGGAAUCCAUCUUGUUUUUUUAUGGUCACCAUCCUCCAUGCUUCUGCAAGAUAACAAAACAGAUCUAAGAUAUAUAAAACUCUUAAGAGUUUGAACCAAGAGAAUGUUGUGUGCAUCCAUGCAUGCAUCCGUUAUGUAUAUAAUAAGCACAAUGAACCUUUUGAGUUUUGAGAGAGGAUUUUUUAAGAAAUUGAAAACGUAGAAGAGCUUGUAGUUAAUAAGGAAGAGGAAUGGCAAACCAACCAUUAUUUGUAUGAUGAUGAUGCAUUACUUGUAUAAACUGAUAGUACUAUUAUAUGUGGUUUGUUUGAUUGAAGCAGUGGGAGGAAAUUAACAGAAGGCAUGCAGUGAUCAUGAGAGAUGGAGUACCAGAGAGAAAUCCUCAACCUCAAGGAGCAUGUAGGCGUAGAGAGUAGCAGCAGCAAAGAUGCAUCACCUCAAGGAGCAUGUAGCUAGGCGGAGAGAGGAGUGAUGCAGCAUAAUCGAUCGAUCAUAAAAAUUAAUGGGCAGGGCAUAAAGGAGAAGAAAUGAUGGAAGUUUUGGUAGAUUCAAUAUAUACUAGUUAGUCCUCGUUGAUUUUGUACGUUUAUCUUUUUCAGUUCAGUCAUAAGAAUCAAUCAAAUGUAAGGAGGAGCAGCAGCAGCAGUAGCAGCAGGAGGAGGAGGAGGAGGAGGUUGUGCUUUGUAUUAUAUUUAUGCUGUUCCUGUCUCAGCCAGCCAUGUAUUGUGAAAUUUAAAUAAAAUAAAUAAAUAAAUAUUGGUGGGAAGCUGAAGCAGAAGCUGGUUUUUACGUGACGAAACGGUGUCGUGAGUGCUUGUUAUGUGGAUUGAGUUGAGAUGGAGAGAGCCGCGUGUUCCGUUUAGAGUGGUAGGAUUUCUAUCCAUCCAUCCAUCCAUUACUUAACACUUGAACACUUGUCGUUUUUCAGAUUUCAGACAGAAAACGCGGAUCUUUUGUCGGUGAGUACACGUGUACACGCCUCAUCCUUUGGUCAAUUAUGUCUUUUUGUAAGCGACGUGAUUGCUCGUUACCACUCCCAUUACACACGAUCACACUCUCUCGUUCAACCAUACGCUGCUGCUGCUUGUAUCUUGUAAUCUCCGAUUUCGGUUUCAUCUUCAGGUAAUCUCUUUUCUCUUCUACCAAAACAAGAUCAUCAUCAUCAUCAUCUUCCCUCUUCUUUUUUCUUUUUCUUUUUCGUCUUCUUUUUGUACCGUAUUUGAUCCAUGCAAAGAUUGAAAUUUUUUUUGUUCUGUUGAAAUAUCCAUCAUCUCACUGUUUUGAUCUGCACUUGAAAGAAACAGAUCAGAUCUGAAUCUCAGUUCAUUGUGUUUCUGAAUCACUGAUACUUCUGACUUCGGUUUCCAUAGUUAUCAUCUUUUCUCAUGAUGAUCUAAUACAUACGAUUAAUAAUUAGGAGAUCUUAAAAUUACUACUUUGCUUCAUUUAUGAAUAUUAUUAAUACAUUAUUAAUGUAAUGCUGAACUCAUCUCUGUUAAUCUUUUUUCUUUUGAUUAAUUGGUAUGAUAAUCAAUCAAGUCAAUUGCUUUAUAAUCCUACAUUUGAUCCCAUUUUUCUAAUACAUACGCACACACAUCUUUCUAUCCACAGUUGCUAAACUGUCAUCUAUUUUUCAGAUCACACCACGAUUCUCUCUUAAAAAAGAAAACUAAAACGAAAUAAUUUUUUGUCAAUUUUCUUGUAGAAAAUGGGAGUCAUUUCCUGUUAUUUACCUCUUCUUUCUUUACAGCAUUGUAUUUGUCGGAGUCUUGAACCUAUAAAUGUGCUGUUGUGUCUGAUUUUGACUCAACUGUAUUUCAUUAACCAUUCCAAAACUUCACCCAUACAAUACGGAGUUCGAUUUUCCUUGGUUUUUGAGUAGCCCGUAACAGUGGUGGUUUGAGAGUUUCACCACAAGCUUAACAUUUUUUUUUGCUUCUUUCAUAAGGGAGACGUAUUGACUUUUGCAUUUCAUAUAUCAAAACAAUGAGGAUUGUGUUGCAGUUAUUCAUCUUUAGCUUACCAGUCAUGAAUCAUGAGCACUCUUCUUCUGCUUUUUUAUUCAUUCCCUCUUAUGUGAUAUGUUUCUGUUUUCCUUUCUUUUCCUGGUUAAUUGCACUGCUUCGUCCUUAUUUCGCUCUUUAACAUUUGGAAUAUGUGCUGCUCGUUUUAAGGUAUGGCUUCUUCUGACAAGCCAGAAAUAGUUGAUAGAGAUGUCAAGGAGGAUGACAAAGAUGAAGAGAAGGGUGGAUUUAUUGACAAGGUGAAGGACUUCAUUCAAGACAUAGGUGAAAAGAUUGAGGGAGCAAUUGGAUUUGGGAAGCCAACUGCAGAUGUUACUGAAAUUCACUUCCCCACAAUCAACCUUGAGAAAGCCGAGAUUGUUGUUGAUGUGCUUAUUAAAAACCCAAAUCCUGUUCCGAUCCCUCUCAUUGACAUCAACUACUUGAUCGAGAGUGAUGGAAGGAAACUUAUUUCGGGGUUGAUCCCAGAUGCUGGAACUAUUCGUGCACAUGGCGAGGAGACCGUCAAAAUCCCAAUUCAUCUGGUUUAUGAUGAUAUUAAAAAUACAUAUGAUGACAUUAAGCCUGGGAGUAUAAUUCCUUACAGGAUUAAGGUUGACUUCAUUGUAGAUGUGCCUAUUUUUGGAAGGCUUACUCUACCACUUGAGAAGACUGGAGAGAUCCCCGUACCUUACAAGCCUGAUAUUGAUAUUGAGAAAAUUAAAUUUGAGAGGUUCUCCUUUGAAGAGACUGUGGCAGUGCUUCACUUGAAGCUGGAAAAUAAGAAUGAUUUUGACUUGGGCCUCAAUUCUUUAGAUUAUGAGGUUUGGCUGUCCAAUGUGAGCAUUGGUGGUGCAGAACUGGCAGAAUCUACCAAACUCGAUAAAAAUGGUAUAAAUUAUGUCGAUAUUCCAAUCACCUUCAAGCCUAAGGAUUUUGGUUCCGCACUCUGGGACAUGAUUAGAGGAAAAGGCACUGGUUACUCCAUGAAAGGACAUAUUAAUGUGGACACACCUUUUGGAGCUAUGAAGUUGCCCAUCAGCAAGGAGGGUGGGACAACCCGCCUCAAGAAGAGCAAAGAAGAUGGUGGUGAUGAUGACGAUGACGACGAGGUACUUUAAUUGUUAGAUUACUUGUUUAAUCAGUCUUUUUCCAUGUGCUGAUGUCCUUGGCCACCCAAUUGUUGUUUCUGUACUGUUAUAUCAGACAUUUUAUUGGCUUGAUUCAAAAUCUGGCUCGACAUUGUUUUAAUUUGAUUUUCAAAGGCUUUUAAAGGUCUCUGCAUGAAAUGUUGGUUGAGACACGGUAUAUUUGCAUCUGUAAAUUAUUCCAUCUUCUCCUGCCUUGCUAGUCAAUGACGUCAUGACCUUUUCCCGAGGCCUAAUCGUGUACCUUAUUCUAACAUAAUUGGAUUGCGUAUGUUAACUCAACCGUGCAGAAUUGCUUGAGUUGCUACAAUCAUAACAUACCAUCAAAUGAAUUCCUUUAGUUUUUAAGUAAUGGUAAUGUAUGACCACUUCUAACAUGACAAUGCGCAAGGUACUAUAGUGGGAUUAAGUGCCUUCAACUCUUCAUGUUUGCUGUUGCACAUUCUGUUAUGAUAUUGUGUUUUUUCCUGCACUAAACCGUGUCAAUAAUUUUUCCUACCUUGUAUGCAGGAAUAAAAAACAGACAGCAUCUGGAGUUGUUUCUUCAAGUAGCUGUUGUUCGCUUACUGGUAGAGAGUCAGUACAAUAAUACAUCAGAAGGUUAUUGAAAUGAAGGUAUCAACUUCUCUGCAAUCUUUAAGCAGGGAAAUCAGCAUCUCCAUUUGUGCAUUUGUGUUGUUGACUAUAUUGCAAUGUGGGCACCUUCUCUGAUAUCUUUAAACAGGGAAAUCAGUGCCUCUAUUUGUGUAUGUGUGUAAUUGUUGGCUAUAUCGGAAUGUGGAUUUUUUAUAAAAAAAAUACUUUACCCCUAUCUGCAAGCCUUGGUAGUUUUUUUGAGAAUGGCAAAAUCAUAACUAUAUUGUUCUAAUGAACCGUGUUUCACUGAUUUCUAGGUUUUUUUUAAUUAUAAUUAUAAUUAUAAUAAUAUAAUGUUUUUGGGAAAACAGAUGGUAGCUGGGGGCUUCCUUGCCUCAGCUCAUAGUGUUGCAUCUGUUUUUCUUGUUAGUAAAGGGAUCUCGAAGAAGAGAAAAAUCUAUUGCCUGGUUGCAUCGUGGGCGUUGUGUUAAGACCAGCCCGUAUGUUGUCUUGCCUAUGGGCUCUAGUAUAUUGUACAACAGAGCACUGUAGGGUUACCCUUCUGGAACGUGGAAUUGGACAAUAUAUUAACGUCGAUAAUAGUAUCCUGGGACAUGUGGAUUAGGACAUUAUCUCCGAUGAGAAAACCUUGUCCCGUUCUGUUCAGCCACGCUCUGUCCACCAGAUGCAUAAUCUCAUCUGUUCAUCAAACGCACCUUUAGUCUUAUAGCUAAUUAGGUGUACCGCAAGUCUCCACAACGAGAGCAGAGAAUUUGAAAGUAAUAAUAUCAUCCUGGGUUAGGCUGCCAGGUUGAAAAGGUUGGAUUAUACAGUUAAGCCCUCCAUUGACGACUCUGCUCCGCCGCUUGAUAGAUCAACUCUUGGGAAUAUAUAUAUAUAUAUAUAUAUAUAUAUAUAUAUAUAUAUAUAUAUAUAUAUAUAUAUAUAUAGAGAGAGAGAGAGAGAGAGGCAAUUUGGCGAGGUAAUAUCAGCCAAACUCGCCCUUCCUGGGUUUCCCAAGUAGCUCCCAUCAGCAUUAAUUUAAAUAUAGCCUGGUUGGUUCAGGAAGAAGACCUAGCUUGAGUGCUAGUCUGAACUCUCAUGACAGUCAAAAGCAAGCUCGCAAUCCUCAAGGGAGAUCAUGCAGCGAUCAAAAGCAGAAGAAGCGAGGGUCCCUUGAAAAAACUUGUCGAUAUGGGGCACACCAGUGUUUUCUUUGGAGACACUGUUGGUGUGGCAUUUCAUUAAUUUGUAGGACCUUAGCCUUGGUUUCUUUUCUCUCUCCGUUGCAUGCCAGACAAAUCAAGUGAGAGACAAGAAUGGUGUGGCCAUUUGGACCUUUACUAGGCCCCGUAUCUUAAUUUGUGUUUCGCUUUAAUUAAAACUUGCUUUGUUAAACACGAAUUUUAAUUAGAGCUUUAAGAAUUUAAGAAUUGUGCUUUGUUUAACAAAAAUAUUCAAGAUGAUGAUUAGUUAGUUGCCAAAGAUGGCCAUGACUCAGCUAGGAGCAUAUCAUUUUCUACGUUCCAACUGUGAACAAACAGAGAGGGAUGUUUGAAGGAAUCAGAGAGAGAGAGAGAGAGAGAGAGGGCAUUGCAGAAGCAACAUGGUGGGUACGUACAGGAGAACGUCAAAUCAUGUCCCUCGUACACAUUUCACAAGUGAUUUGCUAGGCUAGGCUGGCCUGCCAAAAUGCCAUUCCUUGCUAGCAGGCAAGGCAGGAGCCAUAUGAAAUGGGUCUGCAGGCUGGGUUGGGUCCCAAUUUCUUAAGUCAAAUGUUACGCUAGUGAUAUGGGUUUCACUGUGCAGGGACAGCAUGCGGUGAAUCGACUCGGACCAAUACUGGCCCUAACCACCCUUGCUUGCCCACUCCACUCGUCGGGUGCCCAUGACUUCCACUACUUCAUUUAUAUUGGCCCAAAUUAUGCCAUUUGGAGCCACAAUUUCUUAUUAUUCAUGAGUGCUGUCGUCGAGGAGGAGUGUUUGUGUUCUUAAUUGAAAAUGUAUUAAUAUGAUAUAAUUUUUUUAAUUUUGGUUCGAGUUAAUCUGAGAUAGAUUAAAAUGCGUUUAUGGUUAUGUGUGAGAAAAGUAGCAUAAUGUUGUUAUACAGAAAAACACGCGAUCGUUUAUUGUUGCUGUAGUUUUUUUUUCUUUUUUUUUUUUUUCUCACCAAUAAAAGUAAUGUUGUUUAAGAAUUAGGUUAGUUUUUAGAAGAUUGACGAAUUUGAUAGCCGGAAGAAAUGACCAGAAAGCGGUGCGUCUAUUUUUUCCAAGGAGUUGAAUAUGUGGUGAUAACUAUAUAUAUCAUGCACCAUUGGGCUGCUUUAUGUGCCUAGCAGUAAUUAAUUAAAACACCCGCUGAUGAUGAUGCCCUGUUUGUCCACAAGGCAUGCAUAGUACAAGGCCCUUAAAUCUUUACAUCUUCGAGAUUUCCUGGUGCUCAGUCAAUGGCAAUAUGUCACUGUGCAUGCUAGUCGUUGGAGAAGCACAGCUGUCCAAGUCCAGCCACUUUUUGAACUUGUGUGGCAUCCCUUUUCUUGCUUGCUCAACAGCUACACCAAGGAAGCUUCCAUGGAGCUUCACUUGGUCCCCUUGCAGCCCCCUUCGCAAACCGUACGUGUGUCACUAGCUCGUUCAAGGUGUGAGGUUUAUUAUUCAAUGUCAAGAUUCACGAGCCUCUCCUCUCCUCUCUGUUUUUGUACAAAAGUGCCGAAUGCUACAUCCAAAAGAUAAUAAUAAUAAUAAUUAUAAUAACCCUUUAUUGUAAGAUGAAAAAUAUCUGUGCCCAAAACAACAACGUCACGAAAGUGGAUGAGUUUGGUUUGGCUAGAUGGGAAUGGAUAUUGACCAGAAACGAUCGAGAGGUGGGGUUGGUGUUCAAUCAACGUAGUUGAACCAACUUGGGUGUUUUCAAUCCUAAACACCGAAAUCAGACCGCAAUUAAUUUCAAGAAUAUUUUUUGAUUAGGUUCCUGAACAGGAGCUUAAUUUGGACUUUUUUUUGUUUUUAUGAGGGAGAUUUAGACACCUUACCUUAAUCAAUGGAUCCUAGCUACUAUGUAUGUAGUUAGAAAAUAAAUGAUGAUGCUAUAUAUGCAAUGUAUUUUGGCUAUCCAUUGAAAUAUGGUCGGUUGAUAAACAAUGGUUUUCAGCUGGAUAGAAGGGUACUGCGGAAUCUCUUGAUCGAUCGAUCACUACAUUCUUGACGAUGAAGAUAUUGAAUAAUAUUCUGCAAUUGUUUUUUUCUUCAAGUGUUUUAGUCUUCCUGGUGCACCGCAGAAAAGAACAUCUGAUCAUGUUAUUGUUUAUUGCUGUGGUGGAACCUGCGAUGCAAUCCUAGCUAGUGGAUGUUUUCGUAUCUAAAAAUAUUUAAAAUAAAAUAUCAAAUUGAAUGCUUUUCAACUCAAAUAUAUAUAUUUUUAAACACAUGCAGUUCAAAUUAAUGCAUGAAUAAUUAAGAGCUUUAGUAAGUCAAGCAAACCCACCAUGCCCUCCCCUGAAGAACUUGCCAUUGCAAAUCAAUAUUCAUUGAACAUUGACGUUGUAAUUAAGUUCAUUGUUUGAUGAAUAAGAUUCUGAAUUAUUCAUGAAACCUUAAGUAAUGGGUUUGAAUGUACAUUACAAUUAACCUUGAAAUUGAAAAUCCCUCUUUCAAGUUCAUUAAUUUACACAAUUCUCUUUCCAAUUUGUCUUUGACCAAACCAGCUCCAUAUACCCUUGGGAAUCUGUCUGCCCCUUCUUUACAAUACAUGGGAGUGAUUAUAUAUAAAUGGCUAAAAAGGAGCUAGGGAAGAAAGAAAUGAAAAGGGAUUCCAUCCAUGCGAAUGCAUGAACUUAAAAUUAGAAUAACUUGCAGACAGUAUCCAUUCUUCCCAGACAUUCAUGAAUUUUCAAUUCUAAUAUUGUCACAGAGCAAUGCCUGGUGGUAAAGAAUGAAGGGGCCAUGGCCUAUAGCCUAUAGCCUAUAGCCAAUUCUAAAAUAUGAAAAACAAAUUAAAAAGGGUGUUUGUACGAGGAAGGGAUAAGCAAGUUGGUACGUCCAGGAGGGGGGGGGGGGGAGAUACAUUGAAUUGGAGAAGAUUUGGAGUUCCACAUGGAUAUUGGCAUAUGUUCUUCUUCUAUCUAAACCACAGCAUCUCCUUUCUUUUGUCACGCUUGAUGAUCACAUCUUGACCAUUUCUUUUGGUCCACUACUCGACUUCUUCUAAGAUUUUAUACAAAAGCAAGCCAUCAGGGGCUUCCAAAAACCCUAAACUAAACGCUGCUACUAAUAUUUAAUUGGUGUUUUUUUUAAAAUGGUAAAUAUAGAAGAUUAAAUACUAAAAACAAUAUGUCAAACUCGUUUUUAAAAAGCAUUCAAAUCCAAUUUCAAACACCCUCUUAUCACCUAAUUAAACUUGGUUUGCUGAGCUCACGAACUAUCUAAUCAAUGUCUUGUGCUCCUAAUAAAAUAUUCACCAAUCGAAAUCCAAGCAUUUGUAGCAGUAAGAAGGUUUUUUUUUUUUUUUUUUUUUGAUUUACAUGGAGUGUCCGGGCCAGCUUACGCGCACCACGACUAUUUCCCACGGUCCAUGGCUAGGGGAAUUCAAUUGGGGGCCAAGAGCGGACCCAUUUGACAUGGCAGCAAAGGAAGUGAGAAAGACCCGAUGGCUUUAAUUAAUGAUGGAUGAACACAUGCCAUGGCUAGGGGAAUUCAAUUGGGGGCCAAGAGCGGACCCAUUUGACAUGGCAGCAAAGGAAGUGAGAAAGACCCGAUGGCAUGAGAUGAGAGAGAGAGAGAGAGAUGGGUAGUCGUAUGAUUUUAGAACAAGACUCCUUCCAUUUCAGACCCUAAUGUGGAUCACAAGAAAUAAAAGAAGCUUGGGACUUUUCUUUUCUAGAGAGAGAGAGAGACGCUAUAACAUGUAAUGAAGAGUCCAGGGGUGGUGAACCUUGGGAGACACAUAGCCAUACUUUUCCAAAAUCAGCAACUUGCAUGUCAGCAAAACCCCACUUGAAUAAGGGAAUUCACUGAACCCAACCCAUACUCUCUCUCUCCUCCCUCUCUGACAAAUAUGUUGCGUGAAUGUGAAUAAUAAUCAAAAUAUUGCUACUGUGCUGCUAAUAAUGAUACAAAUACAGUGCAAGAAGCCAAAUGCCAUCACGGAAUUCAUCCUCUUUUUCAUCCUCUUUCUUUUCACCUUCCCCAUACCUUCCUUCCUUUCCAUCCAUCCGUUUUUCUUAAAAGAGAAAGAGAUCCCUCUCCUUCUAUCUUAGCAACAAAAAAAACUUGCACCAUCAAGGAAAGAAAUAGAGAGGGAGAUGCUAAAAGUUUAUGUUUGUGCAUUCUAUCUUUCUUGUUGCCUUGUUAGGGAAUUCUCUCAUUACUCUUAUUACCACCACCACCUCCACCUCAACCUCCACCAUCAGAAACCAAAGCAUUUCUAUCAGCAUCACAGGUUACUACCUUGUCUACCCCUCUCUUUUGAAUUCAUCUUUCAUGAUGUU